rnacentral:lncRNA from 1 species
UUCCCAUACUUUUCAUUUCUUAAUCCAUCAUGCCCCUUAAGAACACUUGGGGCACUUACACAUACACAUAUAAGUGUAUAUAUAGAUCCAACCAUGCAUUAUAUAGUUUUAGUGACCGGGUUGAGUCUGAACAGCUUCUCCGGCAUAAGAACAACACCUUGAGCAGCCACGGUAACCUCUGUAGCAGCAACCGUGACGGCAAUAACCUCCUCCACGGCCUCCUCCGUUGUAUCCUCCUCCGCGGUGUCCUCCUCCGUUGUAACCUCCUCCUCCGUUGUAUCCUCCUCCGUUGUGUCCUCCUCCAUUGUAUCCUCCUCCUCCGUGGUGUCCUCCUCCGUUGUAACCUCCUCCUCCGUUGUAGCCACCACCAUAUCCAUCGGGUUUCACAUUUUCCUCACUUUCUGACUUCGCUGUAGCUGUCAAAAAUAAUACAUUUCAAAGAUAUUAUUAGCACGUUCAAAUUUGCAUUCCUCACCCAGAAUUUAGAACUAUUUUUCUAUUUGCAAAAAAUAUUAAGAGAUAUAAGUUUGCAUCUCUAGCUAGUUUGUUUCAAAACAUUUACAACAUAAGAUAUACGUUCUAAACAUUUUUGCUCUAAAUGUUUGAGAUGAUCCCGAUACAUAUAAUAAGAAUUCAACAUCAUACUUAAGUGUAUUUUGAUUUUCGUAAGUCUCCAGCCUUAUAACAAACUAAAUAGUUGAAUGAAUCUAUCACCCAAUGGAAGAAGUAGACAGAAACAUAAAAAAUAAUGUUACAUACCCGACUGCCUUUCGGAUGCCGCUGCCCUUUCUGAGACGACGAAAAGAAGUGCAAAGAGACCCAACAGAAUUAAAGCCCUCGAAGCCAUUUUCUUCAACUGUUCAACUCUUUGUUUUAGAACGUGUGAUGAAUAAAAAUGUCACCAUGUAUGCCUCUAUUUAAAGAAAACGAGGAGGAGGGAAUGAGAAGAGUAAAAAAAAACCUAAUCCCUAGUCCAAUAAAAAUAACUCAAAAGAAAAGUUAAGAAAUUUAAUAAUUUAUGACAAUAAAAAUAGUAAGAAGAAGAUAAGUAUCGAUUGCAUAGGGCCCAUUUAUGGUUGGUUGUUGGAAUCAUUGUAAAUAAUUUUGAAACUCCUUAAAUGGCAACUCUCCACUAGUCUUUUAGAUGUUUCUAUAAAACGUCUCAAACACAGCGCAUUCACACGUAUAUAGUCAUAGACAUAUUAAAAAAUAUUAUUGGAUUAUUUCGAGAAUAAUAUUCAUUAUUGGAGAGUUGGAGACUUGGACUAUUGUUUAUGAAUCGUCCUUUACAAUCUCAACCGACAGAUUUUACGCAGAAGGAUAUAGACAAAUCAUAUGGACUUAAAAUCAGUAAGUCAUAUAGGAGCGAUACGUAGUAGUUAAUAAGGACAGACGCAAAAUAUUAAGUCAUAUAGGAGCGUACGUAGUAGUUAAUAAGGGCAGACGCAAAAUAUUGCACGGCUAUAUUGUUGGGAUAUCAAUCCAAGUUUCACAUCUAAAAUUUAAACUAAUGUACUCAAAUAUAUAAGUAAAAUGUUUAAUAGUUUAGUAUAAAAUUUUUUGGAAGAAAUUUAAAAACAAAUCCGUGCAUGCUUUGUCAUUUGAAUCCAAAGUGGACAAUAUCAUACUAAUAGAGAAUUGGACAUGGAUUUGAAAAGUUCAACAAUUGGUAUCAGAACCAGGUUCUGGAAAAAAUGGAUCUGGACAAAUGGGUGUGGACUGUGUGUUCGGUGUGGGAGGGAGAGCCCUCAAAGUAACCUUGCGAUUAGGGUGCUGGUGCUUUGUAUCAAAAGUCUUCCGAUUGGGCUUUUCAAGCUCAUGUCCAACUCCCUAUUAGUAUGAUAUUGUCUGCUUUGGGCCCAAAUGACAAAGCCCGCACAGAUUUAUUUUUGGAUUCGGGUUUGAGUGGUCCUUAGCUAGAGGAGAGGAUUGUUGGGAUAUCAAUCCAAGUCCCACAUCCAAAGUUUAGACCAAUAUGGUCUAGUAUAUAAGCAAGAUGUCCAAUAGUUUAGUAUGAGACCUUUUGAGAAGGAAUCCAAAAACAAAUUCGUGCGGGCUUUGCCAUUUAGGCCAAAACGGACAAUAUCAUACUAAUAAGGAGUUGGACUGGGCUUGAAAAACCCAAUAUGAAGACUUUCGAUACAAGGCACCAGCACCCCAAUCGCAAGGUUACCUUGAGGGCUCUCCCUCCCACACCGAACACACAGUCCACACCCACUUCUCUAGUCUACCUUUUCCAGAACCUGACUCUGAUACCAAUUGUUAGAUUUUCAAGUCCUUGUCCAACUCUCUAUUAGUAUGAUAUUGUCUGCUUUGAGUCCAAGUAGAAAAGCCCGCACGUAUUUGUUUUUGAAUUCCUUUCCAAAAGGCCUCAUACUAAACUAUUGGAUAUCUUUAUGUACUAGACCAUGUUGGUCUUUACUUCGGAUGUGAGACUUGGAUUGAUAUCCCAACACUUUUUAACAGUUGCGAAAAGGUUAGGAGAAGAGUUUCGUUGGUGCGUACGGUGAUACAAGAUGGGUGCCAAGUUUCGCAGGAGGUUGGGAGGCCACGGGUUUGUGUGAUCCUUGGCUUAAGGGGAGAAUUAUUGGGAUAUCAAUCCAAACCUCAUAUCUGAAAUUUAGAGCAAUAUGGUCUAGAAUAUAAGCAAGAUGUCCAAUAGUUUAGUAUAGGGCAUUGUGGAUAAGAAUCCAAAACAAAUCCAUGCGGGGUUAGCCAUUUAGACUCAAAGCAGAUAAUAUCAUACUAAUAGAAAGUUAGACAUGGGCUUGAAAAGCCCAACAUAUAUUAAUCACAGCUAUUCUAAUGGAAAAUUUUUUUAAUGAAAUUAUCUAUUCAAGUCAUUUAAGCGUAAGGCUUGAUAUUCAGUAAAUGAGUUGAGAAUUAGUUAAUAAUAUUAAUAAAGGUCAUUGAGUGUGGACAUGUUAGUUACUUUCCUGCUACUUGCAUUUGACUUAAGAGUGAAAUUCAUAAGAUUGUACAAACAAAUUGUCUAACACAUGAGACUUGUGAUACCAAGAACAAUACAUGCACACAAUAAGCCAUGGUAGCUCAAUUAUUCGUUUGGAAUGUAAAACAUCACAUACAUGUCUAAUUCAAGUUUUACUUGAUAUAAAAAUUAAACGGAUGAUAUAAAGGAUCUAAGAACACCUCCAUUAGUGAGAUACAUCAAUAUAAUAUUAAUACUGCAUUUAAAAUAUACUUUAACUUUGCAAUUUUAAGUUUUCUAAAAAACAUUCAUGAAAAGAUAUAUGUUACAUUAGUCUCUCAUAUGGUUUACAAAUGAUAAUCCAUUCUCAUUCCCCAUUCUUUCUUUAAUAUGAGAAAUCCAGUGAAAUAUUCUCAAUAGAGAUGUUUUAAAGCCUCUAAUUAAUUAGCAUGAAUAUUUUACUUAUUAAAAAUGUAUAAUUUCAAGCUUGUGACUCAUCAAGGAGAACAUCCAAAACGACUUAAUCAUAAGUACGAGUUGGGAUUAAGCAAGAAUUGGGAACUGGACAGAGAGCAAAAAAUUAGAAAAUACGGAACACAAAUAGUAAUAGUUAAUGGUAAUAGUUAAAGGUAUCAACUUAAUCAUAAGGACGAGGGUGAUCUUUGUCUUACACAUAAUUCUUUUCCCCCUUAUUUCCUCUUAGUUUGGUUGUAAGGAUUAUCUAGAGGGUUGUAGCCUGUAGGAUAUAUGAUCUAGAGAUUGUGAAAGAUCUCUCGAAAAUUCUCAAGAAUUAGUCUACAAAAUAAAUUCCUAAGAAUCCUUCCCCAAUCCAAAGGAUCACGCUAGCAAUCCCCAAACCUCCGCUUUUGUCACUUAUCUUACCCUAGAUGGAUCUUCAAUACAGAUCGUUUUAUCCAUUUGAUCAAUACCAUACAAUUUAGGUGUCUUUGUAUAACAAGGCGUAGUAUAUCCCUUAUUUGGUAUUCACGCAACACAAUGAAACACAUGACUAUAUCUUUGUGUUUUUCCACUCAUUUUCGAAUUCUUUCUCUUUGUGUUAGAUUUAUUUUUGAGAGGCUGUCUCUUUUUUUUGGACAAAAGAAUAGAUACCUACAACUGUUUUAUAACAUAAACAAUAUCUUGCAGUCCGCCGCGUUGAAUGUAUGAAAUAGAGAAAGCUAAAACCUUCCUUACACAUGUUGAAUUCCUCCAUGCGGUAUAAACAUCAUCGUCACCAACUCGAAAUAGUCUGUAACAAAAGAUGUUGUCUUCUGAUAUUCGAUUAUACAGUGCAUGAUCCAAAUGAAUGCUUCUACUUCAACGUGCAAAGGAAAGAUUUUCUUGUAGACUUUUGCUCCCAUUAAUAUCAUUCAAUAUAUUCUUGGAAGCAAUGCCAUCCUAGUCUGGAAAAAUUGUCGGUUUAGUUUUCUUGUAAGAGCAGUCUAUGUAGCAUCAAAUAAUUUAACCAAAUUUCCUUGGGUCAACGAUCUAUUUUUUUAUGGGAAUUAUCUAUAGCAUGAGAUGUCUCCCGACCUAUAUAUGCCUUCUUUCUAUAUCUCCACGAAAUCGGGUUAAGACCUAUUUGAGAGAUUAAUAUUUUUAAGUUUGUUUUUGUGGGGAUAUACACAGAGAAAAUAAUUUAAUGUACGUUAACAUCUGAUGAUGGCUGAUGCUACAGUAAAAAUUCUAUAUAUUAAUAAUGUUGGAACUUUAAAAUUUUAUUAAUUUAGCAAAUUAUUAAUUUAUAAAGAAAUUAAUUUAACCAAAAUUUAAAUUUAAAACCAAAUAAUUAAUUGAGUUUAUUAAUUUAUCAAAUAUUAAUUUAUAGAAUUUCUGUUGUAUAUAUAUGAUAGUUCUCGUGAUUCUUUCUAUCCUUUCUAAGAAAGAGAAGUUAUCAAAUACAUUUAAUGGUGGAUACGUGGAGUCUCGGUCAGGAUUGUUGAUCACCACACGUGAUAGUGAAAUUGUAAUUUGGUAAUAAUAAGGGGAAAUGUUCAGCUAAAAAAAUUAAAUGAAACUCAGACCAUGCAAGUGUUGGAACCUUACUCAAUGAAUUGAUUGCUUGUUUCGAUCCAAAAUUCAAAAAGCAAUAACUAUAGCUGAUGCUGACUAUUGAGAAGAAAGUUCUAAAUUGGCAACUCAAACUAACCACAUGAUAGUAUGAUACAUAAUGACAUUCUUUCAAUUUUAUAGCCUUUUCUAUCAAAUUGAAAAUAUGGAAAACCAAAUUAUAUUUUUAAUAUUUAAAACAAGAUACUAGCUAUUCUAUAACUUUAGUAUACCCAGGUAAAGAAAAUAAGAUUUAGAUUCUAUAUUGAAUAAGAAUCAGUCUAAUUAUGACUCAUAUAGUUAGAUUUCAAUUAAAACUCUUAUUAGUUAUUCAGAAAUUAUGUUUUAUAAUUUGUAAGUAAGAAAAUUUAAAAUUAAUCUAUAUUAAUCAUAAAUAACCCUCUUAAAUAAAUAAGAGGUUAUAAGACAAUAAUUUACAUUUUUCAAUUUGUAGUUUCUAUUUAUUUCUGUAUUUUACUUUUUAUUUUAUUUUAUUAGUUUCUUUUUUUGAACCAAAAAUUAUUUUGUUUUAUAUUUAAUUUUUUAAUAUUUAAAUAUAAAUAACUAAAAUUUAAAAACUUAAAUUAUUAUAUUAACAUAUGUUACAAUCUAAACUAAUAAUGACACAUAUAAUAUCUGUAAAAAGUUAUAAUUAUUCUAUGUGUCAUGCUAACGUAGAUCUUACCAAGUAGGAUUGUAACACUAGAUAGAUUCAACUCUGCAUAAUACGUAAAAAAUAAUAAAAUAUUUAGAUGAUCUGGUCAUCGAUCUAGCAAACCACCACAAGGUGAUCUCAAUGCCCAUAGACGAUCCAACCGAGCCAUCCGAAGCUGAUUGGAGCCUUGUUGAAGCUGUAUCGGUGAAACCAAAUACCAAAUCAACUGAGGGAAGGCAUUUUUACCAACCAACCAACCCCAGUGAAGACUGAUCAAGCAAAAACACUUUUGACUCAAACCAGAACUGAAGAUAACCGAGACAUUCCACCUAAUAGCCAAGGAGCGGUUAUACCAUCACCAUCUUUGACCAAACCGGUGAUUCAUGAUCCAAGAACCAAUAUUCAUCGACCAACCGACCAUAAGGAGUAUUCUGUACGAGAUAUUUCAUGUCUUAACCAAGCUAGAAGUAAAGAUAACCGGAGCCUCACCAACCGGCUUGAUUACAAACCAGAUUUUACCCGAGAAGAGACUUGGGCUGAUUUCUUAGAGAUCAAACUCAAUCACCAAGAACUAAUAUCAAACCUGAUUUGCUCUGUGUUCUUGACCCAUUAAGGAAUCACGGUGAAUUGGAAUCAGUCCAACUUACCCGAUUGGAAAUAUGCACCUUAAUUGAAGCAUUCCGACCAAGCCGGGAGGAAUUAAGCUGCGAAAUGACUUGUUCUGGAAUCUGGGUUCAUCAAGGAAUCCGGGAUAGUUGGAAUCACACCAAGUCCGGUUUUCAUUUGGGAGAUACUCCAUUUCUAAACCGACCGAUGGUUUCCCAGCUUGCCUUAUUUGAAACCCUAUGGGUUUAGGAGACACUAGACGUAUCAGUGGCAUCCAGGAGACUGUGCUAUUUCCAGAAGUUCCCUAAAAUACUCUAGAGUGCACCCGUACGCCUUGGAUCAGGCGGAUCCAUCUGUACCUUCAAUUGAACUAACUAGGGCCGAUUAUAGAAACUACGAAGACCGACCAGUUCAAUUAUGAGCAAACCAAGAUAUCACGACCAGAAGAGAUUCUUAGACAAUUAAGGAGCUUAAAAACACCUUCCCAUGCACCAGAAACCACAGGAUCAGACGGAUCUUCUUGCAAGUCCACUUUCCUUAUGUAGCUGCGUUCACAUUAGGAGCCAUAACUUUCCAACGGCUCUUUGUCUUUAAGUGCUACGAUAUGGACAACUUUUUUGGAGAUAAGAAUGUUCCAGAAAUUCUCACUAAUCCUCUUAAACCUUACGGAUACAAAGGCGUCAUCACAAUUGCCUUAGUUGCCGAGACCCUCCAUUAAGAGCCAACAGCUAGUUUUUGAUAUAUUUUUGAUUUGUUCCUUUACUCUAGAUUUUUAGACCGUUUGUAAUUAAGCUUGUAGGAGCUCUAUACAAGCUCAGCUCAGGUAAUUUUUACAAUUCACCUUUAAAUCCAGAUUAAUACAAAGUAUUCCUUUUUCUUUCAAAGUUGUGUCUUUGCAAAGACUUGUUCUUUUCUUUAGAAUUAAGUGUGAGAUUCACUUAGCUCUAUAGAAGCUGCGAAAUUAGUUUGUUUAUGAGAUUCAAACAAACUAUUUCGUCGACAUAUUGAGAGAGUCAAUCAACCCCCAUCGAUUGAGAGUCAAUCACCCUAUCAUCAUCUUUAUCUCGACUUCAUUCCACCUUCCGCAGAAUAAGUUUGGAAUAUCUUCAUCAUUAAGUGAUCAUAAGUUGGAGUGAUUUCAAUCUUGUAUCAAUUAAUAAUGACACAUGUAAUGAUAUAGAAAGUUAUAAUUAUCCUACGUGUCAUGCUAGCGUAGAUCUUACCAAGUAGGGUUGUAACACUAGAUAGAUUCGGCUCUGCAUAAUAUGCAGAAAAAUAAUAAAAUAUUUAGGUUUUCAAUUUUUAUAAUCUGCAUAAUUAUGACUUGUACAGUUUGAUAUAUACUAUUAUUUGCGAGGUCAAAAAUCUGAUGUGUCAUCAUCACAGUGAUUGUCUUAUGUGUCAUUAAUAAAAAACAAUUAUGUGUUGUUUUAAUUUGUUUUGAUAGGUCAAUCAUUAGUCCUACGUGUACAUAUCCAUGACAUGGUUUUUUUUCUUAAUUAUGGGCCAAAGAUUUUGCUAAUGGGCCACCGAUCUUAAAGUUUGUCCUAGCCACCGAUGUAAAAGUCGGUACUAACCUAAACCCUAGCGUAUCCAUCGUGCUAGAUAUACCCAUUUCGGUUUUCAUAUUUUCUUACAUAUAAUAUCUGUCUACUAAAAAAAAAAUUGUUCACCUCUUUUUUUAAAAAAAAACUAUCAUAGCAUUUAAAAAAAACGUCCACCUCUUUUUUAAAAAAAGGAUCAUAUCAUUUUUUAUAUACUCCAUCUCUUUUUUUUAAACAAUCUCUAUGAUUAUUUAUGCGUAUUUCUAAUGAAAAUAACCUACUAUUUUUUGUAUAAUUGAUAUUUUGAUGGUUCUAUAGUUCAUCUCUCGCCUUACAAUGGAAUCGUCAGGUAAAUAUACAUUUUUGAUUUUAUCUUAGUUCGUGCUUUUAAUGUUUUUUCAGAUUCUAGAAGUUUUUCUUUUGUAAAUCCACGGCGUAAUAGUUAUUUGCUUCAAAACUUUUAUGAAUUUUCUGUAGCGAUUAGCAAUCGUCCCUUUCAUGAUCCUCAGAUUUUCUAUAUCAUCUGCCGCCAUCUCAAAUCGUUUUUCCACGAGAUGAAGAUUCUUCUGCCAGUGUUAACAAUGAUAAAUUUAUCGGUUGGUCGAAGUGUAAUCAGGACUAUCCAGAAUCCAGAUCGUUAUGUAUUCUGAAUUUCUGACACGUUGGAUUUGAGAUUGUUAAAAACAUCAUGGCAUCCCCGUCUCUGCGGAAUCUCCACACCGAGUAUUAUAUCCAAUUGUAACCCCAACACUGGUACUGCUUAAGGGUUUUAUUGCAUGUCGUUUGCAGUCCAUGUUCUUAUAUUGAUAUAAGAACAAAUAAAUGGUGUUGUCCACCCUACUUUCAAAGAUGCAUGUUAUGUUUUAGGUUAAAUUCACGAUGAUACUGAGAAUGUUUAAGCUUUCUAUAAGGCAAGUCAAUGAGGUUCCCGCUUCUCUCUCUUCAAAUGAGGUUCACUACUUUGUUACAUCCAGGUUCUAUGAUGAAUCACUUUUGUGUAUGGAGAUCCAUUCAAUGUUUUUUAGUAUAAGUUUUGUCAAUUUUUUGCAUUGUCUUUGAUUUUCUUUUCUUUCAUUAUAUUAUUUUAACAAUUUCUUAGAUUUUUUAUUCUGUUCUGCCCGGUUUCGGUUGAGAGGUUUACUAUUUGAGAUUUUUGUUGGACGUUGUUAGGUAUUUUUAUUGGACGUUGUUAGGUAUUUUUAUUGGAAGUUGUUAGUCUUGGUGCUCAUGCUUUAUAUAUAGAUGAUAUCCAGUAGCUAAAGAUUUGUGUACUUAGUGGUUCGUUUGUUCGGUUGGUAAUUUUUUGUUUGGGUUUUUGAAUUUGGUUUUGUAUUAUUUUUUCAGUCGGUUAGAUUGAUAUUUGGUGCGUGUUGGUUAUAUAUUUUGUGGUUUAAUGAUUACACUAUUAUAUAUAUAUAUACAUAUAUAUAUAGUUGUAGUGUGGUUUUUAGACAAAAUUCUCUUUUUUCAAUUUUUGCGAUAGUUUAUUUUUCAAGAAUGUCACAUAUUUAUUCAUUGAGCUUUUGUGGUGUUUAUGAUUUCUAAUAUGUCUACGGUUUUGUCAGAUAUGAUUGUAAUUAUUUACCUAAGCUCUUAAAAUUAUUAUUUAUUAUAUAAUCUAUACAUAUAUUGUGAUCAAAGUAAAGAAUGUAUAUCCUAGGGUUAUUUAACUAUGAUCUGAAAUUUAGUAUUUAUUAUAUAUAAUCUAAUAAGGAGAUGAAGACGACCAAUGAAGUCGGAAGGUGAAGAUGAUAAAAAUAUAGAAGACAAAGUAAAAUAAAAAAAUGAAAAAAAAGAAGUAGAAGAAGAGGAGAAAAAAAGAUAAAUCAAAAUAUAAAGAAGAAGCUGUAGUUGAUGAUAAAAACUAAAGAAAAAUAUGAACAUAAAUUUGAAUAAAACCAUAGAGAAAAAGAAGAAGAUGAGAACACAGAAUAGUGAAGAAGAAUAUUGAUAAGAAAAAAGAAAUUUGGCUUUGAAUAAGAAAACCAGAAGAAAUAAAUGAAAGAUGUAGAAACAAAGUAAAGACGAGGAAAUGGGAAAAUGAGUAGGUGUAGAUGAAAAAAAAAAGAUGAAAACACUAGAAGAAGAUAAAUUUGACAAAGACCAAAGAGGAAUAAGAAGUAAAGAAUAAAGAAGGCUAAUAAAAAUCAAAAAAGAAAGAAGAACAAGAAGAAAAAGAAGAAAAAGAAGAGCUGAGAAAUAUAACGAUGAUGAAGAAGAAGUCAAAACGAUGAUGAAGAUGAAAGAAAAUUAUGAAAAAUAAGAAAAUCGAAAGAUAUAUAAGACGAAGAAGAAAGUACAAGUCAAAGAUGAUGAAUAAGAAGGAAAAUAUGAAGAAGAAGAAGACUUUGGGACAGAAAAAAAAAACAAUGUCUUUAAAUUAUAUAUUAGAGAAUGAAGAAGAAAGACAUAUAAAAACCAAAAAAAUAAAAGAAUAAGGAAAAUACAAAGAAAAAAAAAACCAAAAGAUAAAAAGUAGAAAAAAGAGUAGAACAAAAUAGAAGAGCAAGAAGAAGGAGACAAGUCUGAAGUGGGAAUUGAAAUAGAAGUUGAAGACGAUGAAGAAGAGGAAAGAAAACAUAAGAAAUAAGAAAAUUGAAGUCAAUGAUAAAGAAGAAGUAAAAGACGAAGAAGAAGACUGAAAAAAAGAAAAAUAAAAAUCAUAAUAAGAAAAAUUAUGACAAGACGAAAUGUUGACAACUAAAAAUGGGAAGAGGAUGACGAAUUUAGAGAGAGAGAGAGAGAGAGAGAGAGAGAGAGAGAGAGAGAGAGAGAGAGAAAUUGUGGUAAUGCUUUCAGGGACAUGUAGAUGGAGAGAGAGAGACAGUGAGUGAGAGAAAUAGAGAGAGAGAGAGAGUAAGAGAAAUGAGAAAGAGAGAGUUAAACAUUUCAAGUACAUGACAUUAAAUCUAUGUUAGUUCGUCUUUUCUGUGUUUCUAUUUUUUUUUAUAUCUGAGACACUUCUUACUUUAAAUGUAGUUGUCUAAAUCGUAGAUAUAUACAACUUAAGACGAGGGAAGAAGAGAGAGAGAGUGAGAGAGAAAUACUGAAACAGAGGGAGGGUAAGAGAGAGAAUGAUAGGGAGGGACGCAUGGAGGGGGAGAGAAAGUUAAAGUUUUCAGGUAUAUGUAUUUGAUUAAUAUAAAAGACGAAGAAAAACAAGAAGAAUAUGAAGUCAGAGAGAUCAAAGAAGACGAAGGUGAUGAUGAAGAAGAAGAAUUCGAAGUAGAAGAGGAAGAAGUUGCGAAUAAGAUGUGGAAAACAUGAAGAAGAAGAAGACGUGAUUAAAAAAAAAAAACUAAAGAAUAAGAAGUAAGAAAAGACAUAUAGAAUGAAGAAGAAAUAAAAGAAAAUGAAAAGAAAGUAAGAAUAUGCGAGAGUAGAAUGAGAGAUAAAGGUGGAAAACUAUGAAUAAAGAUAAGGAAAAGACAAUAAAGAAGAAAAAUCAAAAGAUAAAUAAGAGGAAAAAAAUGAUGAAAAGCGAUUAUGUGGAGUGAUAACUAUGAGUUUUCAAGACUCUUUGUAGAGGUUAUCAAUCCCUUGUCUUGUAGUACAAGGGGUUUAUCAAUCCAAGAAUGUGGUGAUAGACACUAAGCUAUGUAAUCAGGUUCUUAAUUCAAGCAAACAAGAGUGGUUUGGUUAACUAGAGACAACUACAAACUUAAACAGGAUUAAAGACUAAUGAAAUGAUUAAACAAGAACUAAACAAUGAGAAAUGAUGAGAAUGUAUGAAUGAUGAUGAGAAAAGUCUUAGACAUGAUAGUGGAUUAGGGUGCCUUCAGUGAUAAACUAAUGAGCUAAUGAAUCAUAUGAUCAAGCAAACCAUUCAACAUAAACAUCUUUAAUUAAGUUAAUCCUCUCAUGAAGGUAUUAACUCCUAUGCUAAAACAGUUUCUAACCCAAUCAUCAUCAGUGAAACAUGAGUUAACAAGCAUUAAGAAUCAGUUUAAUCUGUCAUUUAAGCAUAUAGACAAUCAUUCCCAUGAUGAAUAACACUUAAACCUAUAACAACCUUGGUUCAAACAUUUCAUCAAACACUUUUGAUGCAUGAAAUGCCCAGAAUCUAGACCACAUAUGAUUUGUAUGGAUCUAGCAUAGAGAACAAGUUGUAGAGAAUGGAAUAUGCAUGAUCUAACCCCUAAGCUCACUAAUCUACCACUUAAACACCCUAAUCUACAUAUCUAAGACCUUAAUAUGGAGAUUACUCACUAAUCAUGAUCAACACACUAGAUCCUUUGCAAGAUGUGUUGUUAAUCAUGAUUAGAAGUGUAUAGAUGGAGAGAUAGAUGAUAGAUUUUAGAAGAAAGCAGCUUUAAACACAAAGAUCUCUUAAACUCUCUUGAUUAAACACUCAAUAAUCAAUAUUUCUCUUCUUAAUGGAGUCUUUUCACAAAAGAGGCAAGAGACAAAAGGAAUAAAGCUUAGUCUUCUAAAAACCCUACAAAGUAUUUAUAUCUCUCUAAAAAACGAACCGGGUCAGCCCGGAACAAACCGGAUCCUGACCCGGCUUUAAUGGAUAAAGUGGAAAUUCUGCGGGUUGGUCCAGUGUCUCCCAGGUAGCAUGCCCAAGUCGCAGUAGAUGAAGAACUUGUCUUGUGAGACUUAAAUCGCCUUGUCUUAGUCGCACGCCCAAGUAGGAGUGUUUUGCGAGUCUUGCUGCGGCUUAAUCUUCUUCUUCUUCAACUCGCAGGACCAAGGCGGUUUCUGGGGAAUGUACAAACCGUGCGGGUUGGUCUCCAUUACACUCAGGUCGCAGGCUCAAGUCGGAGUAGAUUGAGAGUGAUCGUGCGGCUUGGUUCCAGGCGCGGCCAACUCGCAUGCCUAAGUCGCACGAUUGUGGACUUAGCAAUUUUCUUGCUCGGGAGCCUCAGACCUCAUCCAUUGAUAGCUUACCCGCACUUCUCAACUCGCAGCAUCAAUUUCCAGGCAUUCGUCUUCAGGCCUGCGAGUUAACCAAGUCGCAAGGCUUUCUCGCAGCAUUCAGAGCAGCUUGGACCACUUCGCAUUCCGGAGAGUUUAACUUCUAAGAUACUUGUCCGAAUUGAGUGAUUCCGGUUGAAGAGGACAGAGGACUCAUAUAUCUCCAACUUUGGUGAAGGAAGCUUCGGUGCUUGGGAAGUGGAAGGCUUCCUGGAGAGCUCAUCUUUGCAGUGCAUUUACACGAUCAGAGAGAGGCGUCUAGACAUGUGUCAAUUCCGGAGACCGUAUCUUCCUGCUCAUAGCUCCGAAUUGAAUGAUCUUGGACGUUAUGGAUAGAGGACUCAAAUGUCUCUGAUUCGCAUGAAGGCUCAGGAAACUGAAUCGGCCUGAAAGUGCACUGUCCGUCGCAUUCUUCAGAGCUCAUCGGCUUGGUCCAGAACAGCAGCGAGACAGGGGUUCCUUCCGACGAGCUUAACUUUCUGCUCACGCGUCCGAAUUCCAUGAUUUCACUUGCUAUGGAACCAUGAUCCAAUCGUCUCCAACUUCGAUGAAGCACCCGACAACUGAAUCGGACCGGAAGGUUCCCCGGACAGGCGAUUUCGGAAACGUGUCUGCACCCGGAGAUUUUGGCCGAAAGAUUCAAUAGCCGGUACGCGUUUUGGCCGAUAAAGUCUACCCGCGGUACGCGUUUUGGCCGAGAAAAACCUUUCUGGUGCGCGAGAAUGGCCGAUAACCUCCAAAGACCCAAUUUCACCAUUUUUCAAGCCUUGAUCAUCAUUCCACCUCCUGGAUUCAUCUUUUCAGCUCCAAAUACACCUGAUAAGCACUCAAAACAUGCAAAGACUCAUUGGGACCUAAUGCAUCUCCUAAGUUCUAAAACAAACCCUAAGGACCUAAAAUGCAUGGAAUAAAACAUGAUUUGAAAUGAAUUAUGCAACCUAAAUGAUGCAAAUUAUGAACAUAUCAACUCCCCACACUUGUCCUUUGCUUGUCCUCAAGCAAACAAGAACAAAUGAGAGAGAGAGGUUGAAUGCAUGGGAGUUCACAUUUUCUUUUUGAGAGAAGUGAUCACAAUGAGAAUUCAAAUUCAUGCUCAAUUAUGCAAUGCAAAGCCAUACUCAGAUAUAUAUCAACUCAGCAAGGAAUUUCCACAAGUUCUUCUCUCUCUCAACUCUUACAUUCAUUAAGCUUUUAUCAGGUGAAUCUCAUGAUGCAAUGUUUAAACAAGCUGGCUUGGCUAGGGAGAGGCUAUGAGAUUAAAAUGAUCUCAUUAGUGUUCAAGUGGGUUUAAUGCAGCAAAGGGAUCUCUCUAUGAAUGAUCAAACUUUGGCAGAAUACUAAAGGUAAAAAGCAACCUAUGCAUACAAGGGCAAAGACUCAUCACACCCCACCCUCUACUCAAAGCUUUCUCACUUGCUCACUCUCUCAAGGACCUCACUUUUCACACUUAUUUUCCUCUCACUAGGGGACUUACUUUUCACUUUCACUCUCAAGUCUUGGAGUUCAAACUUUACACAGCUCUUUUUCUUUUGCAACCUCUAGCCUCCUUUUCUUCUUUCUUUUCAAAACAUUUGAGCUCUUUGGCUUCUUUUCUUUUCCUUUUACUUAGAGGCUAGACUCUUUCUUUUCAACACACCAGAGCUCACUUUCUUUAACUCAAAACUCCAAGACUGAUUUCUUUUUCUUUCAUUCCCCUAGCUAUUUCCACUUCCUCUUUUCCACUCAUCUCACCUUUUUCCACUCACCAACAAGUCUUUUCCCCCACACUUAUUCCUCGCCAAAACUCUCAGUUCCUUGAUGUUGGAACACAGCACUCAAUGAGACCUGCCCUUGUCGCUCUAAACCUAACACUUUCUGCUAAGUUUGAUCCAAGGUGGCCUUUCAAUUCACACACAAACAUUGGCUUGAAAGAAAGAUGGGUUCAAGGUGAGGGAACUGAUCCAUGAUGCGGAUUCAGCUACUUGAGCUAAGCAAAAAAGGGGGGGGGGUAAAAACAAUGGUUCUAGCUCAAGUAUGUAUAUCGGUAUCCACAAGCUUUUUCAAACAAUGCAUCACAAGAUAUUUUCAAGUCAAGUUCAAGGUUCCCACUUAAUUAGAGUUGAGUUCAAUUCAAACUUGCUUCUCAGAUUCAGAUCAUUUCAGACUUUGCAAGCACAGAAAAAGAUUCACAAGCAUAUUCAGUUCAAGUUCUCAAAGUGAUGUACUCUCUAGAAAAUCUAUCAUUACUCCCUGCAAGAUGCAACCUACAUGAACAUGCAAUCUAGACUCAAUCCUAAAAAUGAGAAUGCAACUACAUGAUCAUUUUUUUUGUGAAAAUUUUUCAGAUUUUUCAUUUUUUUUGGGUUUUUAUAUGCACUUAGAUGAGACUACAUGAAUAUGCAACUAGAAUGUGACUCAAGACUCAAAGUAUAAAAUAAGAACAGAGAAAACAUGGUUAGUAAAAGAUGAAACUCCUCCCCCACACUUAAAUAACACAGUCCCUUGUGUUAUAAAAGCAUGAGAAAGGAGUGAAAGCAAAGCAAACAAGUAAAAAUGCAAAGAAAAAGAAAAUCUACAUGCAUAUUUACAAGGUUUAGAGUGUUACCUAAGAGCUGUUGAAGUCAGACCCCAAUGAGUAAGAGGGGUUUGAAGUGUGACCGGAUGGUGUCUCCCAAGAAUGAUGGCUUGCUUCAUCAGACCCGUCGUCGAGAUCCACCCAAGUUGUGCCAUAUGUGACCAGGGCUAUGCAGUUCAUGGAACUCUCUCCAACUUCCUCUCUGUUCCUUGGUGAAACUGGUGCUGGAGACCCACCUUUGCAAGGGUUUUCAAGCUUAUUAAUCCUCUUCUUCAUCUCCUUGAUGCACUUGGCCAUCUUGUGGAUGGUUUUGUCUUGGUACUUGCACCAUUGUUGGAGAAUACCAAUCUUUUGUUGAGCUAUGAACCCUGAAGUGCCUGGUUCCUCCCAGUUGUAAUCAUCAAAAUGGUAUCUAUUUCCAACAAAACGUUUUUGAGGUGGAGGCAGAUCAGCAUCUUGAGCACCAGUAGCACUUGUGGUAGCAUCUUCAGCGGUUGCUCUCUUUCCCUUGGAGGCUUCUUCUCUGCAAGCUUGCUUGUAUGUGAGGAUUGGUGGAUCAGUUUGGACAUUGUACAGCUCUUCCUUCAGCAAGAAGAAGUGAAUGUUCCUCUUAACUUGGACUGUGGUGAUGGAGGGAUUGGGCAGGAGAGUUUGUGCUGGCUCACUGAUGAGAGUCUUGAAGUUGUAUACUACCUUGGUACCCACUCUUCCUUGGAGGAAGCCAAUCUUACACAAAUGUGCUUCAUUAAUUAGAUCAAACUUUGCCUUGUUCUCCUUGAAUCUGUACCCCUUGGCUUUCAAAAUCUUUGUUACCACCCAUCCAUGGGCCAGCUUUGCAUCUUGCUUUGUAGAACCCCAAAUGCACUUUUUUUAGAACAUCAAAGACCUUGCUAAUUGAGAGGCAAGGCAAAGUGGGUAUUCAUACUGUUCAUAGGGUUCCCCAUCUUCAUGAGUUGGCAUCAGCUGUUUCAGCCCCACACCAAGAAGCAUCAGAUCGCCUUUGUGAACUCUUCCAUCAUCGAUUUUGAAGUAGAAGCUGUGAGAGAGAAUCUUGUGAACAUAUCUCAGCACUGGAUUCCUUAUCCAAGAGGACUUAGCUGUUCCAGCUAUGUACUUCCCAGAAGCAAUUGAUCUCCAUAGAAGUUGGACCUCAUCUUUUCUGAGAUUGACCUGGUUGGAGAGAAGUUCAUUUCUAGGUGUUAACAACCCAAAAAUCUCAUUCAAUUCUCUGAAUGACACUGAAUAAUCCUUCCCUUUCAUAGUAAACUCCAAAUGUCCAAGCCCAUCUCCUUGAAUAAUUCUUGAAUCCCUUGGGUAGUAAAUGAAAGCUUCAAAAGAAGCCAAGAACUCCUGAGAUUCCUCUUCAUAAGCGAUCUCUCUCAUCUCCAAAAGUGACUCAACACCCAUGUUCCCAAGCAAGGUUUUGACAUCUUCAUAGAUGCCAAUAUUCUUCAAAAAGUCCACAUCAGGGAACCUCCCUUGCUGGAUCUCUAUCUGUUGAAACUUCGCCAGAUAAUCAAGUGUUUCUGGUUCAGUUUUCUUGAACCUUUUUGAUCCCUCUUCAAUGGUGCCUUGUGAACCACCAGCUGAGCUGCUUGAGUCACUUUCAGUCUGUUCACUCUCAGAUACGACAGCCAACUGUUUCCCCUUCUUCUUGGAACCAGAAGCAACCACCAAAGAUUUUCCUUCAUGCCUUGUCCUUUUUGGCGCUGGAUCACACUUCCCUUGCUUUGUGGUAUUCUUUGCUCCUUGACCUUUUUCUCUUGGCUGUGAAGACCCUGAGACCAAACCUUUGCCCUUUGAUGCAGUGCUCUUCUUCUUGGCCAGAGAGUUGGUUCUUUCAGUCAUCUGCCAAGACAUUCUCAAAAACAAUGUUAGUACAAGAACAAGCUUCACAAAAUUCUCCAAAAUUUUGAAAAAAAAAAAUUGUUGCAAGAAUCGAUUUUAAAACCACAUGAACAGGUUUCUCAAGCCAAGCAUCAAUCCAAUAAGUUCAUAGCAAUGCAAAAACAAGAGUGCAAAGCAAGGACUCAGCAAUGAAAAUAGAUCUUUUUAAAAAAAAAAAAAAAAUCGAUUUUUCUCAUGAAUUUCUUACAACAAUUUUCAAAACUCAAGAACAAGGAAUCACCAACAGCUGUUUUCUAAGACUAUCUAGCACCCUAGCAUUUAUAAAAAUAAUCCCAAGGUCUAAAACAAUCUAUCAAAAUCGAUUCCACACCUUGAAGUUCAAAAAUCACCAUUGAAGAACAUGGAAAAAGGUGAAUUUUAACUGAAUGAAAUACCUUGGGAUUAAGAUGCAACGAGCUCGAAAUGCAAUCAAGAUGAUGUUAAAAACUCAAAAACGAGUUCAGAGCACUUUGAAUCAACAAAUUUGGUGGAGAAAUGAGAGAGAUAUGAUGAAAACAAUGGAGAGAAAUGAGAGAAAGAGUUGCAAACUCGGGUUUUUGGUGAGGAAGAGAGAGUGUGGGACAGGUUAAAGACUUUGGACUGGUGGUCAAUAGAUCUAUUUUGACCAGUCAAGGCUUUGACCUGUCCUUUUCUCGUUGACCAGCCUCCUUUCUCUCCUUUGUGCGACCGGGAACCGUCGGGAUCGGGCCGCAUGACGGUCUCGGUGUAGAACCGGAAAUGUUUUUGUGCUACCUGGGAUCUUCUGUGCCUCCCCCGCAUGACCAAGUCGCAGUAAAAGUCCUUCAGCUCGGUUUUAUCUUUCCUCAUUGCUGCUGCCUGGAACCCUUGCUUUCCAGCUAGCACGCCCAACUCGGAGUAAUUUGCGAACAUGUGUGCGGGUUAGACUCCUUUGUUCCCAGGUAGCAUGACUAUCUCGCAGGGUUUGGGACUUAAAAACCUCGGGGUUCCUCUUCUGGUGCGGCCUGGCCUCCAUACUUCCCAGGUAGCACGCCCAACUCGGAGUAAUUUGCGAGUCUUCAUGCGGGUUAGCUUCUUUGUUCCCAGGUAGCAUGACUAGGUCACAGGUUUUUGGACUUAAACAAUUUGGCCUUUCUUUUCCUGCUGCGACCUGGUCUUCAUGCUUCCCAGCUAGCACGCCCAACUUGGAGUAAAAUGCGAUCAUACGUGCGGCCUAGCUUCUUUGUUCCCAGGUAGCAUGACUAGGUCGCAGGUAUUUGGACUUAAGAUGUCUCGGCCAUUCCUCUUUUGCUGCGACCUAGUCUCCUUGCUCCCAGCCAGCACGCCCACCUCGCACACCUUCACACUUAGGCGUUUGGCUCUUCUUGAUUUCGUGCAGCCUGGUCUCUAUGAUUCCCAGCUAGCACGCCCAACCCGGAGUGAUUUGCGAAUGGAUGUGCGGUUUAACUUCUCUUGUUUCCAGGCCGCAGCAACUACUCGCAGGUUUUUGCACUUAAACACCUCGGCCAUCCUUCUUUUGCUGCAACUUGGUCUUCAUUCUUCCCAGGUAGCACACCCAAUUCGGAGUAAAUUGCGAUCAUGUGUGCUACCUAACUCCUUUGUUCCCAGGCCACAGCUCCUACAUCGCAGAUCUUUGGACUAAAGAUACCUUGGACCUUUUCUUUUUGGUGCGGCCUGGUUUCUCUUUUCCCAGCCAGCACGCCUAACCCGGAGUGAUUUGCGAAUGGAUGUGCGGCCUAGCUUCCUCUCUUCUUACCCGCAGCACCAGCUAGCACAACCUCGGACUUAGACGUUUUGGACUUCUUCUUUUUGGUGCGGCCUGGUUUCUCUUUUCCCAGGUAGCACGCCCAGGCCGGAGUAAAUUGCGAGUCCUGCUGCGACCUGGGCUCUUCUUGCACCAAGCCGCACACCUAGGUAGCACUGAGGCGUUCUCCAAGUUUUUCAGGCCCUAAAUACUUCUCUCAGCCCUCUCACAUGCUCCAUUCCAUUCAUCACUGAGCUAUGUUCUCCAAAAAUCACCUAGAACCUGAGACCAACUCACAAAACCCAUCAAAAAGUUCUAAAACAUAAAAGAAAAGAGAAGAAAUCAAAAGAACUAUGUACAAAGAUAAGCUUGGGGUGUCUCCCAAGAGCACUUUGUUUAAAGUCUCUAAGUUUGACUAUGGAAACCUGUUUAGCAGGCUGGAGGUGGGUCAAGAAGGGGAACUGAUGUAGCUUCCUCCUUCCCUUGUGAAACUAAGUAAUGCUUGAUUCUUUGUCCGUUUACCACAAAUUCUUGACCAUUCUUCCCUUCUAAGACAAUAGCACCAUAUGGUCUCACUUCAAGAACUUUAAAAGGUCCAGACCAUCUAGACUUAAGUUUUCCUAGAAACAACUUAAGUCUAGAGUUGAACAGCAACACCAAAUCACCAUCCUUGAACUCCCUUUUCAGAAUCUUUUGGUCAUGCAGAACCUUGGUCUUCUCCUUAUAGAUCUUUGAGCUCUCAAAAGCCCCAAGCCUUAUCUCUUCAAGUUCAUGGAGUUGAAUGACCCUUUUCUCUUGAGCUGUCUUGAUAUCAAAGAUCAGCAACUUCACAGCCCACAAAGCCUUGUACUCUAACUCAACAGGAAGGUGGCAGCUCUUCCCAUAUAGCAGAUUGAAAGGUGAUGUCCCAAUAGGAGUUUUAAAGGCAGUCCUAUAAGCCCACAAUGCAUCAUCUAGCCUUUUGCUCCAAUCUUUUCUGCUUGAGCUCACAGUCCUCUCAAGAAUGGCCUUGAUCUGUCUAUUAGAUACUUCAACCUGGCCACUAGUUUGAGGAUGAUAAGGAGUAGCUACCUUGUGUUUCACUCCAUGCUUUCUCAGUAAACCCUCCAAAGUCUUGUUCACAAAAUGAGAUCCUCCAUCAGAGAUAACAACCCUUGGAACUCCAAAUCUUGGGAAGAUAAUGCUCUUGAACAGCUUCACUACAACCUUGGAAUCAUUGGUAGGGGAAGCAAUGGCCUCAACCCAUUUGGACACAUAGUCCACAUCAACAAGUAUAUACUGAUUCCCAUAGGAUGAAAUGAAAGGCCCCAUAAAGUCAAUCCCCCAGCAAUCAAAGAUCUCAACUUCUAGAAUUGGGUUUUAAGGCAUCUCACUCCUCUUUGAUAUGCUCCCAUGCCUCUGACAAGCAUCACAUGCUGAACCACUAACUGAGCAUCUUUGAACAUUGUGGGCCACCAAAACCCACUCUGAAGAACCUUUGCCACAGUCUUGAAUGCUCCCAUGUGACCCCCAAAAGCUGAACUAUGACACUCUUGCAACACAGGCUGCAUCUCCUCCUCAGCAAGACACCUUCUAUACAGCUGAUCUUUGUUCAGGACAUAGAGGUAGGGCUCAUCCCAAUGGUAUCUUUGAACUUCUCUGAAGAAUUUCUUCCUGUGGUAAGCAUCUAAUUCAGGUGGUUCCACUCCACAAGCAAGAUAGUUCACAAUGUCUGCAAACCAAGGCAUCCUCCUCUCUUGAAUGCUGUCCACUUCUUCAAACUCCAAAUAAGAAUGGAGCACCAUCAGUGAUUCCUCAGGAAGACUGUCAUUAAGAGGCAAUUCAGAGUCUAUUCUCAACCUAGAGAGAUGGUCUGCAGCUCCAUUCUCUAUACCCUUUUUGUCAUGUACUUCCAUAUCAAAAUCCUGAAGUAGAAGAACCCAUCUCAAUAGUCUUGGCUUAGCAUCUUUCUUGGUCAUCAGAUACCUGAGGGCUGCAUGAUCAGUAUAUACAAUUACUUUUGAUCCCACCAGGUAACUUCUGAAUUUAUCGAAGGCAAAGACUAUUGCCAACAUUUCCUUCUCAGUAGUAGCAUACUUCUCUUGUGCAGGGCCAAGUGUUCUACUAGCAUAGUAAAUGACAUGAAGCUUCUUAUCUUUCUUCUGGCCAAAUACAGCUCCAACUGCAAAAUCAGAUGCAUCAGUCAUAACCUCAAAAGGUAGGGACCAGUCUGGGGCUUGGACAAUUGGUGCACUGACUAAUGCAUCCUUGAUCAUCUUGAAGGCCUCUUCACAUUCAGCAUCAAAGAUGAAAUCCACUUCUUUACAAAACAGCCUUGUCAAGGGCCUGGCAAUUCUUGAGAAGUCUUUGAUAAAUCUUCUGUAAAACCCUGCAUGCCCAAGGAAACUCCUUAUCCCUUUAACUGAAGUGGGAGUUUGCAGAUUCACCAUCACUUCCACCUUUGCUCUGUCAACCUCAAUACCCUUCUCAGAUAUCUUGUGCCCAAGAACUAUUCCUUCCCGCACCAUGAAGUAGUAUUUCUCCCAGUUUAACACCAAGUUAUCCUGCUCAAAUCUCUCCAAGACCUGUUACAAAUUAGAGAGAAAAUCCGAGAAGGAGGAGCCAUAGACACUAAAGUCAUCCAUGCACACCUCCACCUUCUCUUCAAUAAUGUCAGAGAAUAUAUGCAUCAUGCAACGUUGAAAUGUGGCAGGGGCAUUACAGAGACCAAAAGGCAUUCGCCUGUAUGCAAAGGUGCCAUAAGGGCAUGUGAAUGUUGUUUUCUCUUGAUCUCGGGGAUCUAUGGGAAUUUGGAAGAACCCCGAGUACCCAUCGAGAAAACAAAAGAAGGGGUGUUUUGCAACGCCUCUCUAACAUCUGAUCAAUGAAAUGUAAGAAACUAUCCUUCCUNNNNNNNNNNNNNNNNNNNNNNNNNNNNNNNNNNNNNNNNNNNNNNNNNNNNNNNNNNNNNNNNNNNNNNNNNNNNNNNNNNNNNNNNNNNNNNNNNNNNNNNNNNNNNNNNNNNNNNNNNNNNNNNNNNNNNNNNNNNNNNNNNNNNNNNNNNNNNNNNNNNNNNNNNNNNNNNNNNNNNNNNNNNNNNNNNNNNNNNNNNNNNNNNNNNNNNUCGUAGUAGUUAAGUGUAUCCUAUGGCUCUCCUGAACUUUCUUAUCUCACUAAGCAAUGCACUCUCUUGAUCCUCUAAUAGGCUAUCAUUGAUGAUUACUGGAUAUGUUGAGUUUAAGCCCAAGAAGGCAUACAUGAGCCCUGUUGGUAGAGGCUUGAGCUCAACAGGGGGUGCAUCAGCCUCAUUCCAAUCCUGGUCCAAGCUGCUUUGGCUGGUGUCUGAUCCUUUGAUAGCAAAAACCUCAGAGCCACUUUGUUCCAGCUCCAAAAACCUUGUCUCAGGACCCAGCUCUCUAGCAUUGUCCAAAUACAACUUGUACCCUUCACUUGCUUCAGCUAAGAGCCCAUUGUCUCCUUGUUCUUGAGUUAGAGCAGCUUGAAGAGGAUCCUCAGUGUUCAGCUCCUCUAGCAACUCAUCAGCCAACUGAUCCAUUGUCUCCACAUAGAAACAUUGACCUUCAAUGGUGGGUUUCUUCAUCAUCUCAUUCACGUCAAACUUGAGCUUUUCAGACCCAAGUUGAAGCUCUAUUAUCCCACCUCUCACAUCAAUUUUGGCUCCUGCAGUUGCUAAGAAUGGCCUGCCCAAGAUAAGAGGAUCUACUGGUUCUUCAUCCAUCUCCAGCACAACAAAAUCAGUUGGAACCUCAAAACCACCUAUCUUGACAGGUAGAUCUUCCAACAUACCAACAGGCAAUCUAACUGAUCUAUCUGCAAGGAUAAGAGAAAUCCUUGCAGGCUUGAAGACUCUAAAGCCCAGCUUCUUUGCUAUGGAGAAUGGCAUCAAGCUGACUGAUGCUCCUAGAUCACAAAGACAUCCAGAGAAUAGAAGAGGUCCAAUGGCACAAGGGAGUGUGAAACUCCCUGGAUCAGUUAACUUUCUUGGUAUGGACUUCUUCUGAAUGAUAGCACUGCAUUCAUGACUUAGUACCACCAUGCCUUGAAGUUUUUUUGUCUUGUUCAGAAUGGCAUCCUUCAGGAACUUGCCCAUCUAUGGCAUCAUUAAGAAUGCAUCAAUAAGAGGCAUAGUGAGUGGUGUCUCAUUGAGUGCCUUCUCAAAUACAGCUUUUGCCUUGUCCACAAGCUGCUUCUUAAAUCUCCCUGGAAAUGGGAGCUUGGGUUGGUAUGGAGGUGGUGGCACAUAUACCUUUUCUGGUUCAGGUUCCUUUGCUACCUUUUUACUCUUUUGGACAGGUUUCUCAGCAACCUGAUCAUCUUUUAAGGCUGCCUCCCCCUCAGUUUGAUCAUUGUCCUCAAUGAUCACAUUGUUGUUCUCAAUACCAGGUAACUCCUUUCCACUCCUCAGUGUAAUGGCCUUAGCAUAUUCCUUGGGGUUGGGUUCUCCGGUCUGAUUCAGUUGUCGGGUGCUUCAUCGCAGUUGGAGAAGAUUGGAUCACGGUUCCAUAGCAAGUUGAAUCAUGGAAUUCCGACGCAUGAGCAGAAAGUUAAGCUCGUCGGAAGGAACCCCUGUCUCGCUGCUGUUCUGGACCAAGCCGAUGAGCUCUGAAGAAUGCGAAGUACGGUGCACUUUCAGGCCGAUUCAGUUUCCGGGGCCUUCAUGAGAAUCAGAGACAUUUGAGUCCGCUUUCCAGAACGUCCAAGAUCAUUCAAUUCGGAGCUAUGAGCAGGAAGAUACGGUCUCCGGAAUGGACACAUGUCUAGACGCCUCUCUCUGAUCGUGUAAAUGCACUGCAAAGAUGAGCCCUCCAGGAAGCCUUCCACUUCCCAAGCACCAAAGCUUCCUUCACCAAAGUUGGAGAUAUAUGAGUCCUCUGUCCUCUGCCCUCUGCUACCGGAAUCACUCAAUUCAGACAAGUAUCUUAGAAGUUACACUCUCCGGAAUGCGAAGUGGUCCAAGCUGCUCUGAAUGCUGCGAGAAAGCCUUGCGACUUGGUUAACUCGCAGGCCUGAAGACGAAUGCCUGGAAAUUGAUGCUCCAAGUUGAGAAGAGCGGGUAAGCUAUCAAUGGAUGAGGUCUGAGGCUCCCGAGAAAGAAAAUUGCUAAGUCCACAAUCGUGCGACUUAGGCAUGCUAGUUGGCCGCGCCUGGAACCAAGCCGCACGAUCACUCGCAAUCUACUCCGACUUGAGCCUGCGACCUGAGUGUAGUGGAGACCAACCCGCACGGUUUGUACAUUCCCCAGAAACCGCCUUGGUCCUGCGAGUUGAAGAAGAAGAAGAUUAAGCCGCAGCAAGACUCGCAAAUGGUGGUUGAAACUGUUGUUGAACAGGCGCUUGCUGUUGGAACUGUGGAGGACCAAACCCUGGUGGUGCCUUUUGCUGCUGUGUACUGAAACUAGGACCUUGAAAAGGUUGUUGUUGCUGACCAAAACCUUGAUUCUGAGCAAACUGAUUCUUUGGUUGAAAAGAUCCUUGAAAGUUGUUCUUGGGAACAAAGUUCUGUGGAGCUUGAGAAUUGGGAUACACCUGGUCUUGUGGGUUAGCUACAUUGGUGUUCCUGUAAGAAAGGUUUGGAUUGGCAUUACCAUACUGAUAUCUCUGGAACCUCUGAUUCCCAAUGUAGUUUAGCUCCUCCUGGGUAAGACCUUCUUCACUUAUGUUCUCAAAGAUUUGAGAAGGUUCCUCAUACUCUCCAACAAAAUGCAUUGGCUUCUGAGUGGUGGAAAGGGUGGGGUUGGUGGUGCACCUGUUGUCUUUGCUGUACAUUGGCCUGAUGCCUCUGUUGAUGAGCUUGAGCUUGUCCCUGGUGGACAUAAGCUUGUUGGUGCACCUGUUCCUGAUGAACAUUACCCUGAUUUAACCCUUGACCAGCUCCAUUACCAGCUCCAUUACCCUGAGCCUGUUGCUCCUGAACCGGUUGUUCUAUAUCCACUACGUGCUCUCUUUGUUCUUCCAUAUCAGCCUGAUCAAUCUGUCUUCCACGUCUGUCCCUUCUCCUCCUUGGUACCAAAAGAUUGAUGUUGUCGUUGAGAGGGAAAGGUGGACCACAGCUUCUUGAUCUAGACCUGGUGUUCAUACCCGGACAGGCGAUUUCAGAAACGUGUCUGCACCCGGAGAUUUUGGCUGAGGGAUUCAAUAGCCGGUACGCGUUUUGGCCGAUAAAGUCUACCCGCGGUACGCGUUUUGGCCGAGAAAAACCUUCCUGGUGCGCGAGAAUGGCCGAUAACCUCCAAAGAACCAAUUUCACCAUUUUUCAAGCCUUGAUCAUCAUUCCACCUCCUGGAUUCAUCUUUUCAGCUCCAAAUACACCUGAUAAGUACUCAAAACAUGCAAAGACUCAUUGGGACCUAAUGAAUCUUCUAAAUUCUAAAACAAACCCUAAGGACCUAAAAUGCAUGGAAUAAAACAUGAUUUGGAAUGAAUUAUGCAACCUAAAUGAUGCAAAUUAUGAACAUGGAGACGAAGAACUCGCUUUUUUCUUAGUUCAAUUGGUUUUGUGAAUUUCAUAAACUUAUUUGGUAAGCAUAUACGUCUUUAAUUUUGGAUAGUAUUUAUUUUUUCGAUUUUAUUUUAUUUUAUUAUGUAUGUCUUAAAUAGUUGUUUUAAGUAAAAAUUACUCAAACUAACCUUUAAGGUGACCUAAAUGACAAACCUAACCUAACAUAUUUUGAGUCUUACUAGAUUAACCUUACAAAGUUGGUCUAAUACCAUUUUAUCCAGAUGUUGAAUAUUAUUACGAAAAUGCCAUAUUGAUUUUUUUUUUUUUAAAAAAUUCGAUUUGUUUUUUAUUUUAUUUUUCUGAAAAAAAUAUUAAAAAAGUAGAUACAAAAAACAAAAAAACAAACCUAAUAUUAAAAAAAAUUAUCUCUCUCAUCUUCUCUCUCAUCUUCUCUCUCGCUUCUCUCUCGUUUCUCUCUAACCUAGAUCUUUUUUUUUCUGCUGCAUUUCUUGAUUCCGGCAGUUAGCGGCGGUGGACCACUCCUUUCUUGCCUCCGUCGAUCACAAGAAUCGUCCGAUGGCACCAGUGCACCUCUCACUUCCCUUUAGAUGGCAAUUUUGUCCUUAUCUUUGAGCAUUGUGCUUCCCUUGAGUCUCUAGAUCCUUCCGCCUUCUACCACUAGACCGAAGACCUUCCUCUAGUUCUCCUCCAUUACUAUGAAGUCGCAGCAAGGCUCAAUCGCUUGGAUCCCUUGACAGUGUCCUUCACCAAGGGUUACAAAUCGAGUGACGACACAGCUGUGAGACCACAACUCUUAAGCGGCAUUCUCGCCGCAUCGCACACAACCGCAGUGGAUAGACGUUGUUUCAGUGGAAUGGUGGUUUUGAGGAGGUUGUCGGCGGCGUAAUUUUUUUUGUAAAACCCGUAACCCUAAUUUUUGUUUUGUUUCAGGUAAGUUUGAUAAAUAUAUUUGAAAAAACGAUAUUGUAUUUUUUAGUUGUAAAGUUCAUAACGUGUGAUGGUAGAUUUAUUUGAAAAACGGUAUGUAGUUUGGUAGAUUAUUAGUUAUUUGAUGGUAGAUAUAUUUACAAAACGAUAUGUAGUUUGGUAUAUCUAUUAGUUAUUUGAUGGUAAAUUUAUUUAAAAAACAAUGUGGUUUGGUAUAUUUAUUAGUCAUCUGACGGUAGACUUAUUUGAAAAACAAUGUGAUUUGGUAGAUUUAUUAGUCAUUUGAUGGUAACUUAUUUGAAAAACGAUAUGUGGUUUGGUAGUUUUAUCAGUUAUUUGAUGGUAGAUUUAUCAGUUAUAUAUAUUUGAAUUUUAUAUUUGAAUGAUGGCAUUUGUUUGUUCUUCUCUGACAGGUUAUGGGAUUUGUGAUGGCGAACGAGUCUCUGAUGGGUUAUGUUCUACUAUGAAUAUUAGAUUUGCAUUUGGUAGAUUUGUUUUGAAAUGAUGGUAGAUUUAUUAUUGAAUUGAUGGUAUAUCUAUAUUUGAAUUUGUACAAAUGAUAAUUAGAUUUUAGAUGAUGAUAUCUUUGUUUUCAAAUUAUAUUUGGCGCAAAAGAUUGACUCAAACAUUUCAUCUUUUUACCACUUUUCUUUACUUUCACUAUGGUUUAUAUCCUAAGUUAAUGAAAUUUUAAACAAAACACAUGAUUAAAGUCAUUUCACAUUGUGAUGUUCAAAAGUUUAUGUAAAUAUAAUUAAAUAUAACAAAAUAUUCACAAAUAAAAAUUAAAAGAUCAUAAGUUAAGAGAUAGUCAUUACAGACAAAAACGAUAAGGACAUAAGAUAAAUGUUUAAGUGAACUAGUAGGACAUAUAUGUUCAAGGUUAAUAUGUGAUAACACCGUAUUUUGACCACUUUUAUGGAUCGUUUUGAAAUACUUUUUCUAUGUUUUUAAUUGCUUUUAAGUACUUUUAUCACGUUUUUCUAGUAUUUUUAGUUCCAAGACUCUUUUCAGGUAACUUAGGGAAAAACUUAACAAAAUGGAUAGAAAACCAGAUUUCAGCUCAAAGUCAAACCGUCAGAAGUUCACCCCUGAUUGAAGGCCUUCUCACCGUCUGUUCCAGCUCAAAUUUGGAGACCUUAAAGAUGGAAGUAUCAACUUUCCAGCACACUUUACAGCUUGACAAUCCAACGGUUCAAUCAAAAGAUACGCGAAGAGCAAGAUGUCCCGUAAACCAGCCAGCAAGCAACUCCACCCGUGGCCAAUAAGCCAUUUCCCGCGGUCAGAAGCAUCCCGACCGCGGCAAACCACUCAUUCCCCGCGGUCACAGCACUCCCAACCGCAGCAAGCCAACUCCGAGCCCAAAAGCCCAUUUUUGAAGCCCACAAUGAUUCCCUCAUUUGGAGAAACCCUAAGUGACGUCCAGAGCACUAUAAAUACAUGUUUUAGGAACCCUAAUCGAAAAAAAAAGAGACCACCGAAUUUUUACUUCAUAGUUUUAUUGUUUUUGCUUUAGCUUUUAGGGAGAGAGAGAUUUGUUCUCUUGAACCCUUGUUCUUUCUUUUUUAAUUUCGGUUUCUAUUCUACUUAUUAAUACUAUGUUUUUGAUUUCGUUCAUUAUGUCUGAGUAGUUUUAUUGUUGGGAUUAAGGGAUUUUAGAUGGGGAUUUAUAUGUUCGAUGAGGAUUCCAUGAGCUUUUGAGCCGAAUCUUAGAACUUAUUCUUCUGAAUUCGUUUUUACUGCAUGAGAGUAGCGUCAUGAACUACAAUCUGAUCCAGAUGCUUUGUGACACGAAAGUGUUCAUCAGGUAUCAGAUCUAGUUUGGGAGAGCAAAACAAACAUAGGAGUGGAAACCUACCUAUGGGCGAUUUGUCAAUGCUGACGAGUCUUAAACAUAAUGCAUCUCUUCUUUUCCAGGGCCAUAGUGGAAACCUACUGGUCAGGGUUGAGAGAGAUAGUUGUCUAUGAUCACGACAGUGGCGUAUUCAUAUGUCCGUGACUCCAGUUCGAAAAGUUUAAGCUAAGAUCUUAGCAAUUUUACUCUCUAGCAAUGUUUUGAAUCGUUCGUACCCCUGAGAAAACUUCCCUGAACCCCAACGCCUUCUUUCCUAUUGAUUUACACCGUUUUUAUUUCAAGCUUUAGUUCAAUAUUGUCUUUCCUUUUUAGUAGAUUUUCAUUUAAGCAAUUAGAAUAUCCGUUUUUCUCAUUUUUAUUCAUUUUCGUUAAGUUUAGUUAUUAGGUCAUUUAAUUCCCGUAUUUUCUUUUAAGAUUUCGUUUUUACAUUUUAAACACACCACCAAACCCCCACAAAACCGUUUUGGUUCUAGACUUCCUUACUUUAUACUUAUUUCAAAGGCUUUUUGCAGGAAAAGAUCCUCUUUCCCCGUGGAUUCGAUCCCAAAGUACUACAAUCGAUCAGCUGUGCACUUGCGGCUAUUGAUUUCAUUUAGGUUAAAACUUGACAACCCUCACGACAACACCACAUCAAGUUUUUGGCGCUGUUGCCGGGGAAAGCACGCGUUUUCUUUUCUGCAACCCCGAGAAAGGUUGGUAAAUCGACUCUAAAACCCCUUUUUCUGCAAUUUUCCAUUUUUCGGUUUUUUUGUUUCCAUUUCAGAAGAUAUGGAUCCUAUAAAUCGAAAUAUACACUAUGAGGAAGGUUUAUAUAACACUCCUCAAGCCACCAGACACAGAACGUUCCAGAAGGAGCCCUGCGCAUCUCCAAUGGCCAACCCUGAACAACCCGCUCGUCGUUUGCCUCACCAAGAUGAAAACGUCCAACUCAUUCACUGAUUGAAAACACUAGAAGUGGCGGUCUUGCACCUACUCGACGUUCAAGCGAGAUCUAGAUCCACAAUCCACGAGAAAAUUGACGACUUGUCAAUGCGCUUUAACAGAAAGCUUGAAGAUCUUUCAGCUCAAGUCAAGACCAUCGAAACUCAACUAAACAAGGGUGCUGAAACCAUUAAGGAGAGGAUAGAAGCAAUCGAAGGACGAGUUGGAGAAAACGAAGUUCGCAUUCGCAAAGCCAGUGGGAACAUCCGCACCUUAGAGAUCAAACUUGAUGAAGCAGAAGAGACUAUUAACGACCAUAACAACCAAACCUAUUCCUACAUGGAAGAGAUUUAGGAUGGAGUACACAAGGUUCAAGACAAAACAGAGGAAAUAGACUCAACCGUGGACAAAGUAGUCUAUGCCCUCGAUGAAAUCGAAGAGAAGGUUGAAAAGCUUAUGCAAGGAUGUGAAACAAACGGUUCGACGCUUCUCAUCGAAGAUCUUACCUUAAAAAAGGAGGAAACGGAGCUAGAAUGUGCAGAAAUCAGUUUAGAUGGCAAAAGAGCAGACGAAACAAAGGAAACAACUCGGAGCCUUCUUCUCGCGGUCAGAACUCUCGUGACCGCGGCCAACAAGCCUCCAGCCGCGGUCGUGAGCCUCCUGACCGCGGCAAAACCCUCCCCACCCGCGGUCGUGAAACCUCUACCCGCUGCAAAUGCUCCGUCAGAUACCUUUCAGCCCUUUUCCACUCCUACAGGUCAAUGCUUAUUUGAUACAUCUGCUAGGAUGGUCAAAGCCCCUCUACAUGAGCAAACGGUGUAUGCUAUCAGCUCCAAAACAUCUCAAGAAGAAAAUGAGGUACUCCCUUGCAACAUAGUUUUAGCAUAUGAGGAUGAAUAUGAAGGGCACUACCUCGAAGAUGAAGACUAUCGUCUGUUCAUAGAAGGAGGGAAUCCAGACAAAAUGGUGGAAUUAGGAGCACCAAUCUCCAGAGAAAGGCUCAUUGAAUUCAACAAGUUUGUGAAAUCGAUCCCUCUUUACACAGGUUUCGAUGAUAUAUGGCAUCUUGGUUGUUUGCAAGUUUUCUUUAGGUACAGCAAGGAGACAAAGGAGGAUAUCAGAACCUAUUUUGGGAGGGCUAGACGUCUGACUUUUCCCAGAACAUCACCUGAUGCUGCAAUCUAUUCAAUUCACCUCAAAAAGCCGGAAGACUGCAGCCACUACACCAACAAAAUCAGCAAGGAAAAGCUCGAUGAAUUCAAUGAUGUGGUUCGAAAUUUGCCUGAAGAAAUCACGUUUGCCAGAGCUUGCAAGGACUUUAUGAUAGGCCACUACUUCUGUGAGAGCAAAGAAUCAAUCCCUGAGAUAGAAGACUUGUUCAAUCAUGCCAGAAGAGGUAAACCUGUUCGAACACUUCAUAAAAUAGAAGGUGUAGGUCAGUUUCUUAUCUCUUGUUCUAUUAGAGGAGAAAUGUUUAAAAACGUGCUAUGUGAUUCUGGAGCUUGUGUUAACAUGAUGUCCAAGGCAAUUGAUUUGAGACUUGGUAUUAAACACCUGCGCAGGACUAGAGCAAAGAUUAGUCUAGCUGAUGAUUCCAAUGCAACACCUCAAGGAAUAGCUCAUGAAAUUCCUUUGAGAAUAGGAGAUUACAUAGUGCCUGUCGACUUCUACAUUGUCGAAACGAGAGAUGCAACAUAUCCAGUGAUUCUCGGAUGGUCUUUUCUAGCAACUUUCGGAGCUAUAAUGGACUGGCCAAACCGGAGGAUUUCAUUUGCUAAUAUCGACAAAGAUGUCUUCACAGAAGCUGUUCCAUACAACAGCAAAGCAGGAAAACGUUCUGCAACAGAAGAGUUUGAAGAAGAACUUUGGAGUGACGAAGAACCUGCUAGGCAAAGCAAGGAGAUGUCGAAAAAGACUUGUCUCAGGACAAGGUCUUCUUCAUUGGAAUAAGUCACGUCCAACACCAAAAGUCGAGCUAAACGACUUAAAACAGAAGCGCUUAAUGGGAGGCAACCCAUUUAGGUAUUGUUUUCUUUAGGAUUUUUCUUUCUUUUUCUUUUGAUCUUUUUCUUUUUCUUAAUUUCAGGUGUUUCUUAUAAAACAAAAAAACCAAAAAAUCAAAAAACCCGAAAAAAACCAAAAAGAAGGAUGGUACCUGACUGCUCGGCCCAGCAGGAACCAAGGAGAAGCAGGAAGAGGCCGCGAAAUAAGCCUCCGCGGUCGCAGACGUUCUGACCGCGGGAAACUACUCAUCGACCGCGGUCGCGUGAUCCUGACCGCGGCCAAACACUUGGUUGCCGCGGUCGCGCGACCCCUGUCCGCGGCACUUGGUCGUUGACAUCAAACCCAACCCCAAACCACCCACUUCACCCCAUUCCACCUCACCAAUCACCCUCCACCUCAUUCAUCACCCUCCACCACCUUCAUCACCCCCUAAUCACCUUCCCAAACCUCUUCGAAUGAAUCCGGUUCAUCUCCACCAGCAUCCCGGAUCCAGGUAAGUUCUCUUUGUCCUUACCAAUUCGAUUAUCUAUGCAUUUUUCUCAUCCAAUCUCGACUUGUUUCACACUGAGGACAGUGUGAUUUAAGUCUGGGGGAGGAUUUCAUCCUUUUCUAACCACUUUUCUUUCAUGAGUCUUGCAUUAUCUACACUUUUUGCAUUUUCCUUAAAGUUUUUCAAAAUCGGUUUUCAAAACAAAAUACGUUUUAAAGGGAAUGGUGAACAUAAAUCAAUGAUAGUUGACUGUGUGCUUUAGACUAUUCCUAGUGACAUGCUCAUUCAUGAUUUAGGACUAGACUAGGCGGUAGCUAAGCACAUUUGAAACGAAGUACCCCAGAGGAAUUUGAAUGAUUUCGAUUUAGAUGAAGGGAUACACUAGCUCUGUUUUAUUUGGACUUAAUUUGGACUCAAUUUUCUCAUUGAAGCUUUAGACCAGGGAAACGAAUCAUACAUUCAGGACUCCUUUAUCCUUUUACCACUCUCAGUUGAUCCUGAAUGGCUAGUUCAUCUUUAGCUAGUUCCCCACCUUAACCAAUCCUCUUUCAAACCACAUGCACUCUUGUUUUCUAUUGUCUUACAUGCAGAUAAGUGCAAAAACGUUGGAGAGAAAGAGGAACGACGCAGUUUUCAGUCACCAAGGAUAGAGACCUGCGAUUUGCCGGAAAAGUUUCCGGAAGGAUCCAACACAAGAGGAAGCUCAGUUUGCCUUAGAAAAAUCUCAAAUUUUGGUACAAUCUCGUCCUCUAGUCUCUCUCUCUUUAAAAGGCAUUUCCUAUUCUAAAAAAAAAAAAAAAAAAAAUCCAAAAAUAAGAAAAGAAAGGAAAUAAAAGCCUUAGAGAGUCUAGAGAGCUCGAAUUUUAAGUCCCAAGGCAACUGGAGUUUGAUUUUAUGGAGUUUUGGAGAUCGUUUUCUGAUUCCUGGAAAGAAUCUAAGUCUGGGGGAACAGCUGUUUACAACAAAGGAGGAAGGAUUAUGCAACAACAUUUGGCAAGAAGAAGUGACUGAAAAACUGUGGUCAUCAACAGGUCCUUAUCUCUCUUGCGGUUUUGCAUAUUAUCUUGCAUCCUCCAGAUCUUCAGGUAACCCGAAACACUUUAACUCCACCACUUAAACAGUCCUUUAAUGCCAAACGCCGUCUACCCUGGAUAAUGUCUUUAAUGAGAAAUCACUAUUGAACUUAAUGAAUGUAGAGAGCUAGUUGACUGGAAUCAAGAUUUAGAUUUUUUAAGUUUUGCAUGACGGAAAAAGUGGACUAGUAUCUUUUGUGUCUUGGUGAGAAUUUUCUAGACUAAGUUGUGGAUUGAUGCACUAUCUUUGGUUCUAGUUUAGGAGUUAAUGUCUCUGAGAAUUGUGAAUUUCCUAUUUUUGUUUUCACCUAACCAGUUUAGACUUUUGCUUUGCUUGAGGACAAACAAAGGUUUAAGUCUGGGGGAGUUGAUAACACCGUAUUUUGACCACUUUUAUGGAUCGUUUUGAAAUACUUUUUCUAUGUUUUUAAUUGCUUUUAAGUACUUUUAUCACGUUUUUCUAGUAUUUUUAGUUCCAAGACUCUUUUCAGGUAACUUAGGGAAAAACUUAACAAAAUGGAAAGAAAACCAGAUUUCAGCUCAGAGUCAAACCGUCAGAAGUUCACCCCUAAUUGAAGGCCUUCUCACCGUCUGAUCCAGCUCAAAUUUGGAGACCUUAAAGAUGGAAGUAUCAGCUUUCCAGCACACUUUACAGCUUAGCAAUCUAACCGUUCAAUCAAAAGAUACGCGAAGAGCAAAAUGUCCUGUAAACCAGCCGGCAAGCAACUCCACCUGCGGCCAACAGGCCAUUUCCCGCGGUCAGAAGCAUCCCGACUGCGGCAAACCACUCAUUCCCCGCGGUCACAGCACUCCCGACCGCGGCAAGCCAACUCCGAGCCCAAAAGCCCAUUUCUGAAGCCCACAAUGAUUUCCUCAUUUGGAGAAACCCUAAGUGACGUCCAGAGCACUAUAAAUACAUGUUUUAGGAACCCUACUCGAAAAAAUAGAGACUACCGAAUUUUUACUUCAUACUUUUAUUGUUUUUGCUUUAGCUUUUGGGAGAGAGAGAUUUGUUCUCUUACCCUUGUUCUUUCUUUUUCAAUUUCGGUUUCUAUUCUACUUAUUAAUACUAUGUUUUUGAUUUCGUUCAUUAUGUAUGAGUAGUUCAAUUGUUAGGAUUAAGGGAUUUUCGAUGGGGAUUUAUAUGUUCGAUGAGGAUUCCAUGAGCUUUUGAGCCGAAUCUUAGAACUUUUUCUUCUGAAUUCGUUUUUACUGCAUGAGAGUAGCGUCAUGAACUACAAUCUGAUCCAGAUGCUUGGUGACACAAAAGUGUUCAUCAGGUAUCAGAUCUAGUUUGGGAGAGCAAAACAAACAUAGGAGUGGAAACCUACCUAUGGGCGAUUUGUCAAUGCUGACGAGUCUUAAACAUAAUGCAUCUCUUCUUUUCCAGGGCCAGAGUGGAAACCUACUGGUCAGGGUUGAGAUAGUUGUCUAUGAUCACGACAGUGGCGUAUUCAUACGUCCGUGACUCCAGUUCGAAAAGUUUAAGCUAAGAUCUUAUCAAUUUUACUCUCUAGCAAUGUUUUGAAUCGUUCGUACCCCUGAGAAAACUUCCCUGAACCCCAACGCCUUCUUUCCUAUUGAUUUACACCGUUUUUAUUUCAAGCUUUAGUUCAAUAUUGUCUUUCCUUUUUAGUAGAUUUUCAUUUAAGCAUUUAGAAUAUCCGUUUUUCUCAUUUUUAUUCAUUUUCGUUAAGUUUAGUUAUUAAUUCAUUUAAUUCCCAUAUUUUCUUUUAAGAUUUCAUUUUUACAUUUUAAACACACCACCAAACCCCCACAAAACCGUUUUGGUUCUAGAUUUCCUUACUUUAUACUUAUUUCAAAGGCUUUUUGCAGGAAAAUAUCCUCCUUCCCUGUGGAUUCGAUCCCUAAGUACUACAAUCGAUCAGCUGUGCACUUGCGGCUAUUGAUUUCAUUUAGGGUAAAACUUGACAACCCUCAAGACAACACCACAUCAAGUUGUGAGAUAACACCGGAUUCUGACCAUUUUUAUGGAUCACUUUUAUAUCUUUUACAGGUGUUUUUACUCCAUUUUCAAAGGUUUUCAAAGGAUUUCUAUGUUUCCGGAUUUUAAAAGACUUUUCAGGUAAUUUGGGAUAAAGAGGCACAAAAUGGAACAAAAAGACUCUUUUGAAUAAAUGCAGAUCGUCAGAACUCUCAUGGAGAGACGAAGACCUUUUCACCGUCUGAUCACCCUCAAAAUUGGACAACUUAUAGGAGAAUCAACCAGCUUUCAAAUGUACUUGGUUUGGAGACAUUCCAACGGUUGGAUCUCAAGAUAUUCUAUUAGCCCCGGAGCCACUUGAAGUCGGCCAGCAAGUCACGCGACCGCGGUGAUCAACCUAUAUCCCGCGGUCAGAAGCUUCCCGACCGCGGCCAACCAGCCAAUCCCCGCGGUCACAACACUCCCGACCGCGGCAAUCAAUCUCCGAAUUAAAGCCCAUGUAUCUGAAGCCCAAAGUCAUUCUCAGCCUCAAUUCCGGAACCCUAGAGACCAUGGAGUAUUGGAGACUAUAAAUACAUGUCAUUUAGGUCGUUUUUAGGGAGAGCCAUUCAUACUUUACAGAAACCCUUUUUCUUUAGCCGUUUAUAUGAGAUUUUUGUAGAAGAUUGUUCAAGUCCGAGUUCUUCAAUAGAGAAGCUUUCUUUAUCUCUUUUCUUUACUGUUUUUCAUUACUUUUAUUAAAACCAAUGAUGAUGUCGACCUCAGCCAUGUCUGAGUAGAUCCCGAGUUGGGCUUAGGGUUCCCGGAAGGGGCUCUCAUAAUCGAUUAAGACAUCUAGGUUUAUAGAUCUGGGAUUUCGACCUGUUCUCUUUUUAUUCUUGUUCUUAUUGCAUGUAUGCUUGAUUGAUCACCUAGUAUCUGAUCUAGAUAGUUAGUGUUGCAAAAGUUUUCAUUAAGUAUCAGCCCUAAAAUGAAACAGGCGAUUUUUCCGUAGGACUGGAAACCUACCUGCGGCGAGAUCGUGAGUAUUGACGAGUCUUGUGCAGCUCUUGCGUUCUCUCCCUUCUAGGGCCAGAGUGGAAACCUACUGGUCAGGGUUGCGAGAAACAGUUGGUUAUGAUCACGACAGUGACGUAGUCAUACUGCCGUACUCUAGCUCUAGAACCCAUAUAUCGAUAUCCGUCAAUCCCAAUCUAUUUACCCUAGUGUUAAAACCGAUUAUGAUCCCUUAGAGUCCCUAAAAGCUCAGCGUUUUUAGCCAUAGUUUACAAUUCCAUCGAUUUUUAUUUGCUUAUUUAGGCCUGCAUUUCAAUUUCCUUAGUUUGUUAUUUACUUACUUUACUAGUAUUUCAUUCGAUAUUUUACUUGCCUUAUUAGUCUUUCAUUCGAUAUUUUACUUGUUCUAUUUGCCUUUCAUUCGAUUUUUUUACUUGCUUUUUAGGAUAGAUUUAUUUGCUUUCUUUUGUUUUAGUUUAAUACAUCAAACCAACCAACCUUUAAAAACCAAUCUAGUCUAGACAUAAAGUUAAAAACCGUAGAAGAAUACCAGGCACACAAAUCUCUGUGGAUUUGAUCCCUAAAUACUAUAACUGAUUAGCUGUGCACUUGCGGCUUUCAUUUGUUUUGUUAAGGGUAAAACUUGUUCCCUCACGCAGUUGACACGACAUCAAGUUUUUGGCGCCGUUGCCGGGGAUUUGUUUCGCUGCCUUUUGCUAUUUUUCUUGUUUUAACUUCUGUUAUAGACACUUGAUCUCUAGUUCUUUCUUAAAGUUUUGCUGAAUUAUCUUUCCCUUCUUUUGUUUUUCUCUGAAUUGCAUGAAUACCAGGCGCAUACCUGUAGAAAACAUUCCAAUUCUAGACGAGAUAGACAGACACGAAAGACAACUUCGAAGACUUAGACGAACACAAAGAAUGGCCAACGACAACCAGCCUGGAGAUCCUAUUAAUCGAACUUUAAAUAUGGACCAAGACGGGUCCGAACAUGGGGAAAAUGAAGAGAAUGAUCACAGUGGAGGUGAUCAUGCUCGACAAGAUGGAGAGGAAGAUGAGUUUCCUCCAAGAAACCACCAGAACCGAGAGAGAGAAGGACGUGAAGACCUUGAUCCACCCAUCAAUGCAGCCGAUGGUGACCACCCAGCAAUGCAGCCAAAUGAACGCAUUCACCGCCCCAUUCCGCCAGCAAAUCAACACCGAAGACAAGCCAGGAACCAUCGCAUAGCUGAUUUUGAUGGACCUACUCAAAAUUUUCAGAAUCGAUCUGCAAUUCAAGUACCAUUUCCAAACCGGAAUGAGUUUGAAGUCAAGCCUCAAAUCAUCUCAUUGGUGAAGCAAAACCAGUUCCAUGGAGUUCCUUCUGAACACCCAAUGGACCAUAUCGAGCUCUUUGAAGAAAUUUGCAGCAUGAUGAGAACAAAUCAAAUUCCACCAGACUAUUUAAAGUGUAAGUUGUUCCUUUUUUCAUUAGCAGAUAAAGCUCACCGUUGGUUGAAAUCUUUGCCUGCAGGAUCGAUUACCAAUUGGGAAGAAUGCAGAAAUGCUUUCCUAAACCACUUCUACACUAAGUCAAGGUCGAAUCAGUUGAGAACAAAGAUCUCAAACUUUCAACAAGGGCCAACUGAAUCUUUCUAUGAAGCCUGGGAGCGUUUUAAGGAGUAUGAACGUGAUUGCCCUCACCAUGGAUUUCAUGGAUCAAGCCUGCUGAGCACAUUUUACCGAGGUUUGCAACCAAAAUAUAAACUUUCACUUGAUACAGCUAGCAAUGGAGAUUUUGGACAAAAGAUGAUAACCCAAGGAAGAGCUCUCAUCGAAAAUUUGGCUCAAGCCAAUAGCAAUGACUGUCCUGAAUAUGAUCGAUCAAUGAAGCAAGCCGGAACAGACAACAAGGAGAUAACCGAGUUGAAGAACAUGGUGAGCCAGCUUCUGAAGAGUAACAAUCGCCCAAUCCAUGCUUGUGAGACCAACAAUGGCGCAGAAGAUGAAGGACCUAGUGAUAUCGAUCACAUUAAUCAAGCCUUUCAAGAGGAAGAUGUGAACUAUGUAGGAGCACUGGUGCCAUAUCAAAAUCGCUCCAAUAAUAGCUUCAACAACAACUUCCGGAAUGCAAAUUACAACAAUCUCUCUUACCGCAAUCCAAAUGUGGAGAAUCCUCAAGACCAGUACUACCCACCUCAGCAAAAAUCCUUUCAAAACAAGUUUCAAGGUGGAAACGUUGGAGGAAUAGUACCAUAUCAACCACGACAGCCAUUUAACUACCAAGGUACGGGUUUUAACAAUCAAUUUGUACGACAGCAGGGAGUCACGACGAACCAGCUAGCUUCACAAAUCGGUAGACUUGAACAGUCAAUCCAACAGCUCGUUAUGACGAACGAAAAAGCAUCUAAAGACGUGAACGUGAAAGUGUACUGCAUGUACAAUGAUCUGAAUGGUAAGUUUGAAUCUUUAUCUUCGCACGUAAAAAAGUUAGAUGUGCAAGUCGCCCAAACAGCCGACUCUAUGAAGAGGCAAAGUGGAGUACUUCCAGGAAGAGUUGAAGAUAACCCUAAGAAGUUUUGCAACGCCAUAACCACAUUGCCCGAAGAAGAGGCCGGAACCAAUGGAAAGAAAGAAGAAACCCCAAUCUUUGUACCACUGUACAAGGAUAUCAAUCCCAAGAAGCCACCGUUUAAGGUACCUGAACGAUCACCGUUUUAAAGGCUUACCAAAGCCGAUGAUCCAGGACGUUUUGUUUUCCAGUGUUUCAUUUCAGGAAUCAAGUUUACAGACUGCUUGUGUGAUUCCGGAGCCAAUGUCAACAUCAUGUCUAAGACGUUUGCCGAAAAAUUGGGCACUAAAACCUUAAAGACAUCGACGGUUAAGGUUAUUUUUGGAGAUUCAUCUCAAAAAGAUACCAAAGGGGCAAUUCAUGAUCUACAAGUUCUAGUGGGAGACAAAAUCGUUCCAGCAGAUUUCCAAGUCCUGGAAAUGGAUAAAGACAAGGAGAGGCCACUCAUUUUCGGGAGACCAUUCCUAGCUACAGUAGGAGCAGUAAUCGAUCACGCAAAACGACAUGUUGUUUUCCUCAAUGUGGAUCGAAAAAAGUACUAUCCGACUAUCUUAGACGAUUUUCCAAGCAAAGGAAACAUACCAAAAGAGAAAGAGAAGGAGAAGCCGAAAGCUUUUGCAAAGAUCAAGAUCAUCAUUCCACCAGAUGCAACAGAAACUAGUGAGGACUAAAUCCAGGAGCUGAUCGAAAACACAAAAAGGGUUUUAAACAAUAUUAAAGUUCGAAAGAAGAGUAAAGGAAAGAAGACGGCUCCUCAAGGAGAAGAAGUAAAACCUCCAGCGACCGGAAGUGAUAAAGGCACAUCAAGUGGAGUGCCAUUCAAAUCAGCCUGAUUCCUCAUGCUUACGUCGAGCUAAACGACUUAAAACAAAAGCGCUUAAUGGGAGGCAACCCAUUUAGGUACUCUUUCUUUUAGUUUUCUUUUCCUUUUUUUUUACAAUUUAUACUUUCUUUUUCUUUUUAAGUUUUAGGUAUUUUAUAAAACAAAAACACAAAAAAAAUCAGAAAAUUAAGAAAACCAAGAAGAAAAAGGUAGGUUUUUAGCUGCUCGGCCCGGCAAAGACGAGAAGGUUGGACAAAGGCCGCAUGAGGAAGAGCCGCGGUCGCGACUGACUGACCUGCGGCCAAGGGAGCAUCGACCGCGGCACCGUGAAUGUGACCGCGGCCGAGCACUCGACCACCGCGGUCGCGCGUCUCCUGACCGCGGCCGUUGGUCGUUGAGGUGAUUCCGCGGAUUUCUGCCGCUUUUCGGUGUUGCCUGGUGUUUGCCUGGUGAUUCCUGGUGUUGCCUGGUGUAUUCUCGGUGUUGCCUGGUGUUUGCCUGGUAAUUCCCGGUGUUGCCUGGUGUUUUCCUGGUGUUGCCUGGUGUUUACCUGGUGUUUACCUGGUGUUACCUGGUGAUUCCCGGUGAUUCCCGGUGAUUCCCGAAAUGUUCCCGGUAAAAUCCGAAAAGCUCCUCCGUAAGUUUUAAACUUUCCUAAUGUGCAAACAAGAAAGGUAAGUUCCCGUAAACUUAAAAAUUUCUAGAAAUUUUCCGUUUUUGCUACAAAAACGCUUUUUAAAGAAAAGAAACAAACUUUUUGGAUCAAAACUCCUUCUUCUCUUCUCUUCCAAAAGAUUUGGAGAUUUAGGAGAUAGAAUACAUUUUUCAAUUCUUAAGCUUUUUAAAAGAUUUUUGGCUCAAACCUCACUCUUUUUCAAAGCUGAUUCCAAUUCUGCAAUCAAAUCUCUCUUUCCAGCAAGGUAUGAACCUCAAACUCGCCAUUUUUAAUUGAUUUCAUAACUUAGGGUUUUUUUAAAAAUCCCAAAUCUCUGUUUAUUGAUGGUAGAAAUAGAUUAAGAAUGAUAGAUUAUCCAUUUAGGUUAUCUAAAAAUUGAUUUUAGCACCUAGCUUAAGAGGAAUUGAGAUUUUUGAAAUUUGGAUUCUACAUGCUUCAUAAAAAUCGAAUUUGGAACAGCAAAAUUGAUGAGUUUGAUUAAGUCUUGUGUGAUUAAUGAUUAGUAUUGUGUGAGCCAAAACUCAAACAACCAGAAAUUUGUUUAAGGAAAACUAAGGGAUCGGAAACUUCUAGGGUUUAUCGCCAAAAACAGUAAGAUCGAAAGAAAGUUUUUCUUGCUGUAAAAGUGUUUAGCUCUUAUUGCUUAGGGUUGCAAAAGUUACAGAAUGAAUUGUAUACAUCGUCUAUUUAUACUAACUCUCUGAACCGCCUAGCCGAGAAUCUCGGGAGAGAUUUUCGGAAUAUUUCCUUAUCGCCUCGUGCGGCUCACCGCCUUUGUAUUUCGCCUAGGAUUUUUAUGGGCUUCGUCUCCCAAGGCCACGGUUUGGCCCAUCAUUCUCCUUUGCCACGGCUCGGCCAUCUAAUUUCUUCACGGCUCGGCCCACUUGCCAUUUCGGUCGAGACAUGAUCUGGUCCACCUCACCGAGGCGCGGCUCGGCCCAAGCAUGUUGGAAUGGGGCUCGGCCCAUUUCUUACGAUACGGCUCUCCCUACUGGUCUAUCGUCACGGCUCUCCCACUUGGUGAUCGCGGCUCUCCCGCUUGUCUUGGUGAGAACGGCUCUCCCACUUGUCUUGGUGAGAACGGCUCUCCCACUUGUCUUGGUGAGAACGGCUCUCCCAUUUGGUGACCACGGCUCUCCCACUUAUCUUUCUUCCAUACUUAGUCAUUUUGAGAUGGUUUUAUCUGCGUGGGGUGAAAACCGACCCCAACAGUUAGCCCCACUGCUCGUCAGUUUCGGAGGCGAGAGUAACGAGGUCCAUUACUCCUGACCGUAGGAUAAACCAUCGAGUCAAGCUGUUAUGACAUAGGCCCAGAUGAGGUGUUUUGGGAAUGAAGACGCCGAGGUGUUUCCAAGGAGUGCCGAGGGUGCCGAGGUGUUUCGAAAGGGUACCGAAGAUGCCGAGGCAAGUUAAGGACGAGGCGACCUCGUUUGGUAAUAAUGGGCCGAUGCGAUUUCGUUUAGUAAUGAUGAGCCGUGACGAGGCGAUUUGAGAAGGUUAUACCGAGCCGAAUAAAUGGCGAGGCGUUUCGAGAGAAAGUUUGUGCCGAGCCGUUUCGUUAAUGACAAGGCGUUUCGAGAGAAAAUUCGUGCCGAGCCGUUUCGUUAACGACGAGGCGUUUUGAGAGAAAGUAAAUGCUGAGCCGUUUCGUUAACGACGAGGCAUUUCGAGAGAAAAUUCGUGCCGAGCCGUUUCGUUAACGACUAGGCGUUUCGAGAGAGAGUAAAUGCCGAGCCGUUUCGUUAACGACGAGGCGUUUCAAGAGAGAGUAAAUGCCGAGCCGUUUCGUUAACGACGAGGCGUUUCGAGAGAGAGUAAAUGCCGAGCCGUUUCGUUAACGACGAGGCGUUUCAAGAGAGAGUAAAUGCCGAGCUGUUUCGUUAACGACGAGGCGUUUACUUUGGUAAGAUAUCGGCUGAAAAAUUGGGCAUCACAACUGUUGGUCUUCCGAGAGAAAAUUCAUGAUCUGUUGGCGCGUGUGACCGACGCAGUUCGGUCUAGCCGUUCCACUGCGGAUCCCACGCGCUGUUUGGACGGUUUCCCGAGGUUUACGCGGAAUUCACGCGCUUCGGUUUUCCUAUAAAUGGGUGAGCUCCUUCAUUCUUCCUCAUUAUCUUCAGACUCACUUUUUUUACUAAAGGUAGCUCUCCCUUCUCUCUUCUUUCUCUCUCUAGUUUAUUUAUUUUCCCGCUAGGGUUUCCGAGGUCUCCGCCGUUCCAGAUCUUUUUCCGGCAGAGGCUCGCCGAGUCGUGCUGUAAUUCUUGUACAAGUCGUAAGUUAUGUCGAGCCACUCCGACGAUUCGUUGGAUUCACUCUUUCACUACGAGCCGAGCCGUGUAGAUGCCGAGGCGAGAGGUACAACAGAAUCCUCCGAGGCAUCCGUUUCGCCGAGCCCUUCCAAUCGUUCAUCUGACGAGGCGUCAAAUCAUGCAAAACCGUCAGAUGUCGACUCUACAGAUGAUGAGCCAUCGGUUUCGACGAGCCGUCCCCAGGAUCCCAUUCCUGAUGAAGGUAUCAACUGCGCCGCAGUCUAACCCGAGGAGGAGGCAUUUCCCUUUGACCUAUUCGAGGCGAAGCGUGAGUUGGAACGUCUCAUAGCGUCUCGAGGCGCUUCCACAUCUGGGCGAGGGCCACGAGUUAAAAGACAAAAGCCUGACCCGCCUGGCUCUACGCUUUGCUCCCUUGAGUCGCUCUAGGCGUUGAGGCAUCGCUUCAGGAUAUCCGAGGCGGUGGAGUUCAUCGUUCCAGAGAAGAGCGACCGAGCCGACAAGCCUCCAGAGAAUCACUUCACUCUGUACGAGGCGUUCUUCGAGCUUUGCUUUCUCUGGUUCCCAAUCCCCGGAGUGAUCCUUGAAUAUCUCUGGAAACACGGGAUCUCGAUUGGGCAAAUCAUGCCGAGGGGAUUACGGCGUAUGAUUGGCAUCUUAGUUCGUAGCUCCGAAUGCGGACUCGAUAUCGAGCUGAAUCACCUGCUGGACUUGCUGGAAAUCAGGAAAGCCCCGAAGGGAAAUAGAUUCUAUAUUUCCAACAAGGCGAAACGACGGAUCAUAGGCGGUUUUCCCAGCAAGGAUCAGUUUUGGACUGAACGCUUUUUCUACGUCUUGGUGAACGAGGCGUCGGUCGGCGAGGAUUACGUUCAAAGAACCAAGACCGCUUGGGGAUCACUUGGUAGCCGACCCGAAGCUCUGCCUCGGCUCGGAACUGCUUUUGGUAUCCUCUUCCUUUUCUGAAUUUUUUUCUUUUUUGCUUUGUUUUGCAGUUCGGUGCUUUCUUCCCCCGAUUCCCGACGACCUUUUUACUGUUCAAGACUCUCUUUCGGCGCGGAAGGUUAAUUGGAGAAAGAACUUCACCCUCGAAAGAGUAGAAAGAGCGCGAGCCAUCCUUGCCGGAGUCCCCGUCAGCUCUUCGUCCUCAAGUUCUUCAAGACAUACCCGGGAGAAGAUAGUAAUAAUCGCUCUCAGAGAAAGGAAGAGGCGCGAGGAAGAGGAGGCCGCUAGAUGAGCUGCCGAGGCGGCUCGCGCGCAUACCGAGGCAGUUCCAGCGCAAGCCGAGGCGGUUUCAGCGCAAGCCGAGACCAUCCCUCAACCCGACCCGCCGAGCCAGGAAGGGGAUGUAAUGGUCCAAGCCGCAGAAGGAGACACUGCCGAGGCGGCUGAUAAAGAUGCAGCGCCCGAGGUGGAACCGGGCGAAAUUAUCCCCGAGGUGUCCGGGGACGGCUCGGCGGCGCGGAGUAAGACUCCUUCGCACACCGCCAUCCUGGCCCUCCCGAAGUCGACGAGGCCACCGACUUCGGUUGUUCAGAAGCAUGACUCUAGCCGAAAACGUUCGGCUACUGACAAGGGGAAGGGCGUCGCCGUUCAGAAGGACGAGCCGUCCAAGAAGAGGCGGAAACCGACGCCCGGGGACCCGCCGCGCAUAAGUUGGUCGUUGACGACCCCAACGCCUCUGCCGUCAUGUUCUCGCGUGUAAAUAACGCGAACACGAGUCUUCCUCCUCUGGAGAAGCUGAGGAGGCCGAGGUCAUACGGCACGAUGGAACAGCACGGUACCAAGGUACGUUCUAUUUUCUUUCCUUUAUUUUUGCAAAUUUUACGAGGUGUUUAACGCACGUCUGUUCUCUGCAGUUUGUCGCGGCCAUUAACGACCUGAUGGCCGAGUAUGAGGCGGACCUGUCUAAGGUCGAAUGUCGUUUGGACGAGGCCCGAAAUGAAACCGUGGCGUCAAAGGUGAAGCUGGAAGAGGCGCAAAACGAAGCCGCGGCCGCGAAGGGGAAACUCACCGAGGCGAUGACCCGAGUGUCGAGGUUGGAAGAGGAGAAGAUAGUUCUCCGCGCUGACGUCGACAAAGUUUCCGCCUUGGUGAUUCGCCUGGAGGAAGCAAGGAGAGCUAAAAGCGCCGAGGUGGCGAUGCAAGAGGCGUAUCGAAGCCAAGGACGCUCUGUUUGAUGCCAAGGUCAAGCGGGCAAAAAAGGAGGCGAGGCGAGAGCUUACGGCUAAGUUUCAGGAACGCCUCGCCAAGGUAGAGGAAGAUUUGGUCAAGCUCGAGAAGGCCAAAAAUGAUGAGAACGAUCUGGGGCAGAUCAAGGGCAAUCUUGCGAUGAUUGCCGACCUGAAGAAGCCGGACACCCCGACGCUUGAUGACGAGGAGGCGAAGCUGAAAAGUUGGGAGAGUGAGUAUGCCAACGACGAGGCGUACGAGCGUAUUGCUUCCGAGAUUCAAGGCGAGCUGUUUUACUCUCCCGUAUCGCUGGACUCGGUAGACACCAGCAUUGGCAACGAGCCGCUUGAAGAGACAGCGGCCAACCUGGGUGUCGUUGAUCCGACCAGAUCGAACGCGGGGACACCAGCCCUCUCGAACCUCCUUGCCGAGCGCGAGACGCAAUCCGUGGCUUGAUACUCUCUGCUUUCCCUCACCCUUUAUUGCACAUGUUCUUCUUUUUGUUUUUGUACUUAAGUUUUUUCAUGAUUCACUUUUCGAACUCGUUAUGUAAUUGGUGCCUGGAUGGCUUUAUCCACUUGACUUUUAUUUUUGCUUUAUGGAUAUAUUUUAUUUUCCUUAGCCAUUUUCGGAUUUACUUGUCUAACAAUCCAUGAAAAUGUUUACGAAAACUGUUGGCUUAGAAAAAUUGUCAAGGAUGAAAACUGUGUGUCGAGAAUGAUUUGAUUGCUUCCUUAGCCGGGCUUUUCGAAAUUGAUAGAAAUACGGGCUAAGGGGUGAAUUGUGUUAAGGAUCUCGUUUGGAUUCUUAAUCCCGAGCUGGGAGUUUAGGUGAUAAUGUCGAGGCAAAUUUCCACUGGCAAUGCCGAGCCGUAUUUAACGACGAGGCGUUUUCGCUGUGUAAGGUGCCGAGCCGUGUAAACGGCGAGGCGUUUUCUCUAAGCGUGGUACCGAGCCGUGUACACGACGAGGCAUUUUUUCUGUGCAUGGUGCCGAGCCAUAAGAACGACGAGGCGUUUUCUCUUUGCGUGGUGCCGAACCGUAAGAACGACGAGGCGUUUCGUUUUUUGUUCAGCCAAGAAUGAUUUGGUAGUCUCAUUGAAUCUUACUAUGGACCGGCGUUUCCGAGAGGAUGAAUAUGUUUGUCCGGGUUUUAAGAGUUUACUUCGGUUUUAGAGAAAGCGAUGUAGUCUCGACUUACAUUCUCGUGUGCGAUAGUAAACCGUGGCGACCUGAUACGUUUUUGGUCUGAUAUUUGUAUAGCGCUUAAUUUUUAUCCGUAGAGGAUGUAACUUGCACCCUCGUCCUAGGAAAGGUGGUAAAGUUCGUUUAGAGAACUUUGUAUUUGUUGCCCCGUUAUGGCCAGCAACGAGACGAGGCGUUCGGAGGCUUAGUUUGCCGAUCUGAAACUGAGGACCGAUUAAGGUCUGAGGUAAUCAAGUCAUGAUAUCGUGCCGAAGUGGUAUGAUUACUCUCCGAAGUGAUGAGUGAUAAAAUUUUAAAAAUCCGAGCUUGUUAAAAUAAGUUGCUGAUUUAGAAAAAAUGAGAAACUAGCCGAAGCGAUAAUGAACGAACUAGAAAUCCAAGGUAAACGUGCAAUAAGUAGAUGAUUAAAAACGAACUGAGAAUGUGCCGAAGUGGCGAUGUUCCUAAGUGAGCAAGUUAAAAUUGUAGAGUUAAAGAAGGUAUGUGUAUAAGUACCCACUCCCCCCCCCUUUUUAGGAAGGGGGACAGCUGAACCCGUCCGAGGACGGGCUGCCUACGUACCCUUUGAAGGGAUCAAGCCGUCCCGUAGUUCAUGCUUGCCAUGCUGUACCUUUAAUGAUAAUACUUUUUUAGAUGCAUUGCGUUCCAUGAUCUUGGAAUCGCUUCGUCAGCUAGUGUCGCGAGUUCGUAGACUCCUGGACGAACCACUUUUGUGACCUUGUAAGGACCUUCCCAAUUUGCUCCGAGCUUUCCUGCGUUCUUCUCGGCAGUGUUUUGGAAGACCUUUCGGAGGACGAGCUCCCCUGCUUUGAAUCUUCGACUACGAACGUUUUUGUUGUAGUAUCGCGCCGUUGCUUGUUGAUAGUUCUGGAUCCGAAUUAAGGCUUGGUCGCGCUUUUCGUUGAUUAGGUCGAGCUCAUCUAGCAUCAUUAAGUGGUUCAAGCCCUCCUGUCCUGGUAGAAGUCUUCGUCGAAUACCUGGGAAAUCCACCUCGGGGGGAAUUACGCACUCCGAUCCGUAGACCAAAGCGAAUGGAGUUUCCCCGGUGGCUCGGCGCGGAGUUGUCCGAUGAGACCAAAGGACUCCUUCGAGUUCGUCUGCCCACCGUCCCUUCUUGGCGUCGAGCCUCUUUUUCAGACAGUCGAGGAUCAUCUUGUUGGCUGCUUCGGCUUGUCCAAUCCCUUGAGGGUAUCUUGGCGUAGAUUUGCUGAGGCGGAUUUUCCACUUCUCGCAGAAGGCUUCGAAGCGUGUUGAGAUGAACUGGGAUCCGUUGUCGGUGACUAUCUCGUAGGGGACCCCGUGUCGGCAGAUGAUAUUUUUCCAGACAAAGUGUUCGACUUGAACAUCCUUUAUGCUUGCGUAGGAAUCGGCUUCGACCCACUUGGAGAAGUAAUCCGUGAGGACGAGCAGAAAACGAUUCUGCUUUGAGCAAUGUAGAGGUCCGACGAUGUCCAUCCACCAUCUCAUGAACGGAUAGGGUGAUGAAAUUGACGCAACUCGGUAGGUUGAUGAAUUGUUGGAGCGUGCCGCUGACACUUCUCGCACUUCGCCUUAAAUUUCUCGUAGUCCUUGACCAUCGUGGGGCAGAAGUAGCCGUGCCGUUUUAUCUUGAUAGCGAGCGACCUUCUGCUGGAAUGGUUCCCGCACGCGCCGCUGUGCACCUUGUGCAUGAUCUUUCUUGCCUCCGGUCCUUCGACGCAUGUCAUGAAAGGCCCUGAAAAUCUCCAUUUAAACACCUCGCCACGACGAGGACAUACCGUGCGACCUGAGCUUUUAGUUUGCGGGCUUCCCAUUUGUCGGUUGGCACCUCUCCAUCGGCGAUAUACACUCGGAUAGCUCCGAGCUAUUCUUUGUCGCAGCCGUACUCCGGCUCGGUCGGUGAGGCGUCUUCAUCCAUAGGAAUGGCUUCGUCGUCCUCUGGUUCUUGUUCAGGAGGAUUUAUCAGCCGAACUCCUUCCACCUCUUUGAUGCUAGGACGUUCGAUGAAUUCGACUGGGAUCGUCCGUCGGAGGUCUGGGUCUGAGGUCGAAGCGAGUGCUGCCAAGGCGUCGGCCGAGGUGUUUUCCCCUCGGGGAAUGCGCGUGAGUUCGUACUCGUCAAACUUUUGCACCAACUCUCGGACCACCUUGAGGUAAGCUCCCAUUCGUCCAUCCUUCGCCUCGUAUUCUCCGUUGAACUGACAUGCUACGAGCUGUGAAUCGCAAAAGGUUCUUAUCUUUCGAACUCCGAUUCCCUACGCUAGUCGUAUGCCGGCGAUCAGUGCUUCGUAUUCCGCUUCGUUGUUCGAGGCGUGGAAGUUUAGGUGAAAAGACUGCUCCAAUAUCUCUCCGGUGGGAGAGGUGAGGCGAAUUCCUAUACCCGAGCCGUGUUUAGACGACGAGCCAUCGACGUGCAGCGUCCACACUUCGUCUAGAGUCGGCUCGUUUGUUUCUUCGGCGGGAAGUUCAAUGAGGAAAUCUGCGAGCACCUGUGACUUUGCAGACGACCUGUUCCGAUACUCGAUGUCGUAUUCGCUUAGCUCUAUGGCCCACUUGGCGAGCCGACCGGAUUGGCUAGGGCUGUGAAGGAUCGAGCGCAGCGGAAGCGUAGCGAGCACAACAAUCGAAUGUUAUUGAAAGUACGGGCGCAGUUUGCGAGCCGAGACUACGAUGGCUAGGGCGACCUUCUCGAUCUGGGGGUAGCGGGUCUCGGCGUCGGUUAGUGUCUAGCUGAUGUAGAAAAUGGGUUUUUGCUCGGAUCGUUCUUCUCUGAUAAGCACUCCGCUUACGGCUGUAGCAGACACUGCGACGUAGAGGAAGAGCGGCUCUCCUUCGACUGGUUUUGCUAAGAUUGGUGGGCUCGCCAGAUAAUUCUUCAGUUCCUGGAAAGCCGUCUCGCAUCGUUCGUCCCACUCAAAUUUCUUGUUUCCUCGGAGGGUGUCGUAGAAGGGCAGGCAUUUGUCUGUAGAACGGGAAAUAAACCUGUUUAGCGCGGCGACUCUACCUGUGAGCCUUUGCACUUCGCGCUUCGUUCUUGGAGAGGGCAUCUCAAUUAACGUCUUGAUCUGCUUGGGGGUUGCUUCUAUGCCUCGGUGAGUUACCAGAUAGCCGAGGAAUUCUCCCGAGGUGACCACAAACCUGCACUUUGCCGGGUUUAGUUUCAUGUUGUGCUUGUUCAAUUGUUCGAAGCAUUCCCAUAGAUGCGCGACGUGGUCUUCCUCCUUGAGUGAUUUGACUAACAUGUCGUCGAUGUAUACUUCCAUGGUUUUUCCGAGCUGAGCCGCGAACAUUUUAUUGACGAGCCGUUGAUACGUUACUCCUGCGUUCUUGAGCCCGAACGGCAUGACUUUGUAGCAGUAUAUCCCUCGAUCAGUUAUGAAUGCCUUUUUUUCUCGAUCAUCAGGAUGCAUCAGGAUCUGAUUGUAGCCGGAGAACGCGUCCAUAAAUGUUAACAGUCUAUUCCCUGCAGUGGCUUCGACGAGCCGGUCGAUGUGUGGCAAGGGAAAGCUGUCUUUUGGGCACGCCUUGUUGAGGUCGGUGAAAUCCACACAUACUCGCCACUUGCCGUUCUUCUUCUUCACGACCACCGGAUUUGCGAGCCAAUCCGGAUAUUUGGCCUCGGCGAUUGAUCCUACUUUGAGUAACCUUUCAACUUCGUCGUUAACUGCUUUAGCUCGUUCGGGGCCGAGCUUCCUUCUUUUCUGCUUGACUGGCUUAAAGGUCGGAUCCACAUUCAGCUCGUGACAGGUUACGUCAAUGCUUAUGCCUGGCAUAUCUUCUGCUGUCCAGGCAAAAGUGUUGAUGUUCUCCUUGAGGAGGGAAAGGAGUUCGCUUCUCAGAGGCUCUUCUAGUUUUAUUCCAAUUUCGAUGCAUCGCUCCGGACGCGCCUCGUCUAUGCACACCGAGUCCACUGCAUCGCAUACCGGCUCGGCGCGUGUUUCGCGGUUCUCCGUGAUCUGUAAUUGCUAUAAGAGUUUCGAGAGCUCGUUUGCGGGCUCUCGGUCUGUCUUCAUCUUUUUGCGGUCUAUAUCUGCUCGUGCGUCAGUGACGGGGUUCCUCAGCUUGUGCUCGGCUAAGCAGCACAUUCUUGACUCCUUCUGAUUCCCCCAUAUCGUUUUGACACCCGAUGGAGUUGGGAAUUUGAGACAGAGAUGAUAGGUGGAUGGUACCGCCCUCAUCCCGUUGAUCCAUGGAGUUCCCAUGAUCACAUUGUAGAUUGCUGGGUGAUCAGUGACGCAGAAUUCGACGAUCUUAGUGACUCCGCCAGCUACCACAGGAAGCCUGAUCGUUCCCAUAGUCAUCGUCGUUUCUCCUGAAAAUCUGGUUAGAGGUUGGGGAUUGCUUCCACCUCGGAGAGGUCGAUUCCCAUUUUUCUGAGUGUUUCUCUGAAGAUGACGUUCACUGAGCUUCUAGUAUCGAUGAGCACCCUUGCCACAUCAUGAUCCAUGAUCGUUAACUCGAUCACCAACGGAUCGUUGUGAGGUCGAUCAAUUCCUGCCGCUUCCUCCUCGGCGAAGGAGAUCACUGUGUUUGGGAUGUCGGUUGGUUUUAUCCAAUUCUCCUUUGCUUCGGCUCGGCGCUGAUAGGCUUUGAUGGAGGACACGGUAUCAUGGUAGUAUUGAGAUCCACCCAUGAUCAUAUUGAUCCUUUGCCUCGGCACGGGUCGCUCUUCGGGUUCACCUCUCCUGUCGCGCUUGGAGUUAUCGCCUCUUCGCGCUGCUCGGCUCGGCUCUCUCUUGUUGUUCGUUAGGGACGAGGUCUUUGAGGUUGACCGCGUUUUGGAGCUCUCCCGCUGCCAUCUUAGGCACGAGUUUUGCUCCUAGAGUUCGGCACUGUGCCGUUGAGUGCCCGUAGGUCUGGUGAUACUCACAGAAAGCCUUCUCGUCGUAGUUGGCGGAUUUCCUCACCCAAGUGUUGUUGCGCGGCUCUCCUCUUCCGCGUCCGGUGCCUACCUGGUAGUUAUGGGCACCUCCGCUUCUAGGUUCAUCCGAGCUCUGCGUUGUUGCGUUGUUUGAUGGGUUGCCCUUCCUCGCGGGGCGCGGCAAAAUUGAGCUUCGGAUUGCUGCUUUCGUCGCUUCGUACCGCUCGUCCAAGUUUUUCAUUUCCUCCUCGUUUACGACGAAGUCUGAUGAUCGGUGCAGAGCGUCUUGAAUUGUUUGCGGCGUGUUGAGAGCCAUCUCCCGUUGGAACUCGGAUUUGUACCACAAAGAUUGUUUCAGAGCCUCGAGCGCAGCCUUGUCGCUUAUCCCUUCUAUUUUGGAUACGAGUGCCUUGAAUCUUGCCAUGUAAUCCCGAAGCGGCUCGUUCAGUCCUUGGGAUAGUGUCCACAGAUCGGCAUCAGAUGUUCCUCUGUCCAUAAACAUCGAGUAUUGUUUCUGGAACAAGGCGGAGAGCUGUUGAAAAUUGCCGAUUGAAUUUCGUUCCUGCCUCGAAAACCACUCGAGUGCGGCUCCCUUGAGAUGCUCCACGAAGAGCAGGCAGUAUCCGGCAUCUACUUUGCGCUCGGUGAGUUUAGCGGCGUUCUUUGUGAAGGCUCGUCCCAUUGCUAUCCGAAACGCUGUGAUGUGUGCUUUCGGGUCGGUUGUUCCUUCGUAGAACGGGAUUCUCACCUUCCCCGGCUCGGGAAUCCUGGCCUCCGUGAUUCUUGCAGUGAAUGGAGUUCUCUGAGUUUCUUCAAGCAUUCGGUCGAUUUCGGGCGCUGCGCUUGUCACGUUGUGCACUUGGGAUUUCAUGGCGCGUAUUUCAGCUACUGUCCGAGCUAUCGAGGCUCGCAGCUCUUUGAGUUCGAGAGUUUGUGUGUGAAUCAUUCCCUUUGAUUGGGGGAGUCGCUCCCGCUCCUCUCUCCUCGGCUCGUCUUCGCGCUCUGCCUGUUCGAUCCAUUGGCGAUUUUCUUCCUCCUCGGUUGGAUUGUCGCUGCGGGUCGGGUCGGAAACUUCGUCAGUUCGGAUGCCGUUUAGUGCCGAGGCGAGGUCUUCUUGACUUAUUCGCCGAGCCGAGCCGGUUUGUUGCGGAUUCGUGGUUCAGUCGUUAUGCUGGGCGUCUACGUCGAUCGCAUGGUUUUCUUCUUCGCCGGCUCGCCGCCUUGAGUUUCGGCGGAGAGGGGGCGGCUCGGUCAUGUUGACUCUGGUUGCUGCGGGGGGUCUUUUCGUCGAGGAGACGAAACAUUGGAGGAGCCGAGGGGUUUCUUGCGCCACUCCCUGAGGCUUCUGCAGGUGUCGAGAAAUCGAAGCGUCUCCGGAUUCCAUCCAUCGGGUCGGGAAUUCCGGCUCUCCAAGUUUGGUGCAGUCGCUCAGCCGCCAUCGCGUCGAGCCUUUCCGUAAUCGCCUCGUUUCUUUUAUCCUGUUCGUCGAUUUUCUUCAUCAACGCAGCCAUCAUGUUUGCAUCUCCUCCUGGGUUUUGAUCGUUGCUGUCGUUGUGCCCGAUGCCGGAGCGUCCUUCUCCGUGCCGUUACCGGUGUUGUUGUUGUUGUUGUCGUCGGGGGUGUUGCUCGCCAUGUUCUUCGGAUCUUAAAGUCUUGUCGAUUUAGAGUAAGAAAGUUUCGAUUCCCCACAGACGGCGCCAAAUUGUGUGAGCCAAAACUCGCACAACCAGAAAUUUGUUUAAGGAAAACUAAGGGAUCGGAAACUUCUAGGGUUUCGCCAAAAACAGUAAGAUCGAAAGAAAGUUUUUCUUGCUGUAAAAGUGUUUAGCUCAUAUUGCUUAGGGUUGCAAAAGUUACAGAAUGAAUUGUAUACAUCGUCUAUUUUUACUAACUCUCUGAACCGCCUAGCCGAGAAUCUCGGGAGAGAUUUUCGGAAUAUUUCCUUAUCGCCUCGUGCGGCUCACCGCCUUUGUAUUUCGCCUAGGGUUUUUAUGGGCUUCGUCUCCCAAGGCCACGGUUCGGCCCAUCAUUCUCCUUUGCCACGGCUCGGCCCAUCUAACUUCUUCACGGCUCGGCCCACUUGCCAUUUCGGUCGAGACAUGAUCUGGUCCACCUCACCGAGGCGCGGCUCGACCCAAGCAUGUUGGAAUGGGGCUCGGCCCAAAUCUUACGAUACGGCUCUCCCUACUGGUCUAUCUUCACGGCUCUCCCACUUGGUGAUCGCGGCUCUCCCGCUUGUCUUGGUGAGAACGGCUCUCCCACUUGUCUUGGUGAGAACGGCUCUCCCACUUGUCUUGGUGAGAACGGCUCUCCCAUUUGGUGACCACGGCUCUCCCACUUAUCUUUCUUCCAUACUUAGUCAUUUUGAGAUGGUUUUAUCUGCAUGGGGUGAAAACCGACCCCAACAAGUAUUGGGUAAUCUUUAGAAUUUACAUGGAAAUUGCUUAUAAAAACCAAUUUUUAGAAGAUUUCUAUGUUGAGAACAUCAAAAAUCCGAAUCUGGUCAUGAACUACUUGAUUUCUCUGAUUUAUUAUCGAUUUUGUUUGCUCAUGGUUUUAAUUAAUCUCUUUAUGCUAGUAUUAGUAUAACAGAUCUUAAUGUGUUAAAAUCAGCAUCCAAAUUCACUCUUUUUCCAAGAACUAUUUCGUUUUGCAGAAAAAUGGACCAAAACAGAUCCCGAAGGAGCCGUCGCACUGGUGGCAGCUCCGAGGACAUUCCCGAUGAUGCUACUCUAGGAGAGUACAUGCUGAACCAAACCAGACCGAGAAGGAGAAACUAUGUGAUGAGAUUGCUCCAUCACUCAAGAGAAACACAAGCAGCUCCCGAGCCACCACAGAUUCUAUACAUUGGGAGGGAGACAAACCCGAGAGUGGACUAUGCAAGACGUUUCAAGAAGCUGAACAUCAAACCCACGCCUUGCAUAGAUUAUCAUACACUCGAGAUGCUUGGAAUCAGAGAAGAUGUGAUCUGGUACAUCAAUGCACUUAAGCUGAGACCCUACAUGGAGCUGAACCUUCCGACUUAUCCUGAGCUAGUCCGUGAAUUCUUAGCGACUAUUACACUACACCACACGAAGAGGAGGAACCCCAGAGCAUCAGAUGGCAUCUUGUCAUUCUCUAUCCGCGGACAGCCUUACUCUCUCACCAUUUCUGAGGUUUGUGAAGCUCUUAAGCUUCCAUACACUGAUGGCAUUUACCUUGAAGAUGAACCUGAUCUUAACCUGUGGAGAGAGAUGGGUCAUGGAGUCUAUGAUAGUGGGAGAUCGAAGUCAGCCCUUCUUACUCAUCCAGCAGUGAGAGUUGUGCACAAGCUAUUAGCACACACGAUCUUCUCUAGAGCAAACAUGGGAGGUGUUUUAAAGACUGAGCUCAUUACACAUCAGAUUCCGUUUAUGGACGACCCACGACUUGCUUGCUUUGCCUGGAUCAUAGCGCAGAAUACGGUAAACGUGAAGCAUGACUUACAUGGUUGCGAGGACGCUACUCCAGCUUUCAGGAGUGCUAUUACAGCGAUACUACAGGCUGUAGGAUUCGAUUUCUCAUCUGAUGAGCCACUUCCCGAUGUCUGGUAUGAUCUACUUUAUCUCUCUCGCGAUCACACUAUCUCUCGUGCCGCUUUCGAUCCAGACAGGUUUGGUUACAAGUAUUGCACUGGCACUGAGGAGCACCGAGUCAGUUUGCCUUCGGUAUCUAUCCCGAGAUUGUGUAACGGAGGACGUCCGCGAUGGACUCCGGAACCUGAUGAUUUUCUGCCUUCUGUACCUCGUCUACCAUUCACCAUUGGCCAAUACAUAGUGGCCAAGGUGAAGCGUGAUGCAGCUGCGGCCCGUGCCCAUUUUCAGCCAUCUGUUUUGACCGGCCACACCUCAUCAUCUACAUCAUCUCACACUCAUUCCGAUCUGGAGCGCAGAGUUGAGAGACAGGGACGACGCUUUGAGCGCGUUGUCACCUUCUUACAGGAGCAGCACCAGUUUGCAGACGACACAUCGGAGGAUGAGUGAUUGAUCAGCACUUCACUACCAUCACGGUUCUAUCAUCAAUUUCUUUUCUUUUAUCUUAUUUUAUUUCUCUUUUAUUCACCAUCUUCUCACCAACUUUUUCACACUGGGGACAGUGUGAUUUAAGUCUGCGGGAGGAUGUCUAUCCGUACUAAUCAUUUUCUUGCUUUUCUUUUUAAAUUCCAAGUACUUUUUAAAUUUUAAUAUGUAACCUAUUCGACAUUAAGUAUUUUUCAGGAAUGUUUGACGCAAAACUAUGAUGAUUUAGACCUGCACGCUUCUACACUAUGCAUGAUUGCUCAUUUGUGGUUAGCACUAGACUAGGCGGUAGCUAGAGUACUUGCACUACGAACUCCCACCAGAGGACUUCUAUUCAUGGAGAUUCUUUCUGACAGGAUAUACUAGCUCAUUUUAUUUGGACUUAAUAUUGAUAUCUAAUUUUUUCAUCAUUGAUUUUAGGCAGGCAUCGACAUACACAUCUAGGACGUCUUCUACCCUCACUUUUACCACUCUUUGUCGUCCUAGAUGACCUGUUUAUCUUUAUCUGGUACCAUACCCUAAACCCAAAACCCUUGUUUUCAAUCCUCAUGCAUUCUUUCUUUAGUUUAUAUCAGCAGAUAUGUGCAAAAACGUCGGAGAGAAGAGGAGCGACACAGUUUUCAGUCACUCACAAAGGAGACUGAAUGGAAUUGGGAAGGAAGAGUAUCAGAAAAAUCAUGAAGCUUUACAAGACAGAUAUUGACUGGUAAUUUCGUGCUCUCUAAGACUCUAUAUCUAAAGGUGUUCCCUUUCUCCCACAAAAAAAAAAAAAAAAAAAAAAAACGUGAAAAAAGAAAGGGAAACAAAAAGCCUAAUGAGUCUUAGAUUGUCAAAAAUUUGUGGAGCAAUAAGCAACCACUAAUCGUUUAAUUUUGAAAGAUUUACAUAAAUCUAAGUCUGGGGGAGUUAGGAGAGAACCUGAGGAAGAAGACCAGGAAUCUAUGGCACGAAGAAAGUGACUGAAAACUGUGGAUACCAACAGCUUAACUCUCUCUUGCGGUUUUGCAUAAUAUCAUGCAUCCUCCAGAUUUUCAAGUAACCCGUAAACACUUUAAACCUUACCCCUAGAAUAACCUUUUUAACACCUAGCCUAGAUUGCCUUGCCUAGACUUUCUUUGAUGAGAACCACCGAGAUUUUUAAUGAAUGUUAAGAGCUAGUUGACUGGAAGUUAGAUCCUAGUGCAUAGAUUUUCGCAUGAUGGAUUAACGGACUAGUUAUGCCUGUAUUGCUAGUGAGUAUUUUCUAGGCUAUUCCCGAUUGAUGCAUACUGAUUGAUAUUGGUCUAGAAGUUUGGUCUCUGAGAUUUUGUUUAGUUCCUGCGUUUUCAAACCUCUCACCGAGAUUUAGCCUUUGUUUUGUUUGAGGACAAACAAAAGACUAAGUCUGGGGGAGUUGAUAACACCGGAUUUUGACCAUUUUUAUGGAUCACUUUCAUAUCUUUUACCGGUGUUUUUACUCCAUUUUCAAAGAUUUUCAAAGGAUUUCUAUGUUUCCGGAUUUGAAAAGACUUUUCAGGUAAUUUGGGAUAAAGAGGCACAAAAUGAAACAAAAACUCUUUUGAAUAAAUGCAGACCGUCAGAACUCUCAUGGAGAGACGACGACCUUCUCACCGUCUGAUCACCUUCAAAACUGGACAACUUAUAGAAGAAUCAACCAGCUUUCAAAUGCACUUGGUUUGGAGACAUUCUAACGGUUGGAUCUCAAGAUAUUCCAUUAGCCCCGGAGCCACUCGAACUCGGCCAGAAAGUCACGCGACCGCGGUGAUCAACCUAUUUCCCGCGGUCAGAAGCUUCCCGACCGCGGCCAACCAGCCAAUCCCCGCGGUCACAACACUCCCGACCACGGCAAUCAAUCUCCGAAUUAAAGCCCAUGUAUCUGAAGCCCAAAGUCAUUCUCAGCCUCAAUUCCGGAACCCUAGAGACCAUGGAGUAUUGGAGACUAUAAAUACAUGUCAUUUAGGUCGUUUUUAGGGAGAGUCAUUCAUACUUUACAGAAACCCUUUUCCUUUAGCCGUUUUUAUGAGAUUUUUGUAGAAGAUUGUUCAAGUCCGAGUUCUUCAAUAGAGAAGCUUUCUUUAUCUCUUUUUUUUACUGUUUUUCAUUACUUUUAUUAAAACCAAUGAUGAUGUCGACCUCCGCCAUGUCUGAGUAGAUCCCGAGUUGGGCUUAGGGUUCCCGAAAGGGGCUCUCAUAAUCGAUUAAGACAUCUAGGUUUAUAGAUCUGGGAUUUCGACAUGUUCUCUGUUUAUUCUUGUUCUUAUUGCAUGUAUGCUUGAUUGAUCACCUAGUAUCUGAUCUAGAUAGUUAGUGUUGCGAAAGUUUUCAUUAAGUAUCAGCCCUAGAAUGAAACAGGCAAUUUUUUCGUAGGAGUGGAAACCUACCUGCGGCGAGAUCGUGAGUAUUGACGAGUCUUGUGCAGCUCUUGCGUUCUCUCCCUUCCAGGGCUAGAGUGGAAACCUACUGGUCUGGGUUGCGAGAAACAGUUGGUUAUGAUCACGACAAUGACGUAGUCAUACCGCCGUACUCUAGCUCUAGAACCCAUAUAUCGAUAUCCGUCAAUCCCAAUCUAUUUACCCUAGUGUUAAAACCGAUUAUGAUCCCUUAGAGUCCCCAAAAGCUCAGCGUUUUUAGCCAUAGUUUACAAUUCCAUCGAUUUUUAUUUGCUUAUUUAGGCCUGCAUUUCAAUUUCCUUAGUUUGUUAUUUACUUACUUUACUAGUAUUUCAUUCGAUAGUUUACUUGCCUUAUUAGUCUUUCAUUCGAUAUUUUACUUGUUCUAUUUGCCUUUCAUUCGAUUUCUUUACUUGCUUUUUAGGAUAGAUUUAUUUGCUUUCUUUUGUUUUAGUUUAAUACAUCAAACCAACCAACCUUUAAAAACCAAUCUAGUGUAGACAUAAAGUUAAAAACCGUAGAAGAAUACUAGGCACACAAAUCUAUGUGGAUUCGAUCCCUAAAUACUACAACUGAUUAGCUGUGCACUUGCGGCUUUCAUUUGUUUUGUUAAGGGUAAAACUUGAGAGAAAAGGUAUAUCAUCGAAAAAAAAUUCAUGCAAGAAAAUUUUGACCAUUAUUUGUGGUGUCUAUACCAUAAAAACCAAUAAUCAUCUAUGAUCGGAUCAGAAUUUACCGGCGUAAUCUCAGCAAACCCAUGCAAAAAAACGUCAAUAGUAACAAAACCAACUCAAAUAUAACCAUGAAACAAGUCUACCAUACAUAUGGAAUCUGUUUAACAUACAACACCCCAAAACAAGUCUACCACACCUUUGGUUUUUUUGUAGAUUGCUGAAUACCUUUAGGACAAAUAAGUAAUUUCAAUUGAAUAAGUCAAAUGUCUACCGAAAACAAUGUAACUAAGUCUACCACAAGCAAUGUAAAUAACUCUACCAUAAGAAAAACUCUACCUUCAAGCAUCAAAUAUGUCUACCAGAUUGAGGUUAUCUGAGUAAACACCAAAGUUAUUUAAUCUACCACAUGAAGCUCAAUAGAAGUCUACCAUACGUGCAAUAACUUUACCAAUUGAUUGAAAAUCUACUACAAUAACAAAAAAAAUCUACCACCAUUUUAUAAGUCUACCUCAUGUAACAAUAAAUUUACUACUCAACGGAAUGAAAUCACCAAAUUUUUACUUGAUUUAAAUCUUCCACAUUACUUAUAAAUCUACCACAAGAGCGAUAAAUCUACUCACAUGAUAUAACUCUACCAAUUUCAUAACUAAUCUACCUCAAUAGGGAUAAAUCUACCACCACGUUAUCUUAAAUUUUGGUGAAUAAAUCUGCCACCAAAAGAAAUAAGUCUACCAAUUCGAGUAUUAAAUCUACCCCCAUUGUCAACAAAUCUACCAACAAAAUCAACUAUGCGAGAGAGUCAACGAAUUCCUUAACAAGUCUACCAACACUUUAACAAGUGUGGCAUACAUGACAACAAAUCUACCGAAACUUAACAAAUCUAUCGUGUCAUUGUCAAAACUCUACCAAAAAAAGUAUAUCAACAUUUUACAAAUCUACCAAUUCUCGAAUAAAUCUACCAUCGUCCUAACAAAUAUGCCAUCUAAAAAAUUGUGUUGACCAACAUCUGAUAAGUCUACCAUCAAAGACCGGUAGGCUUAUCAUUUUUCAAGCGCAUCUUUUUGCCUACAUGGCACAAAAAAGUAAUGGCAUUUUUUUAAUUAGGUUUUUUUCAUCAAAGGCGAAAAUGAUGUUUUCGGUAUGCUAUGUUAUUUUUGUAAUAAAAAUAAAAGUAUGUCAAGCAAACAAUAAACAUACAUUUAAAGGUUUGUAUAGUAAUCCUUCCUUGUUUUAAUUCUUUUGAAAAACAGUUUAUAACAUCAAAAUAUGUUGUACAUUUUUAAAACCCUUAUGUCCGCGCAAAGCGCGGACCAACACCUAGUUAUAAUUUAAAAUCCAGCUAAGUUAUCUACAUACUAUAAUUCAUAAUUCACUAUUAAAAAAAUCAAAAUUCAUCCAUAUUAACCAUAAAUCUUACAAUUUUUAAACACACGAUAACAAAUUGGUAUUUUAUAAUUCUAUAAAUUAAGAAUCUUGUAUAGAUUUUAUUCAUAAUUCAUUUUUUAUAUACUUUUUUUUUGUCAUCAGCCUAAGUACCUAAAACGGUUCGGCUAUCCAAACCGGUGGUACCGAGUUUACAUAAAUGACGUCUUGAGGGUAGACACGAGCACUUCUUGCUAGGUUGUCCGCCUUCGAGUUUUUUGCGCGUGGGAUAUGUGAUAUAAGGAAGAAACUGAACUUGUCCUUCAUUUUCCUAAUCUCCUCCAAAUGUAGAUCAAAAGCUGGCCAUUCUUUGGGUGUAGACACCAUCUUCACCAACUCCAAACAGUCUGUUGCAAAAGCUACUUCCAUCUUCUGGUUUUCGAGCAUACAGUGCAUAGCCCAUAUGAGGGCUUCUAUUUCUGCAUGCAGAGGUGUAAGACUUUGUCUUACAUUUUGUGCUCCCAUUAUUCUUUCCGUAGCAUCUUCUUUAAAGAAGUACCAUCCUAAUCCCGUUAAAAGAUAUGUAUCUUUCCAAGAGCCAUCAGUAUAACACCACCAGCCUUCGUAGGCCAUAGGUGUUUACAAGUUCAGAGAAGUGCAAAGAUCGGUAGGAAUUGAAUCCUGUUCAGACCUUUGAGCCUCUUCCCACAAUGUUGCUUCUUUUUCCGCUAUUUUCAAUGUAAUCUGUGGAUCUAUAUCAUUAUUCGAAUACACUUUCUCAUUCCGUGCCUUCCAAAUAUACCAUGCGAUCCAUGGGAAUUUUGUGUUAUUCAACUCUUUUGGAAGUCGCCAAAAGAGAUGAUCAAAAUUCGAAUAAACCGAUGGUCCUGGGAAAAUCCCAAGAGGUGUUGGUAUCCGGGAUAAUGCCGAAGUUUGCAAAGCAGGAGGACAUUCAAAGAGCACAUGGUUAAUUGUUUUUUCAUCUGCUCCACACCGUGUACAUUGUGUGUCACAUUGUAUUCCACGGGUGCUUAAUCUAGCCGACACUGGAUGGCACCAAGAUAUUGCUUGCCAGAUAAAAUGUCUUAACUUCGACACACUUUUCAAUUUCCAAGCAUAUGCUUGUAAAGCCUUUAUGUCUGGGCCAAAGAUCUCCUCUGUUAUUUCUUUAGAUAAAUAACGCUCAGUUUUGUACCCUGAUUUUACAGUAUAUCGUCCGGAUUCUGUGAAAUGCCAUCCCAUUGGGUCUGGCCUAUAGGUUCUACUAAUGGGAAGUCCACGAAUAAUUUCCACAUCCGCUGGGUCAAUAAUUGCUGUUAUCAAACCCAUGUUUCACGAGUUUGUCACUGGGUCAAUCAGGUGAUUAACCAUAAGAUUCGGAUAAUAAUUGAAACCCUUACAAGUGGCUGAUCUCGGGCGAGUAGAAGGUAUCCACGGAUCAUUCCAGACAGAAAUGGAGCAUCCUGAACCUACCCUUUUAAUUAGCCCUUUAUUAACCAGAGAUCUAGCCGAUAUUAUACUUCGCCAUCCAUAAGACGGUGAGUAGGAUCUCACUGGGUCCAAAGGACUUGGAUUCCGAAAGUAUCGUCCUUUAAAGACCUGCGCAAAUAAGGAAUUUGGUCUAUCAAUCUGCGAAAGUAUCUUCAUUUUUUAUAUACUUUGUAUUUACUAAUCUUUUCUUUUAAUUUUUUCUAUUUUUUGAAUUUACAUUUAAAAAGGUAUAAUUAUUUUUCUAUUCUUAUUUGAAAUAAAUAAUUAAAAUAAGAAAUUUUAUCUCAUUUCAUUGACACAUGAGUCAAUCAUAAAUAACUGUGAUAUAUGACACAAUAUAGUGAGUUAUAAAAAUAUAAUGUCUUAUACAUAUAGAAUUUUAUUUUUGGUUUACUUUUGUUAUUUCUAUUUUGUAGUUUCUAUUUUCAUCUACUUUAGUUUUUUCUAAUUUAGUAAUUUACAUUUAAAAAUGUAGAAUUCCUUUUGUUUAGAAAAAAAAUAUAAUUUAACAUAUAAGAUUUUAUAUUAUUUUAUUGACAUAUGUUACGAUCAUAGUUAAGCGUGAUACAUGACACAAUAUGGUGAAUUAUAAAAAUCCUAUGUGCCAGUGUCACGUUGAGAGCACUGAACUUUCUUUUUUUUUUUUCACUGAAUAUUACGUAUAUUAAUAAUCGAUGAGCUUACAAGCAGACAAUACAAAACAUGAUCAAAAGCAAUCAAACACUCAUAUAGAACAUGAGUAUUACAACAAGGUAAUACUACUUUCAGAAACAAAAAUCUCUUCUAACCACUGAGGAUAGCCCGAGGCUAUAUAUGAUUGUCGACGAUCAUCUUUAGUCACACUUCUAGCAAUGAGGAAAGCACCUUGAUUUGUAACUCUUUCCUCAAGCGUAAGCUUCCAAUCCAAAAAAAUUUCCAAACCAUUCAAGAUCUCAGACGAAUAGAAUUUGAAAGAAGGCCAGGCUGGUGGCCGAUGAACCGCUCCUAUUAAAUCUGAAUCUUCCGAAGCAAAGACCAUUUUGGUGAUACCUAAGCUAUUCAAACUUUCAAUUGCCCAGAUCCAACUUUUGAAACUAGCAUCAAUGUGGCUGGAUACAGAACAGAAAGAUCUUCUACUGUGUAAAAGGACUGAUCCAAAAGAGUUCCUAAGAACCCAUGCAGCACCACCACAUCCUUUCUUUUUAUCCCAGGAAGAACCGAUAUUACAUUUCAACCAAGGUCUAGAGGGAGGAAGCCAAACCUUCGGGGGUUGAAUCACCUCCAUCUUUUUUUUAAUAGCUUCCUUUUCAUCCAACUCUUGAGCGUGAAACCAUUGGUUCACAUCUUCUUUAAUCUUGCCCAUAGUAUCAGAAACUCGGAAGCUCAUUCCUUCAAAAAUGAAGAUGUUGAGAUUCUUCCAGAGUAUCCAUAAGAUCCACGGGAUUGAUCUUCUGAUUUCCAAAGGCACUGAUAACUUUUUACCCACCAUCAAUAAAUGGAACAUGUUCUGAUAGAUGGAGUUUGAUUCAUAUCCAUUUUCAGGACUGGGUACAUUCGAAGAGGCCCAAACCUGUCUAGCAAUUGUACAUUUGAAUAGCACAUGAUUUAUGGAUUCACCUUCAAGCCCACAGAUUUGACAUCUCGAAUCAAUCUUCAUACCUCUCGAUGCAAUUUUGUCUGCAACAGGAAUGGCACCACUAAUUGCUUUCCAAAGAAAGUUUUUGAUUUUAGUGGUUGUAUUGAGCGCCCAGAUUUGGAGUUUGAUUGCAUUCAAAGACGGUUGCAUCAGAGCUUCCUUGAGGGCUUCAGAUGGAUUACUUUGAGAAGCAAACCAAUACCCUGAUUUAACAGAAUAUUCGCCACUUUUGGUAUGUUCCCAGCAGAAAAAAAUCCAAUGAAGAAACCACCGGGUUAGUUCUUAAGAUUAGACCAACGUCUCUUUGGAAGAAAUGCUCAUCGAGUUUAUCCCUAUCCCAGCUUUUGGAUAUCGGAUCAAUGAGGUCAAUAACUCUCAAAUCCAAAUUAAAGAUGAUGUUCUUUAUGAAGGGAGCUCUCAUAACCCCAUCACAAAGCCAUCGAUUAGUCCAUACACUAAGCGAAGCUCCAUUGCCAACCAUCUGUCUAAGACCUUUUUCUAAAAGAGAUCUUCCAUGAAGAAUGCUUCUCCAAGCAAAAGAGGGUCUAACUCCAGUAUCUGCGAGAAGGAAGGAGGAAGAAACAAAGUAUCGGCUCUUUAAGAACAAAGCAAGGAGACAAUCCUUAUCUUGUAGAAUUCUCCAAGCUUGUUUGGCUAAAAGAGCUUGGUUGAAGAUUUGAAUGUCUUUAAAACCGAUCCCUCCUUGAGCUUUAGGAAUGCACAAUUUAUCCCAUCCAAUCCAAUGCAUUUUCCUUUUGUUCUCGACAGUGUCCCACCAGAAAUCAGCCAUCGCAGAAGAUAACUUAUUACAGAUAGUUACUGGCAAUUUAAAACAGGUCAUGGAGAAAACUGGCAUCGCCAUCGCAACAGAGUUGAGUAACACUUCUUUUCCACCUUGAUAUAGAAGCUUUGAAUACCAUCCAGACAUUCUUCCUUUCAUUUUGUCGUGGAUGUAAGACAACAUAUCCACUUUAGAUCCACUAAAACAUUCUGGAAGACCCAAAUAAGUGCCCGCUCCACCUUCAUUGAUAAUACCCAAUUUGGUUUGAAUGAUUUCCUUCAUAUCCAUAUUCACGUUAGCACCAAAAGUGAUGGAGGAUUUAUCAAGGUUGAUGAUCUGACCAGUAACUCUUCCAUAAAGAGAAGAAUGGAUUGGAGGGUUGUGCACUGUUCUUCAUCCGCUUUAAUCAUAAAAAGACUGUCAUCUGCGAAUAACAAAUGGUGAAUGGCUGGACCAUCGGGAGAGAAUUGAAUCCCAUUAAUCAAGCCAGAUCGUUCAGCACAGUUGAGCAGAUAUGUCAAUCCUUCAGUACACAAAACAAAAAGGAAAGGUGAUAAGGGAUCACCUUGCCUUAUUCCUCUCUCAGGAAUGAUCAAACCAAAAGGCUGUCCAUUAAUCAGAACUGUAUAAGAAACCGAGGAGACACAGAACAUAAUCAUCUGGACCCAUUUUUGAUGAAAACCGAGAGCCAAAAGGAGCGCUUGAAGAUAGGACCACUCAACACGGUCGUAAGCUUUUGACAUGUCGGUCUUCACCGCCAUGAACUCCGUCGAAAUCCUAUCAUGAGUUCUCAAACCAUGGAUAGCUUCAUGAGCUAUUAUAAUGUUAUCUGAGAUAAGUCUUUCUUCAACAAAGGCAGAUUGAUUAGGAGAGACAAUCUCAGACAGAAAGGGUUUCAUUCAGGACACCAUGAUUUUGGAAAUCACUUUGUAGAGAACAGAACAGAGACUAAUUGGCCGUAGGUCACUCAUGUGAGGAGAGUUGACCUUUUUUUGGGAUAAGACAAAGAUUAGUGAAGUUCCAUUCUUUAGGGAAAACACCCGAUUCAAAGAACUUGAGAACUUCCAUCGUGACAAGAUCACCAACAAUAUCCCAAUAGUUCUGAAAGAAAAGACCAGUCAUACCGUCUGGGCCAGGAGCACUAGAGGCUUUGAUCGAGAAAACAGCUCUUUUCACUUCUUCUUUAGAAACCAUACUGAUAAGACUGUCGUUCAUUCUAGAGUUGACUCUCGGCAUGAAAUCGGAGAAGAAUUCUAUCUGAUUUGAAGGAGCAGAUGAUGAGAAAAGAGUCUGGAAAUAGCUAGUCGCCACUUCACCCUUUGAAGCUUCAGAUCGAUGCAUGAUUCCAUUUAUAUCCAUAAGCUUAUCAAUACAAUUCCUUGACCUAUCAGACUUGACAGAAGCAUGGAAAAACUUGGAGUUUUUGUCACCAAGAUUCAGCCAUUUAUCUCUACUUUUCUGUUGCCAAAAACUUUCUUCUUCCUUGUAAGCCUCCACCAGACUUUUUUGAGAUUGAAGAGACGACAUGAAGAAGGAGAUGACGAGGAUUGUUCAAACUCCAGAUCAUCUUCAAUAGUUUUUAUUUUGAUCUGAGAAUUAGCAUCGUUGACUUUCUUCCAUUGACUGAGAGCUUUCCUGCAACUUCUUAAUCUCGAAGAGACACUAAGAUUAUGAGAGGAUGAGGGACCAAACCAAGCCGACUUUAUGGCUUCUUUGACAAAAGGUUUGUGGAGUAAUCUUUUUUCAAAUCUAAACGAACCCCGAUAAGACUCUUGAGAAGAGAAGAGAUGAACCAGGACCGGACGAUGAUCGGAUCCUCUUUUAGCCAAAAAAGCUUGAUUAGAAGCAGGGAAGAAAGAAGACCAGACUUUGUUGCCGAAACAUCUGUCAAGCUUACACUGAAUCCACAAGGUGCGUCUUCUGCCACCCCAGGUAAAGCUAUUCCCUGUACUUGGAAGUUCUCUCAUAUCACAAUCUUUCAACAUGUUGGAAAAAGUAAGGAAAGAAGAAUCACUCCUUCUUGGACCACCAUUUUUUUCCUCAUUGUUGAGAAUUUCAUUAAAGUCUCCAAGCAUACACCAUCCAGUUUUUCUUUGAAUCCCAAUACGAGUCAGCCUUUCCCACACUAGGUGUCUCAAACUCGCAUUUGGGUUUCCAUACACACACGUAACAAAGAAACUGCUUGAACCAAACUGUACAUACAUGUCCAGCACAUUCUUAUCUACAUACUUGAGAUCGAUAUCAACACCUUUUUUCCAGAAAAGAGCCAAACCCACCGGAUCAACCGUAUAUACAUGCUCAUAACCCAACCAAACUUGAAUAUCUACAAUGAUAUUUUUACAGUUUAUCGUUUCCAUAAGGAACAAGAUCUCAGGGAAGUGUUUUUUACGCAUCUCCAUGAGUCUGGGAAUCGUCAGAUCUUGAGGCCGCCCCAAUCCCUGGCAAUUCCAGCUUGAUAUGCUCAUAAAUCAGUGGACAGUUCCUCAUUUGGGACCAUCUCAUGUGUUUUUGACCUUGCGGCUUUGGAAACACUCUCCAGUUCACUAUCAGCUUUCCUUUUCUCCACUGAACCCUCUAAAGAACCCUUCUUUUUCUCCACAUCUUCGGCAAAAGAAUUCUCCAAUUUUCCUUUUAACUUCCUUCGAGAUUUUGGAGGCCUCUUUCUUGGUUUUGGUUUUUUCAUAGCAGUCCCGGAAGGACCAGCAACAGAGUGCCCGAUCCUAUAACCCGUUGAACUGUUGUGAAAAGGGACCGACUCAUCACCAAAAUCUGGGGAAGUAGAAUCGGUUUGAAGAGGAUUGGAGCCAUAAUUUCUCCUAGAGCUAGCAUCCGCUUGAAUUGCAGCAGACAUAAGCUUUUGACCUCGAGGCAUGAUCACUUCAGUUUUUGUAGUCGAGUCCUCAGAAUCAUAGCCAAAGACUGGACCUUUCCCUUUGUUGAGAUCACGAGUGAUAAUUGGAACAGGUUCUAGACGAAGCACCAUUUUCUGCGUGAUUAAAUUCUUUUCUGCCUCACAAACAGAAUUCUUCACACGAUCUUCUCUAACCUUACGAUCAUCACCAUUAGCAAUUAACAAAUAUUGUCUCAUGCCUUCUAGAACCUCAGCUGCAAUUCUUGGACGACCUGUUAAGGGAUUCAAGCCAACCUGGUUCUCACCAAGAACGCCAAAAAGAGGGUCAGAUUCCAACAGGACAGGCUUGGGGAUCUGUUUUUGGGGAGCAUGUCCAAGUCUUCUUUCAGCCGCCAAAGCUUGACGUUUCAUGAUCAAAAUAGGGCACACCUCACGCGCGUGAGUUAACCUUUGACAAGAAUAGCAUCUCUUCUGAAUUCUUUCAUAGAACUAGUGAACUGUGGUUGAGCCUCCCUUAGGCAGAUUGAUCACUUUCGACUGUCUAAGAGGUUUAGACACAUCAAAUUUAACUUUCACUCUCACAAACUCUUUGUUCUGCGCUUUAGUAGGAUCAAAUGCAAUUUCAGUAACAAGACCAACAAGAUCUCCUAAAGCAGUAAUCGCCUCCUCAGUGUAAUGAUUAAUAGGAAUGUUUCUGAUUUGCACCCAGAUCGGAACAAACUGCAGAGAUUCACUUGAAGGCUGCUCUUCCCAACGCUCUGUAGCAAGAGCCCAUUCAUUGAAAGUAUGGACACCUUUGUCCAAGAUUUCAUUUAGGUCAUGUUCAUACUUGAAGAAAAACUGGAAACGCUCUCUUGAUAGAGCCACACCUCUGACUCUAUCAUACUUUUGCCAUUUUCUAGGCAAAUCCAAAAUCAGGUUAGCCAUCUUUUGACAUUCUGGAUUAAGAAGACGACCUAUCAGGCUGAACUCAUUUUUAUCACUUGAACAGUAAGCUGGGGUAUCAGGAAGAUCGAAUGGAACUUCUUCUUCCUCUAGAGACAUGGCCAUCAGCGCCUUAUCCAUAGCAGAAGACAUGGUAACCGAAAAUAACUCUGAACCACAACCACAGGUAGAAAAUCUGAACGGCCCAAAGAAGAUAGACCACCCAAAGCAAGGAAACCACGAGAUGAAAACUUAAGCAGGAGAUGAGACGAAAUUUUUCUAGACCCAGCAAAUGAAGAACACGGAUGAACCCUAUAUUUCUUUAUAGAUCUGAAAAAAAGUGUUUGAAAAGGUGAAAAGCGGGAUGAAUAGUCAAAAGGGAAAGAAGUUUUUCCACACAAAAGCUCUAUUCUCGAAGAGAUGAGAUACUCUUACACAGAAAGAGAGUCCUAAGCCCAAAAAAGGGAAACAGAUAUUUUUUCUACUAUCUUCAUCUUCUAUCUGCACCACUUGAGAGCACUGAACUUUCUAUAAUAAGAUUCUAUUUUAAAAAAACUAUUAAAUGUGUAGAAGAAAACACCACCAAAUGAGAAGUUUUGACGAUGGGACUUGGGAGGUAAGAAAAGCAUAUAAGAGUCUCCAAGUGUCUGGUUAUACUUUUUUUUGCGAUCCAGUUUAUUCUUUUGUCCAACCUCAAGGGUAGAUGUUAAUUUGAUUUAAUUUUGUAUUGGGUCAGUUCAAUUAAUUUGUAUUUAAUAAAAUUCUAACUGAAUUUAAAUGAAGUUAAUUCGUGGUUUUUCUUCAGUUUGAUCUAUUUUUGGUUAAAAAUAAUAAAAAAGUCAAUAUGAAAAUAAGUCAUAACAAAAUAAAAGAGAAAAAAGAAAAAUUUUUUGGCACUUAUUUUAAAUUAUUGCGAUUUAAUAGAUACGACACAUUUAGUUAAGACAUAUAUGUCUAGGACACAAAAGAAAUAUUGAAAUGUUGUAGUGACUUCAUAACACUACUACAAAUAGAUAAAAUACUGGGAUGGUGUAUUGACUUGGCAAUACUGUUACAAAUCUCAGAUAUAUUCUAAAAGAUAUAGUGGAAUGGUGUGGUGACUUCAUAACACUACUACAGAUAAAUAAAAUACUGGGAUGGUGUACUGACUUGAAAACACUGUUACAAAUCUUAGAUAAAUUCUAAAAGAUAUAGUGGGAUGAUAUAUCAAUUUGUGACACUACUGUGUACAUCCUACCCAAGAUCCAGAAAUUCAUUGGGUUGACUCGGUUUAUUCCAGGUUGAUCUAGUUUGCCUCCUUUUCCUAUUUCAGCGUUUUAAACCUAAUUUUUUAAGUUAAGUUUAGUACUAACUUUGUCUCUCUUUCUUUUUUAAGGUUUUACUUAAAAGUUUGAUGCUAUCAUAACUUAAACACAGAGAGAUUAUAUACACACUUUAUUCUCAUAGUUUCACUUCUUUUUAUCAUUCCCCUUUAAUACAGUAAAGGCACUUAAAUCAAUAUAAAUUAAAGACACUAUUGUACUAUGUAAUCACUCAUUUUAUUUCACUCAUAAAAAGAAUUACAAAAUUAAUACAUCUUAGGAACUGAUGAUGAUCGACCUAUCAAAACCCAAUUGUAAAGAAAAUAUCUAUCUAGCAACUAAUGAGCAGACUAUUAAAUUCAUCAACUAAAUAAGAAAAGUAAAAUAACUAUUAAUCUUCUCUCUUCUAACAGCUUUCUCUGAUUAUGCAGUCUACGUCAGCAGUGAUCACUCCCUGGUAGCAGUUAAUUGGUCUUCAUCUUCCAGCUCAUGAUCUUCUUCUUAGGCACAUAGCUCUUGAGGUAUUAUAAAUACCCACAUCGAAAACAAGAAGCUUUUCUUCAAUCUUAAGUGUGAAAAUUGCUUGAUCAUAGGUGCAGCUCUCUCCCAUGUCCUCUCAUUAUCUAGAAGACCUGUCCAACUAAUUGAUGUUUCCAAAUGAUUAGCAAGAUCAGAGUGAGUAACUAAAACUGAUACCGGUUCAAUAAUGAGUUCAUCAUCAACUGAGAAGGACUGUGGAAGUGCAGAAACAUGAUGAUCUGUUCCUAAGACUUUUUCACUAUCAAGUAGACCGCCGAUGCAAAAGUUAAAUACCAUGAUAUAACCUUUAAAAAUUUUAGUACCACAAUAAUCACUUUUUGUUGAAACCUUACAAUGCAAAAUCAUAAAGUGACAAAUAGGUACUUGAACCUUUUUUUUUUCAUCCAAUACCAAACUUGUUUUUUCAUCAUGAUUCACCUUCUCUAACAUGUACAAAUAAGAAUACAACACCUUAAAACUUUAUUUUUUAGUACAACGCACUUCAUUAACAUCUUUUUUUCCUCUCAAUGUGGUAGAUUAAGAAUGCUGAUCUAGUAACUAAAUAAGAAUGCCCUGUCAACUAAAUCUUGCCAUGCCUGCUUAGUUCGAAAUUUUUGACAUAAUUCUCAUGCAUCACGUGGAAGUUCAACAUAUCCAGGCAUACACAAGAUAACCAGACUGUUAUCUACACCAUUAUCCACACUAUUAUCCACAUUGUCACGUGAUAUAUUUGUAACACAUCUAUCAACAACAUUCUUGAUCAAUUCAUGAUGUUGUUCUGUUGUUUUGUCAUCUUCUUAAAGAGUAACAAAACCAUCAUUAACUCUAGAAUUAUUUCUUCCACCUGAAAACAGAUCGCCAAAAUUCACACCAAAUAAAAUUUCUCAUUCUACUCUUAGAAGUUGCUUGCCCAACUUAAUGUUUUCCAAAUCUUUGGUGACCUCUACAUGCAAAACACUUCUACAUAGUUCCUUAUUCAUGGAGAUAAACAUAAACGUCCUCAUUAUUGAAAAUAUAUUAUUGUCUGUGAGGUUUCACUACCAAUGGAAUUAAAGUCACUUUCAGCUUUGUCUAAGAUAUAUAUAUGAUGUCGUAAAUGAUAUACUAUACAUGUGAUCUUCUAUUGAAAUCCAUCAAUUCUAUGAUCUUUGAAUAAUAUCCUUCAUAAUCAAAUAUAUGUUUGUGAAACUAUAGCUUAUUGUCUUAGGAAGAAUAGAAACUACUUUAGCACGUGUUAUCUUGAAUCAAUAAUAUUAUUUGUACCAAUUAUAACACUUCUCUAAGUAAUAUCAACUGUUACAGUUGUUUUUCUGCAAAUUAGGUGACUUCGGGCCACUGAUAUGUUCAUAAUUUGCAUCAUUUAGGUUGCACAAAUCAUUCCAAAUCAUGUUUUAUUUCAUGUAUUUUAGGUCCCUAGGGUUUGUUUUAGAACUUAGGAGAUGCAUUAGGUCCCAAUGAGUCUUUGCAUGUUUUGAGUGUCUAUCAGGUGAUUAUGGAGCUGAAAAGAUGAAUCCAGGAGGUGGAAUGGUGAGCAGAGCUUGAAAAAGUGGAAAACUUGAGUCUAUGGAGGUUAUCGGCCAUUCUCGCUGGCCAGGAAGGUUUUACCGGCCAUUUUCAUGUACUGCGGGAAGCUUUACCGGCCAUUUUCACGUACCGCGAAUUAAGUAUAUCGGCCAAAAUCUCCGGGUGCGAACGAGUCUCAGAAAUCACCUGUCCGGGGAGCCUUCCGGUCCGAUUCAGAUGGCGGGUCCUUCAUAGAAGUUGGAGAGCAUUGAAGCACGGUCUCAUAGCAAUUGGAAUCGUAGAAUUCGGACGCGUGAGCAGAGAGAUAAGCUCGUCGGAAGAAACCCCUGUCUCGCAGGUAUUCCGGACCGAGCAGAUCAGUUCUGAAGGAUGCGAAGGACGGUGCACUUCCAGGCCGAUUCAGCUUCCGGGUCCUUCAUGAGAAUCAGAGACAUUUGAGUUUUCUUUCCAGAACGUCCAAGAGCAUUCAAUUCGGAUCUAUGAGAAGGAAGAUACGGCCUCCGGAAUGGACACAUGUCUAGACGCCUCUCUCUGGUCGUAUACAUGCACUGCAAAGAUGUGCCCUCCAGGAAGCCUUCCACCUCCCAAGCACUGAAACUUCCUUCACAAAAGUUGGAGAUAAAUGAGUCCUCUGUCUUCUGCAACCGAAAUCAUUCAAUUCGGACAAGUAUCACAGGAGUUACACUCUCCGGAAUGCGAAGUGAUCUAAGCUGCUCUGGAUGCUGCGAGAUGGUCUUGCGACUUGGUUAACCCGCAGGCCUGAAGAUGAACACCUGAAUGCUGAUGCUGCGAGUUGAAAUGUGCGGGUAAACUAUCACUGGAAGAGGUCUGGAGCUCCCGAGCAAGAGAAAUGCUAAGUCCACAAUCGUGCGACUUAGGCAUGCGAGUCAUCCGCGCCUGGAUCUAUGCCGCACGAUCACUCGGAAUUCACUCCGACUCGAGCCUGCGACCUAAGUGCAAUAGAGACCAACCCGCACAGUUUCUACAUCCCCCAGAAACCGGCUCAGCCCUGCGAGUUGGAGAGGAAGGAGACCAUGCCGCAGAAACACUCGCAAUUUACUCCUAGAUAGGCGUGCGGCUCCGACAAGGUGAUUCAAGCCUCACAAGACAAGUCUUCAUCUACUGCGACUUAGGUGUGCGGCCUGGGACAUACUGAACCGACCCGCAGCUUUUCCCACUUUAUCCAUUAAAGCCGGGUCAGGACCCGGUUUGUUCCGGGCUGACCCGGUUCGUUUUUAAGAAGGUAUAAAUACUUUUUAGGGUUUUUUGGGGGAGAACUAAGUUUUAUUCCCUUUGUCUCUUGCCUUUUUGGUGAAAAGACUCCAUUAAGAAGAGAAAUAUCUUUAUUUGAGUGUUUAAUCAAGAGAGUUUAAGGAGAUCUGGGUGUUUAAAGCUGUUUUCUUUUGAAUCUAUCAUCUCCAUCUCCAUUUCUCAUCAUUAAUCAUGCUAAUCUACUCAACUUGCAAAAGUUUAAGAGAGAUUAGUAUGAUUAGUGAGUAGUCACCUUAAUGAGGUUCUAGAUGUGUAGGUUAGGGUGCUAAAGUGUUAGAUUAGGAGUGCUUAGGGCUAGAUUCAUUGAUUCAUCUCUCUAAACAGCUGUUCUCUAUGCUAAAUCCUUGAUAAUCACUUGAGAUCUAGAUUCUGGGAAUUUCAUGCACCAAAAGUGUUUGAUGAAAUUCCUGAAAGAGUUGUGUUAGAGGUUUAAGUAAUUUUUCAUCAUGGGAAUGAUUUGUUAAAUGCUUGAAUGAUCAUUAAGAGCUGUUUGUUAAUGCAUAUUGAUUCAUGUUUCACAAAUGGGAAUUUGGUUUGAAAAUGGAUUAGUAUAGGGGUUAAUACCUUCAUGAGAGGAUUAACCUAGAUUAGAGUUCUUAAUCAUUUGAAUCAUGUCUCAUCAUUGUCAUUAGCAUUUCUAGUUUAACACCAAGGCACCCUAACCAACUAUCAUGUCUAGAAUCUCAUGCCUCCAUCAUAUCAUAUUCACAUCAUUUGUCAUUGUCAUUUGUCUUUAAACCUGUUUAUGUUUAUAGUUGUCUCUAGAUUAAUCAAAACCUAUUCUUGUUUGCUUGAAUUAAGAACUUGAUCAUAUAGCUUAGUGUCUAACACCACAUCUGGAUUGAUAAACCUCUUUGUACUACAUUGACAAGGGGAUUGAUAGCCCUGAGACCCUUAAAAGUCAUAUCUAUCAAUUGGCGCCGUUGCCAAAUUGUGGUUUGAUUAGCAUUAAGCUCUGAUCUGUUCUUGAGAUCAAGUGCUUACUUUCUUGUUUUUACUGAUUCCUUUCAAGUUCUGUUUGUGAUUUCAGGUGUAUGAACACCAGGUCCAGAUCAAGAAGCUGCGGUCCUCCUUUUCCUCUAAACGACAACAUCAACCUUCUGGUACCAAGGAGGAGAAGAGACAGACGUGGUAGACAACUUGAUCAGACUGAGAUGGCCGACCAAGGAGAUCACGGGGUAGAUAUAGAACAACCAGUUCAGGAGCAACAGGCUCAAGGUCAGGGAGCUGGUAUUGGAAUUGGUCAGGGGUUUCACCAAGGCAAUGUUCAGCAGGAACAGGUGCACCACCAACAAGCCUAUGUCCACCAGGGACAAGCUCAGGCUCAUCAACAGAGGCAUCAGGCCAAUGUUCAACAAAGACACCAGGUGCACCACCAACCCCACCCUUUCCAACCACAACAAAGAAGAUAUGAGCAACCCCAAAUAUAUGUUGGCGAGAAUGACAGGGCCAAUGCUCAUCAGUAUGGGGCUGGUAUUCAGGCACCACCUGUGCAGAACAACAACUUUGAAGUGAAAGCAUCAUUGCUGAAUAUGGUCCAGAACUCAAAGUUCCAUGGGUUAGCAAUGGAAGAUCCCUUGGAACACUUGGACCAGUUUGAUAAGGUGUGUGAUCUGACCAAGAUUAAUGGAGUUUCAGAAGACAGCUUUAAGCUAAGACUAUUCCCAUUCAGUCUUGGUGACAAAGCUCAUCAAUGGGAGAAGAAUCUUCCAAGAGGCUCCAUUCAAACCUGGGAGCAAUGCAAGCAAGCCUUCUUAUCUAAGUUCUUCUCCACCUCAAGAACUGCAAAACUGAGAAACCAAAUCUCUAGCUUCACUCAGCACAGCAAUGAAAGUUUUGGUGAAGCAUAUGAGAGAUUCAGGAGCUACACAAACCAAUGCCCACACCAUGGGUUUAGUGAGGCUUCUCUUCUCAGCACACUGUAUAGGGGAGCUCUUCCCAAGAUUAGAAACCAGCUGGAUACUGCUUCCAAUGGGAACUUUCUGGGUAAAGAGAUUCAUGCUGCUUUAGAGCUAGUGGAGAACUUAGCAUUGAGCAAUGAUACUUAUGGUGAAGACUAUGACAGAUCAAAUAGGUAUGAAGGUUCAAGCUCAGAACAGAGGCUCACCAGAGAAGUUAAGGAGUUGAGGAGUGAAUUGGACAAGCUGAAAUUCACCACUCAGAAGCCAAUGCAUUUUGUUGGAGAGUAUGAGGAACCUUCUCAAAUUUUUGAGAACAUAAGUGAAGAAGGUCUUACCCAAGAGGAGCUCAACUACAUUGGGAAUCAGAGGUUCCAAAGAUAUCAGUAUGGUAAUGCCAAUCCAAACCUCUCUUACAGGAACACCAAUGUAGCUAACCCACAAGACCAGGUCUAUCCCAAUUCUCAAGCUCCAAAGAACUUUGUUCCCAAGCACAACUUUCAAGGGUCAUUCCAACCCAAGAAUCAAUUUGGUCAGAAUCAGAGUUUUGGUCAGCAACAGCAACCAUUUCAGGGCACUGGUUACACUUCACAGCAGCCAAAGGCACCACCAGGGUUUGGUCCACCACAGUUCCAACAGCAGGCGCCGGUUCAACAACAGUUUCAGCCACCAAUGGUUCAACAGCAGCCACAGAUGGGUACAGAUAUGGUUGGUAUUCUGCAACAACUACUUCAGGGUCAACAGACUAUGCAGCAGGAAAUCAAGGAACUGAAGCAAAACCAGGCAUCAAGCUCAAGGAACCAAGGUCACCUACCUGGAAAACCAGAACCCAACCCCAAGGAAUAUGCCAAGGCCAUAACACUGAGGAGUGGCAAGGAGUUACCUGGUAUUGAGAACAACAAUGUGAUCAUUGAGGACAAUGAUCAACCUGAGGGGGAGGCAGCCUUAAAGGAUGAUCAAGUUGCUGAGAAACCAAGGUCAGAAAAGGGUAAAGAGGUAGCAAAGGAACCAGAACCAGAGAAGAAGUAUGUGCCACCACCUCCAUACCAACCCAAGCUCCCAUUUCCAGGGAGAUUUAAGAAGCAACUAGUGGACAAGGCAAGAGCUGUAUUUGAGAAGGCACUCAAAGAGACACCACUCACAAUGCCUCUCAUUGAUGCAUUCUUAAUGAUGCCAAAGAUGGGGAAGUUUUUGAAGGAUGCUAUUCUGAACAAGACAAAAGAGCUUCAAGGCAUGGUAGUACUAAGUCAUGAAUGCAGUGCUAUCAUUCAAAGGAAGUCCAUUCCAAGGAAGUUAACUGAUCCAGGGAGCUUCACACUCCCCUGUGCCAUUGGACCUCUUCUAUUCUCUGGAUGUCUUUGUGAUUUAGGAGCAUCAGUCAGCUUGAUGCCAUUCUCCAUAGCACAGAAGCUGGGCUUUAGAGUUUUCAAACCUUCAAAGAUUUCUCUUAUCCUUGCAGAUAGAUCAGUUAGAUUGCCUGUUGGUAUGUUGGAAGAUCUACCUGUCAAGAUAGGUGGUUUUGAGGUUCCAACAGAUUUUGUUGUGCUGGAGAUGGAUGAAGAGCCAGUAGAUCCUCUUAUCUUGGGCAGACCAUUCUUAGCCACUGCAGGAGCUAUUAUUGAUGUGAGAGGUGGGAUAAUAGAGCUUCAACUUGGGUCUGAAAAGCUCAAGUUUGAUGUGAAUGAGAUGAUGAAGAAGCCCACCAUUGAAGGUCAAUGUUUCUAUGUAGAGACAAUGGAUCAGUUGGCUGAUGAGUUGCUUGAGGAGCUGAACACAGAGGAUCCUCUUCAAGCUACUCUGACUCAAGAACAAGGAGACAAUGGGCUCUUGGCUGAAGCAAGUGAAGGGUAUAAGCUGUAUCUGGACAAUGCAAGAGAGCUGGGUCCUGAAACAAGGUUUGUGGAGCUGGAACAGAAUGGCACUGAGGUUUUUGCAAUCCAAGAAUCAGUCACCAGCCAAAGCAGCUUGGACCAGGACUGGAAUGAGGCUGAUGCACCCUCUGUUGAGCUCAAACCUCUACCAACAGGGCUCAGGUAUGCUUUCUUAGGACUAAACUCCACAUAUCCUGUCAUCAUCAAUGAUAGCCUAUUAGAGGACCAAGAGAGUGCAUUGCUGAAUGAAAUAAGAAAGUUCAGGAGAGCCAUAGGGUAUUCUUUGGCUGAUAUUAGAGGGAUCUCUCCUGACAUCUGCACCCAUAGGAUCCACCUAGAGGACCAAUCUAUGUCCUCUAUUGAGCACCAACGUAGACUUAACCCCAACCUUAGGGAAGUGGUUAAGAAGGAGAUACUAAAGCUUCUUGAGGCAGGGAUAAUUUACCCAAUCUCUGACUCAAGAUGGGUAUCUCCUGUUCAUGUUGUGCCCAAGAAAGGUGGGAUCACGGUGGUGAAAAACGAUAAGGAUGAACUCAUAGCUCAAAGAACCAUAACUGGCCACCGCAUGUGCAUUGACUAUAGGAAAUUGAAUUCUGCUUCUAGAAAAGAUCAUUUUCCUUUACCAUUCAUUGAUCAAAUGCUUGAGAGGUUAGCUAAUCAUCCUUAUUUUUGUUUUCUCGAUGGGUACUCUGGAUUUUUCCAAAUUCCCAUAGAUCCAAGAGAUCAAGAGAAAACAACAUUCACAUGCCCUUAUGGCACUUAUGCUUAUAGGAGAAUGCCUUUCGGUUUAUGUAAUGCACCGGCUACUUUUCAAAGGUGUAUGAUGCACAUUUUCUCUGACAUUAUUGAAGAGAAAGUUGAGGUGUUCAUGGAUGACUUUAGUGUCUAUGGCUCCUCCUUCUCGGAUUGUCUCUCUAAUUUGACACAGGUGUUGGAGAGAUGUGAGCAACACAGCUUGGUGCUGAACUGGGAGAAGUGUCAUUUCAUGGUGCAAGAAGGGAUAGUUCUUGGGCACAAGAUCUCUGAAAAGGGCAUUGAGGUUGAUAAGGCAAAGGUGGAGGUUAUGGUGAAUCUGCAAACCCCCACUUCAGUUAAAGGGAUAAGGAGCUUCCUGGGUCAUGCAGGGUUUUAUAGAAGAUUCAUAAAGGACUUCUCAAGGAUUGCCAGGCCCUUAACAAGACUGUUGUGCAAGGAGGUGGAUUUCAUCUUUGAUGUUGAAUGUGAAGAAGCCUUUAAGUUGAUCAAGGAGGCAUUGGUUAGUGCACCAAUAGUUCAGGCACCAGACUGGUCCCUACCUUUUGAGGUCAUGACAGAUGCUUCUGACUUUGCUGUUGGAGCAGUACUUGGACAAAAGAAAGACAAGAAGUUGCAUGUGAUCUACUAUGCCAGUAGAACACUUGACUCUGCCCAAGAGAAGUAUGCUACAACUGAAAAGGAAAUGCUGGCAAUAGUUUUUGCCUUUGAUAAGUUCAGAAGCUACCUGGUGGGAUCAAAGGUCAUUGUGUAUACUGAUCAUGCAGCCCUCAGGUACUUGAUGACCAAGAAAGAUGCCAAACCAAGGCUGUUGAGAUGGGUUCUAUUGCUCCAAGAGUUUGAUAUGGAGGUGCUUGAUAAAAAGGGGAUUGAGAAUGGUGCUGCAGACCAUCUCUCAAGGCUGAGGAUUGAAGAAAAAGUCCCCAUAGAUGAUGCUUUGCCUGAAGAGUCUCUGAUGGUGCUCCAUUCAUACUUGGAGUUUGAGGAAGUAGAGAGCAUUCAAGAAAGGAGGAUGCCUUGGUUUGCAGAUAUAGUGAACUAUCUUGCAUGUGGGGUGGAGCCCCCUGAAUUGGAUGCUUACAAGAGAAAAAAAUUCUUCAGAGAUGUCCAGAGAUACUAUUGGGAUGAGCCCUACCUCUAUGUUCUGAACAAGGAUCAGUUAUACAGAAGAUGUCUUGCUGAAGAGGAGAUGCAACCUGUGUUGCAGGAAUGUCAUGGUUCUGCUUUUGGAGGUCACAUGGGGGCAUUCAAAACUGUAGCAAAGGUUCUUCAAAGUGGGUUCUGGUGGCCUACAAUGUUCAAAGAUGCCCAAUUGGUGGUUUCAGCUUGUGAUGCCUGUCAGAGGCAUGGAAAUAUAUCUAAAAGAAGUGAGAUGCCUCAGAACCCCAUUCUAGAAGUGGAGAUCUUUGAUUGUUGGGGGAUUGACUUUAUGGGACCUUUUAUUUCAUCCUUUGGAAAUCAAUACAUACUUGUUGCUGUGGACUAUGUGUCCAAAUGGGUUGAGGCCAUUGCUUCCCCUACCAAUGACUCCAAGGUUGUAGUCAAGCUGUUUAAGAGCAUCAUAUUUCCAAGGUUUGGAGUUCCAAGGGUUGUCAUUUCUGAUGGAGGAUCCCACUUUUUGAACAAGACUCUGGAAGGUUUAUUGAGAAAGCAUGGAGUUAAACACAAGAUAGCUACUCCAUAUCAUCCCCAAACUAGUGGCCAAGUGGAGGUAUCUAAUAGACAAAUCAAGGCCAUUCUGGAAAGGACUGUCAGCUCAACCAGAAAAGAUUGGAGCAAAAGGCUGGAUGAUGCAUUAUGGGCUUACAGGACUGCCUUUAAAACUCCAAUUGGAACAUCACCAUUCAGUCUGCUAUAUGGGAAGAGCUGCCACCUUCCUGUGGAGUUGGAGUACAAAGCUAUGUGGGCUGUGAAGUUUCUAAACUUUGAUAUCAAAACAGCUCAGGAGAAAAGAAUCAUGCAACUCCAUGAGCUUGAGGAGAUUAGGCUUGAGGCUUUUGAAAGCUCAAAGAUCUAUAAGGAGAAGACCAAAGUCCUGCAUGACCAAAAGAUUUUAAAGAGAGAGUUCAAGUGUGGUGAUUUGGUCUUGCUUUUCAACUCCAGACUUAAGUUGUUUCCAGGAAAGCUUAAGUCUAGGUGGUCUGGACCUUUCAAAGUUCUUGAAGUGAGGCCUUAUGGUGCCAUUGUCUUGGAAGGAAAAAAUGGUCAGGAAUUUGUGGUGAAUGGACAGAGAGUCAAGCAUUACUUAGUUUCACAAGGGAAAGAGGAAGCUACAUCAGUUCCUCUCUGAUCACCAGCUGUUAACCAGUUCUCAAAGUCAAACUUAGAGACUUUAAACAAAGUGCUCUUGGGGAGACACCCCAAGCUUAUCUUUNNNNNNNNNNNNNNNNNNNNNNNNNNNNNNNNNNNNNNNNNNNNNNNNNNNNNNNNNNNNNNNNNNNNNNNNNNNNNNNNNNNNNNNNNNNNNNNNNNNNCGAGUUUGCAACUAUCUCUCACUUUUCUCUCCAUGUUUUCACCAUAUCUCUCUCAUUCUCCACCAAAAUUGUUGAUUCAAAGUGCUCUGAGCUCGUUUUGAGUUGCUAACAUCAUCCUGAUUGCAUUUCGAACUUGUUGCAUCUUAAUCCCAAGGUAUUUCGCCCUGUUGAAACUCAUCUCUUUCCAUGUUCUUCAAUGGUGAUUUUUUUUUUUUUUUUGAACUUUAAAGUGUGGAAUCGAUUUUGAUAGGUUGUUUUAGACCUUGGGAUUAUUUUUAUAAAUGCUAGGGUGCUAGAUAGUCUUGGAAAACAGAGCACUUUGUUUGUAAUUACCUGUUCUUGAAUUUUGAAAAUUGUUGCAACAAUUUUUUUCAAAAUUUUGAGACUUUUGUGAGGUUCAUCCUUGUACUAACAAUAUUUUUGAGAAUCUCUUGGCAGAUGACUGAAAGAACCAACUCUUUGGCCAAGAAGAAGGGCCCUGCAUCAAAAGGCAAAGGUUUGGUCUCAGGAACUUCAAAGCCAAGAAACAAAGGUCAGGGUGCAAAGAAUACUACAAAGCAAGGAAAGUGUGAUCCAGCGCCAAAAAGGACAAGGCCUGAAGGAAGAGCUUUGGUGGUUGCUUCUGGUUCCAAGAAAAAGGGGAAACAGUUGGCUGUGGUAUCUGAGAGUGAACAGACUGAAAGUGACUCCGGCAGCUCAGCUGGUGGUUCCCAAGGCACCAAUGAAGAGGGAUCAAAGAAGUUCAAGAAAACUGAACCAGAAACACCUGAUUAUCUGGCUAAGUUUCAGCAGAUAGAGAUCCAGCAAGGGAGAUUCCCUGAUUUGGACUUUCUGAAGAAGAUUGGCCUCUAUGAAGAUGUCAAGACUUUGCUUGGGAACAUGGGUGUUGAGUCACUUUUGGAGAUGAGAGAAAUCGCUUAUGAGCAAGAGUCCCAAGAGUUCUUGGCCUCCUUUGAAGCUUUCAUUUACUACCCAAGGGAUUCAAGAAUCAUUCAAGGAGAUGGGCUUGGACAUGUGGAGUUUACUGUGAAAGGGAAGGAAUAUUCAGUGUCAUUCAGAGAAUUGAGUAAGAUCUUUGAGUUUUCAACACCUAGAAAUGAAUUUCUCUCCAACUCGGUCAAUCUCAGAAAAGAUGAGAUCCAACUUCUAUGGAGAUCAAUUGCUUCUGGGAAGUACACAGCUGGAACAGCUAAGGCCUCUUGGAUAAGGAAUCCAGUUCUGAGAUAUGUACACAAGGUUCUCUCUCACAGCUUCUACUUCAAGAUUGAUGUUGGAAGAGUUCACAAAGGAGAUCUGCUGCUUCUGGGUGUAGGGCUGAGGCCGCUGAUGCCAACACAUGAAGAUGGGGAACCCUAUGUAGGGUAUGAAUACCCACUUUGCCUUGCAUCUCAAUUAGCAAGGUCUUUGAUGUUCUACAAAAAGUGCAUGUGGGAUUCUACAAACAAAGAUGCAAAGCUGACCCAUGGAUGGGUGGUAACAAAGAUCUUGAAAGCCAUGGGGUAUAGAUUCAAGGAGAACAAGGCAAAGUUUGAUCUGAUUAAUGAAGCACAUUUGUGUAGGAUUGGCUUUCUCCAAGGAAGAGUGGGUACCAAGGCAGUCUACAACUUCAAGACACUCAUCAGUGAGCCAGCCCAAGUUCUCCUACCCAAUCCCUCCAUCACCACAGUCCAAGUUAAAAGGAACAUUCACUUCUUCUUGCUGAAGGAAGAGCUGUACAAUGUCCAAACUGAUCCACCAAUCCUCACAUACAGGCAAGCUUGCAGAGAAGAAGCCUCCAAGGGAAAGAAAGCAACCGCUGAAGAUGCUACCACAAGUGCAGCUGGUGCUCACGAUGCUGAUCUGCCUCCACCUCAAAAACGUUUUGGUGGAAACAGAUAUCACUUUGAUGAUUACAACUGGGAGGAACCAGGCACUUCAGGGUUCAGAGCUCAACAGAAGAUUGGUAUUCUCCAACAAUGGUGCAAGUACCAAGACAAAACCAUCCACAAGAUGGCCAAGUGCAUCAAGGAGAUGAAGAAGAGGAUCAAGAAGCUUGAAAACCCUUGCAAAGGUGGGGCUCCAGCACCAGUUUCACCAAGAAACAGAGAGGAAGUUGGGGAGAGUUCCAUGAACUGCACAGCCUUGGUCGCAUAUGGAACCACUUGGGUAGAUCUUGACGACGGGAGUGAUGAAGCCAGCCACCAUUCUUGGGAAACACCGUCAGGCCACACAUCGAACCCCUCCUACUCAUUGGGGUCUGAUUUCAACAGCCACUAGGUAACACUCAAAACCUUGUAAAUAGCAUGUAGACUUUUUUUUUUCCUUUUGCAUUUUGCUUGUUUGCUUUGGUUUCACUUCUUUCUCAUACUUUUAUAACACAAGGGACUGUGUUAUUUAAGUGUGGGGGAGGAGUUUCAUCCUUUACUAACCAUGUUUUCUAUUUUCUCAUUUUACACUUUGAGUCUUGAGUCACAUUCUAGUUGCAUAGUCAUCUAAGUGCAUAUAAAAACCAAAAAAAAAAAAAUGGAAAAAUCUGAAAAAUUUUCACAAAAAAAUGAUCAUGUAGUUGCAUUCUCAUUUUUAAGAUUGAGUCUAGAUUGCAUUUGCAUAUAGGUUGCAUCUUGCAAGGAGUAAUGAUAGGUUUUCUAGAGAGUACAUCACUUUGAGAACUUGAAUUGAAUAUGCUUGUGAAUCUUUUUCUAUGCUUGCAAAGUCUGAAAUGAUUUGAAUCUGAGAAGCAAGUUUGAAUUGAACUCAACUCUAAUUAAGUGGAAACCUUGAACUUGACCUGAAAAUAUCUUGUGAUGCAUUGUUUGAAAAAGCUUGUGGAUACCAAUAUACAUACUUGAGCUAGAACCACUGUUUUUACCACUCUUUUCCUUAGCUCAAGUAGCUGAAUCCACAUCAUGGAUCAGUUCCCACACCUUGAACCCAUCCUUCUUUUAAGCCAAUGUUUGUGUGUGAAUUGAAAGGCCACCUUGGAUCAAACUUAGCAGAAAGUGUUAGGUUUAGAGCGACAAGGGCAGGUCUCAUUGAGUGCUGUGUUCCAACAUCAAGGAACUGAGAGUUUUGGCGAGGAAUAAGUGUGGGGGAAAAGACUUUUUGGUGAGUGGAAAAAGGUGAGAUGAGUGGAAAGAGAGAGUGAAAAUAACUAGGGGAAUGAAAGAAAAAGAAGUCAGUCUUGGUGUUUUGAGAAAGUGAGCUCUGGUUUGUUGAAAAGAAAAAUCUAGCCUCUAAGUGAAAAAGAAAGAAAAGAAGCCAAAAGCUCAAAUGUUUUGAUAAGAAAGAAAGAAGAGGCUAGAAGUUGUAAAAGAAAAAGAGCUGUGUAAAGUUUGAGUUCCAAGACUUGAGAGUGAAAGUGAAGAACAAAUCCCCUAGUGAGAGAAAAAUGAGUGUGAAAAGUGAGGUCUUUGAGCAAGAGAGGAAGCUUUGAGUAGAGGGUGGGGAGUGAUGAGUCUUUGCCCUUGUAUGCAUAGGUUGCUUUUUACCUUUAGCAUUCUGCCAAAGUUUGAUCAUUCAUAGAGAGAUCCCUUUGCUGCAUUUAACCCACUUGAACACUGAUGAGAUCAUUUUAAUCUCAUAGCCUCUCCCUAGCCAAGCCAGCUUGUUUAAACCUUGCAUCAUGAGAUCCACCUGAUAAAAGCUUAAUGAAUGUGAAAGAGUUGAGAGAGAGAAGAACUUGUGGAGAUUCCUUGCUGAGUUGACAUAUAUCUGAGUAUGGCUUUGCAUUGCAUAAUUGAGCAUGAACUUGAAUUCUCAUUGUGAUCACUUCUCUCAAAAAGAAAAUGUGAACUCCCAUUGCAUACAACCUCUUUCUCUCAUUUGCUCUUUUUGCUUGAGGACAAGCAAAGGACAAGUGUGGGGGAGUUGAUAUGUUCAUAAUUUGCAUCAUUUAGGUUGCAUAAAUCAUUCCAAAUCAUGUUUUAUUUCAUGUAUUUUAGGUCCCUAGGGUUUGUUUUAGAACUUAGGAGAUGCAUUAGGUCCCAAUGAGUCUUUGCAUGUUUUGAGUGUCUAUCAGGUGAUUAUGGAGCUGAAAAGAUGAAUCCAGGAGGUGGAAUGGUGAGCAGAGCUUGAAAAAGUGGAAAACUUGAGUCUAUGGAGGUUAUCGGCCAUUCUCGCUGGCCAGGAAGGUUUUACCGGCCAUUUUCAUGUACUGCGGGAAGCUUUACCGGCCAUUUUCACGUACCGCGAAUUAAGUAUAUCGGCCAAAAUCUCCGGGUGCGAACGAGUCUCAGAAAUCACCUGUCCGGGGAGCCUUCCGGUCCGAUUCAGAUGGCGGGUCCUUCAUAGAAGUUGGAGAGCAUUGAAGCACGGUCUCAUAGCAAUUGGAAUCGUAGAAUUCGGACGCGUGAGCAGAGAGAUAAGCUCGUCGGAAGAAACCCCUGUCUCGCAGGUAUUCCGGACCGAGCAGAUCAGUUCUGAAGGAUGCGAAGGACGGUGCACUUCCAGGCCGAUUCAGCUUCCGGGUCCUUCAUGAGAAUCAGAGACAUUUGAGUUUUCUUUCCAGAACGUCCAAGAGCAUUCAAUUCGGAUCUAUGAGCAGGAAGAUACGGCCUCCGGAAUGGACACAUGUCUAGACGCCUCUCUCUGGUCGUAUACAUGCACUGCAAAGAUGUGCCCUCCAGGAAGCCUUCCACCUCCCAAGCACUGAAACUUCCUUCACAAAAGUUGGAGAUAAAUGAGUCCUCUGUCUUCUGCAACCGAAAUCAUUCAAUUCGGACAAGUAUCACAGGAGUUACACUCUCCGGAAUGCGAAGUGAUCUAAGCUGCUCUGGAUGCUGCGAGAUGGUCUUGCGACUUGGUUAACCCGCAGGCCUGAAGAUGAACACCUGAAUGCUGAUGCUGCGAGUUGAAAUGUGCGGGUAAACUAUCACUGGAAGAGGUCUGGAGCUCCCGAGCAAGAGAAAUGCUAAGUCCACAAUCGUGCGACUUAGGCAUGCGAGUCAUCCGCGCCUGGAUCUAUGCCGCACGAUCACUCGGAAUUCACUCCGACUUGAGCCUGCGACCUAAGUGCAAUAGAGACCAACCCGCACAGUUUCUACAUCCCCCAGAAACCGGCUCAGCCCUGCGAGUUGGAGAGGAAGGAGACCAUGCCGCAGAAACACUCGCAAUUUACUCCUAGAUAGGCGUGCGGCUCCGACAAGGUGAUUCAAGCCUCACAAGACAAGUCUUCAUCUACUGCGACUUAGGUGUGCGGCCUGGGACAUACUGAACCGACCCGCAGCUUUUCCCACUUUAUCCAUUAAAGCCGGGUCAGGACCCGGUUUGUUCCGGGCUGACCCGGUUCGUUUUUAAGAAGGUAUAAAUACUUUUUAGGGUUUUUUGGGGGAGAACUAAGUUUUAUUCCCUUUGUCUCUUGCCUUUUUGGUGAAAAGACUCCAUUAAGAAGAGAAAUAUCUUUAUUUGAGUGUUUAAUCAAGAGAGUUUAAGGAGAUCUGGGUGUUUAAAGCUGUUUUCUUUUGAAUCUAUCAUCUCCAUCUCCAUUUCUCAUCAUUAAUCAUGCUAAUCUACUCAACUUGCAAAAGUUUAAGAGAGAUUAGUAUGAUUAGUGAGUAGUCACCUUAAUGAGGUUCUAGAUGUGUAGGUUAGGGUGCUAAAGUGUUAGAUUAGGAGUGCUUAGGGCUAGAUUCAUUGAUUCAUCUCUCUAAACAGCUGUUCUCUAUGCUAAAUCCUUGAUAAUCACUUGAGAUCUAGAUUCUGGGAAUUUCAUGCACCAAAAGUGUUUGAUGAAAUUCCUGAAAGAGUUGUGUUAGAGGUUUAAGUAAUUUUUCAUCAUGGGAAUGAUUUGUUAAAUGCUUGAAUGAUCAUUAAGAGCUGUUUGUUAAUGCAUAUUGAUUCAUGUUUCACAAAUGGGAAUUUGGUUUGAAAAUGGAUUAGUAUAGGGGUUAAUACCUUCAUGAGAGGAUUAACCUAGAUUAGAGUUCUUAAUCAUUUGAAUCAUGUCUCAUCAUUGUCAUUAGCAUUUCUAGUUUAACACCAAGGCACCCUAACCAACUAUCAUGUCUAGAAUCUCAUGCCUCCAUCAUAUCAUAUUCACAUCAUUUGUCAUUGUCAUUUGUCUUUAAACCUGUUUAUGUUUAUAGUUGUCUCUAGAUUAAUCAAAACCUAUUCUUGUUUGCUUGAAUUAAGAACUUGAUCAUAUAGCUUAGUGUCUAACACCACAUCUGGAUUGAUAAACCUCUUUGUACUACAUUGACAAGGGGAUUGAUAGCCCUGAGACCCUUAAAAGUCUUAUCUAUCAUCCAUCUAACAUUUUACUUUCGUUUUAUGAAUAAGUUCUCUUUCCCUUAGCUGUUUUAGGAUUUGAUGUACUUAAUCGAUCAAGAAAACAUGGUCACCAUUCCAAUGUUCAUUAAUUACCAACAUCAAAAGAAUAAUAUUGCAAAUCUAAUUGAAAUCUUCAAAAUGUGAAUACAAAAUGGUUUCUACAUAAAAAUAUAAGGCCGGAAUAAUAUGAUAUACCUUUACAUAAUCAUUAAAUGGUUUUUUUAAAUUACGUGUUUUCUUUCGAGAUUAUUGCUCCCUUGCCAACAUCAAUGAUGACGUUUAUUCCACGUCAAAUAUGACAUGGCAAAGGCGCUAGCUCUGCACAAUUUCAUUGGAUGCUAAUGCUGAUGUGUAAUUUUUGUCCAAGUUUUUCUGAUUUAAAAAAACAAAAAAAAAGUGAAAAUCAUAAACGGAUAAACAUGCGGAUCUUUAUACCCGAUCUAGCCCAAUUAUCUGUAUUUUAAAAACAUCCUUUGGCCCAAUAAUUCAUACAUUCCCAUUUUUAAAAUUUUUGAAAUUAUGGUUUUUAAAAACUUUCCGCGUAAGAAAAUAGAAAUUUUUCCCAAAAUGGAAGAUUACAUUAACUAUUAGCAAGAUUUACCGGAGUUAAUGUAACAAUAUAUACAGAAAUUUUAAUAUUUCAAAAAGAAACACGAAUUUAUCUUACAUUUUAAUACUAUACGUCAAUUUUGGCAAUUAAAUCAAUUUGAAUAUAUUGAUUCUCAAAUAUUUCCGCAACAAUAUCUACUUCUACGCACAUUCCGAAUAUCCAUAUUCUUCAUUUCAUUCUUUUUUUUCAAAAUAAUUUAAAUCCCGCCUAACAUCAAUUUUAAAAAGUUCUCAUUGACUUCCUCUCCCUAUAUACCUAUCCUAAACCCUAAAACUCUACAAUUCUCAUUCACAAAAAUGGCUUUAGUCCGCAAACGUUCGGCUGCUCUAGUUCCAUUUGCCAAAUUAGGUCAAUCAAGUGAAAUUCAGAAAAUUAGAGCUAUUAUAUUUUUACUUUGGAAAGUCAAGAACAGGCAGUCUGGCUUUGUUAUAUAUAGAAAUGAUAUUGGUUGACAAAGAAGUUUGUAUGCGAUCUUAUGCAUUUUGUUUAUUGUUAUUUUAAUCAAUCUAUAGAUUAUAUAGUAAUACUAUUUGUGUGAUUCACAGGGCACUAGGAUUCACGCUACGUUGAUGAAGAAUUGAUCGCAAAAGAUAAAUGCAUCCUUAUAGAAGGAAAAUCACUUUCUAUUAAUUGCUUCAUCAUUAAAGAAUACUAUAGUGAUUUUAGGACUACUCCAUUACCAUACAAGAUUGCUUUGUGCAGAACAACCCGUGCUAAGGAGAUCAAUGAUUUUCCAUCAGACUUGCCAGAGAAAUAUUUUUCUGAUUUCAAGUCAAUCAAGGAAGACAAACUCGACAAAAACGUCCUAAUCGGUAUGUCAUCAUCGCGAUAUUGAAAAUUAUAUUCUAAUGUACAUAUUUAUCAUUGUAUACAAAUAUUUUGUCUUCAAGAUGUCAUUGGACAAAUUGUCACCAUUGGGAGUAUGGAAGUUAUAAAAACUAAAGUAAAAAGUGGGAUCAGCGAGAAAUUGAUGAUAACACUCCGGGACACCAAGUAAGUAGUUAUGAUAUCAUACCAAAAUAAACAUAACAAUAUUUUAACAAUGGAACGCUAAUAUGUUUAUUGCUGAAGUGAUGUCCAACUGAAAUGUACACUAUGGGGACAAUAUGCAAAAGCAACUGUUGAGUACACUGACAAGCAUAUGGCUGUUAUUGUUGUGUGUGUAAUGCGAUUUUUCUGUAUAAAAGAGUACAAAGGUUAGAUCACUAUAUCCCCUAUUCAUAUAUACACAGUUUUGUAGAGAUUGGUAUUGGAUUAGAUUGUUAAUUAUUCUUAUUUUAUGUUUUUCGAGUAUAGGUGACAAUUCAAUAUCAAACGCUUUCAACUCCACCAAAAUUUUGUUUGAUCCUGACGUCAAGAUCGUGAAAGACUUCAGAGAAAAGUAUGUUAUGUGACAAUUUUAAUAUCAUUUUAACAUUGUUUUAUUUAUAUAGUUAUUGUUUACAGUUUUGUAGGUUGCUAAAAAACAAUCAAAUGAUUGUGCAUGCUGAACAGAGUUAUUCGACUUCUUGGGGUGGUGCUAUUGACUACCGUGAAUAAUUUUUAGGUGUGAAAAAUAGGAGGCGGACGAUAGCUGGAAUUCGUGAUAAAAAAGUGGCAUGAGCUAUAUUUUAUUCAUGGUACAAAUAUAUUUAUAUUUCACUAUAUACAUAUUAAUGGUUUUGUUAUAACCUGGCAAGAUUUUAACAUGCGUAAUGGUCAAAGACGUUGACACUUCAAAGCUGUGGUAUUAUUGGGCAUGCAAACCUUGCAUCAUCAAAGUUUUAGAGCAUGACAUUAUGUCUGAUGAUGAAGAUUACGAUAAGAGGAUUCCUCUUUUCAGUUGCAAAAAUUGUGGAUAUAUCUAUUCAUAUGAUACCAUCGUCGCAAGGUAAUACAAUGAUUUGUCCCAUAAAGUCAAGAAAACAUUACUUAUUUCAUUAAGACUUUCUUUGGUAUGAUAUAUAGCAGAUAUAGCAGAAUUAUUUCAUGUAGACUUUCUCUGAUUGACUGGCUAAAUGUUCGCCUUAUUUUAUUACAUUGAUUUGUCCCAUCAUACAUUUAUUCCAACAUUACAUUACAUGUUUAUUCAUGUAACGUUUAAAUAACUCACUCUUCUGUUUCCUUUCAAACUAUGUAGGUACUAUAUUGUAUUAUUUGUAACUGAUGAUUCAGACGUCGAUGUCCGCUUCCUGAUGUUUGAUGACACUGCUCAAAGAUUGUUGGGUCAUUCAGCUGAGUCUAUAAUGGAACAAAAUGAUGAGGUUAUUCGUUAAAUAAUUGUAUACAUUAUGCAUUAUUUACAUUUUCUGAAAUAAUAUUAAUCCAUUAUAUAUAAUGAUGCGCAGGAUUUACCAAGAGGGCUCCCUGAUGGCUUGACAAAGCUCCUAACCAUGAGGAUGCUUUUCAAAAUAACAGUUUCAGAAGAGCAUACAAAAGGAAGCCAGUCUCCGUAUGUAGUAGAAUGGUCUCAAGAUGUCGAAAUUAUGACUGAGUGGGAUUCUCGAUCAGUGGUAAUAUAUAGGAUAAAUUUUACAAACUUCUCAAGCUCGCUUAUCUGAUCGUUUAGUUAAAUUAAGACGUCAACAAUGUUUUAUAUUUUCAGCAACCGUUGAUGCUUACGAGUUCUGACGAACUUGAGAAUCCAUCGUCUGGAUCUUUACUCAUUCCUUCAUCUAAGAAGCUAAUUAAGAGUCCUGACUAUUUUGAUGAAGGUGAAAGAUCUGUUAACAAAAAGCGACCGAAGCAAGAGAUCCCGAUGAAGUUAUGAAGAAGCAAAAAAUCGUAAUGAACUUAUUGCAGAAAUGCAUUGCUGGUGAUUGAUUAUUGAUUUUGAUCUUUAUAACAAAUUUGUCCAAUGGAUGGAUAACGUUUGAACUCUCUUCGUUAUUUUUUGCGGUAUUUGUGGAAUUUUUUUGGCAUUUUUUAUUUAAUUGUGAAACUUGAAUGUUGCCCUAGAAUUUUUUUUCAUAAUUCAUUUUUUGAAACUUUAAUUUGUGAUUUAAAUUUUUUUGGUUCAACCAACUGUCAUAAAUUUACACGAGAGUUUCAAUUAAGACGACAUUAAAACCAUAACCGUUUUACUCCAUCACAUAGAAAACUAUUCAUUUCGUUAUUCUCUUUCAUCUUCAAUCUUAGCAAAAUAUUAAAACAAAGAAUGUCUCCUAGUGAAAGAGUUUCCGAUCUUCAGAAGAAAAACGGCGGAUAUCGUAUUUGUGUACAUAUACUAAGAGAUUAUUAUGAUUAUACUCUCUUCGAUCGACCUAAUUGGAUGUUAGUUCUUGCGGAUGAAUUUGUAAGUUUUGGAGGUUUGAAAAGAUUUACCAUAUAUAUGUUUUAGGAAUGUAUUUGUUAAUUAUUUAUCUUUGUAAACCGUGUAGGGCAAUCGCAUCCUGUCUACUAUUCAAUAUGAUAUAAUAGACAAAUUUGAGUAUGAAUUGGUUGAAGGAGAUUGGGUGGUUCUUGGUAAUUUUGAAGUUGCUGACAGAGUGAUUUGUCCAAGUAUAUCAUCAAACAACUAUCAUAUACAUUUCCUCGAGGAUACCAUUGUUGAGAAAACUGAUCUGAAGUCUUCCAGAGGAAUAUACUCUUUUUGUGCAUUCAUGAAUAUUUUAUAUAGAUUUAUUCAUAUAGAUAGAUAUCUUGCUAUCUUUCUUACAACUUUUUAUUUUAAAUCGUUUAUCUAAGGAACUUCAACAUGUAUUUAAAGGCAGUCCUUUAUUUUUGCAGUUGUUCUUCUCGGUGUUGUCACAUUUGUUCAGAAACUUCAGUUAUGAUCAGACACACCCACGCAACGUCCACUUAUUCGUUUUAAAAUUCAAGAUUUCAGGUCUGUUAUCCUCAAAACAUCUGUUAUGUGUAUAUUGUUUACAAAUUUUAAAGUAUAUUAAUAAUGUUCUAAAUUAUUUAAAUAUACAGUGGAGAAUCUUUGAAAUGUAUUGCUUGGGAUAACUUGGCAAGGAAAUUUGAAGAACUUUGGAGGAAUCGUGAAAGGUCUUCUAGGCAUAUUAUUGUAUUGUGAUUUUUCUCUUUCACUAGACGGAGAAGUAACUAACUACUUCAUUAUUUGAUAUUUUUAAUUAAUUACAAGUUUUACAUAUAUAUUUUUCCGUAUAUUGAGUAUGUCUAUGUAUUUAGAUGAAUGGAUAGUUGAAUUGGAAAGAUUCAUAUCUGAUAUUCUCGAGGAUCCUCCUAUCCCAGAAGUGGAAAGAGCAGGGUUGAGGUAUGUUUAUUCCAUCUUUGAUAUUGUAUUCUAUAUUUUAAUAUUUAUAAAUAUAUAUAUAUAUAUAUAUAUAUAUGUAUAAUGAUAAAAAAAAUCCUAAUAUUAUUUCAGGCUUGCAACUUCAAUUGAUUUUUCUCCGGUCCACGAUGAAUAUGAAGACCAGUCUAAGUAAAAGAGAUUAUUGUUUCCUAUUUCUUAUUUUUAUAGUGUUAAACUUGAAAAUCUAUAUUAUUCUGAUUGAAAAAAACUUAUCCAAUGACAAUAUAUAUAUAUUUUUUAAAAAACAAUUUAAUUGUGUUAGCAUUUUUUCGUGAAGCGUAUUCUAUUUGAUUUCAACAAAAAAAUAAUUAUGAUAUUCAAAAUUAGGAUGCUCCGUGAUAUGUGUCUGUAUUAAAAAAAUAGAGUAGGUAAAUUCUGGUAUUGUACUCUCAUUAAUUAUUUGUAAUUAAUGAAAUGAAGUAAUUAACUUAAUUAAAGAGAAGUAGUCAGUACAAUAUAUGACAUUUUUCUACCAUCUUUACAUAUUUUUCUACAUAUAAUUAAUCAAUAUAAAAGUCAAAUAUACCUAUGAAUUGAAUGUAACAAAUUUGGUUUGUUCGUAAGUCACUUAGUGCAAUAAAUGUCAAAGGUUGCAAUUUAUUCUAAUUUUACAAAACAACACAACUUUUCAGACCCUAUACUUGCUUUGCUAUACAUAUAAAGGACCAAAGUAAAAAAAUGUCUGGCCAUCUUAACUAAAAAAAACCUAAAGUCCCAGAAAACAACCACUUUCCUCAAACAUGCCUCGCUAUUGUACCCUUGAGUAUCUUUCUCCCACAAAAUCUGACUCCAGAAUUCUUAUAAAAGUUCUACGAGUUUGGGAACACUUCAACUACUGUAAUCAACGCCAGGAAUUGCAUCUUAUCCUCGGUGACGAAAAUGUAAGUUCAUCUUUUUGAAGUUUUUUUAUUCUGUUGCAUGUUAUGAACAUUUAAACACAUGAAUUUAGGGUUACAAAAUAGAGGCAUGGAUAGAUCAGGAUCUUAACUUUUCACUUGGUCCAAAGUUUAAAGAAGGAGAAUGGAAUUAUGUCAAAUUCUUCAACGUUGUCAAUGCGUUCGGAUCUUUCAGAAAUACUAUAAACUACCACAUCAUCAACAGGAACGCCGAUACUAUUGUAAACAAGACCUUUCAAGUCAAUCCUAAGCAUAUGAUGGAUUUUAUGCCAUUUGAUGCCAUUAUCUGAGGGAAUUUCUCUACUGAGUACUCUAUCGGUUAGGCUUCUCACUUUUAUUCAAUUUAAGAAUUGUUAUAAAUAUUGUGUAAUGAAAAUUUUUCUUUGUAGACUUGAUCGGCGUAAUCAUCUAUGUUGAUGAUGAACUAAGUACUGAUAUUGAUGACCCAUACGAGAUGAUUUUUGGACCUUCUCACAAAUUGGACAUUCAAAUAAGAGACAUGAAGUAAGAUGUUUUAUAUUAUCAUCUAUAUAUGUAAAUGCCAAUAAUUUGUCUUAUGUUGUACAUAUGUAUUUUUGUUAAUGUUGUUGUAAUAUAAUUUGAUAUGGACAUCAAACUCAUUGGGAAGACUGCUCUGGAUUUCUAGAAGAAGUGAGAAAACAUAUGUACUUAUGAAACAGUCUUGAUUUUGCGCAUGUUUCGUCUGACCUAUGAUUCUGAAGGUUAGUAAUUAAAUAUUAUAAUCGAGUGGAAACAUUCAUUCCCACUUUGUUAAUAUGAUAAUUUGGCUUCUAACAUGUGUGCCCUUUAUAUUUUAAAAUCAUACAGGAAAAUAUCGCAUAAAGAAUGAUGGACACCAUUCUGAAAUACUUUUCAAUCCUCACAUAAAUGAGGUUUCUGAUUUUCUUGACUGGUAAUUUUUCUAAUUGGUAUUAAUAUAUAUAAUAUGUUUUAAGGUUUAUUUUAAUCUUUUUUACAAUAGUUAACUUGAAAUUAUUUAUGGUCAGGCUUCCUUUUAUUGAUAUCCAAGGAGAUCCGAGCUGGCCAUAAGUUUAAUCCCUCUUAUGUACCUAUAUUUUCUCGUAACUGUUAAACAUUCCCAUUAUGUAAUAUUUUCCCAUAAAACUGGGAUGGAGUUGAACAUAUUUUCGUAUAUUUGUAAUGAAAUAUUUAGUAUUUAUUUAUAGUAAUGUUUAAUUGCCAAUUAAUAUCAUUUUAUUUAUUGUUUAUAUAUAUUACAUGUAUAUAUGUAUAGUUUGGAUAUAGCAUAUACAAUCUAUAUAUAGAAUCCAUUUGAUUUUAGAAAGGUUACUUCCUUUAUAGACAUUUUCUUCCAUCGAAUAUUGUACAUUUCCAUAAUAAUAAGACAUUGUCAAAUUAUACUACUACAAUAUAGUAACGACCAUUUUUCAUAUUAUGCCAAUUUUAGUACCAUAACAAUUUAUGUAAGUAGACUUCGACAUUACAUUUAUUGCGAACCUUUAUAAAUUUCUUUAUUUAUAAUUAUGCCAAACGAUGCAACUAUAACGCUUUUUAGGCAAUUUCAUCUAAUGCUCACUAUUGAUCUUUUUUUUUUUGGUCGAUGCUCACUAUUGAUCUAUUAAAAACUUUACGUGUAAGAGUAAAUUGAAAUUAAUUCUGAUUGACGUUUUCAUUUCAGUGUUGAAAACUGACGUCAAGCUUUUCUCAUAACAUUUAGAGUUGAGUGUCAAAUAUUAUAUAAAUUAUCAAUGUUUUAAUGUUUGUGGAUUAUAAUUAAUGUAGCAGAUGAGCUUAUAAUCUUACGAAUCAAUUCACACAUAUGAGAAAGUGAUUUGGGAAAAUAAUUCAUUUUUAUUUGAAUCAAGAUAAUACAACUUAUUGUAGCAAAAAAGAGAGAUAAUUAAGGUACAAAAAAACAAAAACAAAAAAACAGAGAUAAUUUUAGCUAAACUCCAAAGUUUCUCCUUCCACGUUUAUUCUUAUGUGCCUAUAAGAUUCAAAAACAUAUAAUGUUGUUAACUUCAAACAUAUUAGUUAAACAAAUCAAUGUAUUAAUGGAAUAUUAACAGCUUACCCACUCCGAUGUAUCUAGGUAGCGAAUCUCUCUCUUAACGAAGCCGCAUUCUAUACAUUUCAAACCUAUCUCCAGAUCUAGAUGGAGAUCGUGUUUUCCUUUCUUGCAACGUUCAUUUGGAUCAUCAGUCGAUAUUUCUUCAUCAAGCUGCAGAUAUUACAUAGUGAUAUAAACAUACAAUAAUACAGAAAUCAUCAAUAAAACCGAAUAAUUUAAAGUUUAAAUUAUCUCAGAAAGAACCUCGAUGGCAUUCGCAGUUGAUUUGCUCAGAAAAUCAUUCAUCUCUUCCCACUUAUUAGUUUCCUCCAUCUCUGAUUCAGAAAUUGGAGGAGGUGAUGGUGGUUCUUCCACACCAAAUCUCAUGUUCGAUGGUGGUGGAUUAAUUCUCAGUAAUCCGUUUUCAUCAUAACGUUUUUCUUGGUGAUUCUCCAUUUUUGUCUAAUCUCUUAUCAGGCGUUUAGGGUUGCAGAGAAAAUUUAAGAAGUAUGUUUAUAAUCGAAGCAACUCUUAUUUUAUAUAGGAUAAGGUAGUUAAAAAAUAUUCAAUGUCACCAAAUUUCUAUGUUUUCUUAGGAAUACUGUUUCAACCAACCAGUUUAGCUUUUUAACUUUCGUUUUUGAUAUAUAGACAUAAUAUUUACACAAGUCUUCUGCGUCCAACUCACACAACUUAGCUGAAACAAAAAUAUUGAAAAGUUUGGAUUUUCCUCUUUACAGUUUGAUUUAAACCGCAAUAUAUGGUAACAUAAUAUUGUCUCUGAUAAUUUCGAACUAAUAUUCUUAUGAAGCAAUUAUGUAUAAAUUGAAUUAUCUAACCAUAUAUUCGAGAUUUUUAUAAAUAUUGUAUGAAGGAUAUUUAUAUAUUGUUGUUACUUUAUAAAACCAGAUGCAUAUUUCAAUCUUUAAUGUAUUUGUAUAUUCGUGUAUAUCCUAUUUAAUCCAUCUAUAUAUUCACAUCAUACUUUUGUGAACUGCAACUUCAUUUGUUACACUGAAUAAAAAAUCUCAAUAUUCUCCAUUUCUACUGCUAUGAACAGGAUAGGUAAACCUUAUGCGUCCAACUUUAAUCUAUUAAGAAUCCUUUUGAAUAACUAUAGACAUUUACCCUUUAUAUUUUAUUAUCAGACAUUAUUUGUUUCCUUUUAACUGUUUUAACAAAUUCUUUAUGAUUGUUUUCAGAAAUUAUUUAAUUUCAUCUACCAAGAACAAAUUCUUCCAAGCGAAACAAGGUCGACAAAGUAAUGAAAAAUACAAAAUUUAUUGCUUGGAUGGAGUGUAACAAGAUAUACGCAACUGCCAGAUUCCUACUCUACACUGAAUUAUCUCAUCAAUUUGUAUGGAAUGUCACAUUGCAUGAGUGGAGGUCACGGGUGAAGGGUUCAGGAAAUCCAACUAUUCUUCAACAGUAUUCAAUUUAUGAUGAGUAGAAUUUUUAUUUGGGUGUCUGUUGAAUAUCAUUAGAGGUCCUCGCAGUUAUGAAGAUAUCCGAACAUUUAAUGGUGUUGUAUACGACACCUUCAGAAAAGUUUGCUAUGCAAGGGGCUUAUUCCCGAUCAAUUAGAUUUAUAUAUCUUUCUUAAUUUUAGUUUUAAAACUGCAUGUUGAAUCUUUAUUUCAAUAAGUUACUUUCAUUUUGUUGUUUUUAAUCAUCUUCAUUUUUUACAGUACUUUUUAUGUUGAAUAUAUGAUAUACUAAGGUAAAUCAUCUACUAAAUACUACAUUUGCAACCGUGACAUAUUACAUGAUUAAUACAAGAGUCAACCAAUUAACAUUUUAUAAAAUAUAGCAUAACUUAUAAUUUAUAAUUUAUUGAAUAAACUAUUAUCAUUGUAAGUUUAAAGUAUUGUUGAUGCGGAUUAAUCGUAACUUAAUUGUUAAUAUGAUAAAUUAUACCUCAAAUUUUGGAAAUCUCUGAUAAAAUUAAACAACUUUUUAAAUUUCAAUUUAAACUGAACUACAUAAUAUAGACAAAUGCGAUUUUUUGUUAUUUUAGAUAAUUGCAAAAGAGAAAUAAUAAAUCUAACAAUCCUAGAAAUUAGGAAAAUCGUUGUAGUUCAAAUUAAAAAUUCCCAAUUAAAAGUUUUAUAUUUUUUACACAAUAUUGGAUCUCAUUCGAGGUAAAUAACAAUUUUUUACAUAAUUAGAGUUUUUUUCUUAAAAUUCCAUUCAAUAAUAAAAAAUCUACUAUAGCAAAAACUUAUUGAAAACGGUAUACAUUUCUGUUUACCUACUGAACAAAAUUACUUAUAUCUCACUCUACAAAAAGUACAUUGUCAAUACUCUAUCCACAAUUUGAUAUAAAGUAUUAACAGUAUACUUCAUGUUGAAAGUGAGCAUUCACAAGUAAUAUAAUUACAAUAACUCUGUGGCGACACAAUGAAUAAAAUUACUUCUUCUGAUGUGAUUCAUCACAGAUACACAAGAAAUAUUAUGUAGGAAAACAUGUAUUUUUAUUUCAUGUAAACAUAAUUUUUGUACGUCUGUGAGUGGAUCACAUCAGAAGAAUAAUUAUAGUAUGGGUUGUGUUUGAGUGAGUUAUUGUUUGCUUGGUUAAUUGAUCAAAAUUCUAUUCUGAUGUGUAUUUAUAGAAUUCUUAGAGCACGUCCAGUGGGGGUUCGUCCAUGGGUUCAUAACUCAUUUUAGAAUUAAAAAAAAUGUUUAAUGAGCUAUUUAUGAAGACUCGGUUCAUCCCAAAGAGUCUAAUGAACCUCAUUUGCUGACGUGGCAAUUUUUUAGUGGUUGAACCUUCAUUUUUCUUUUUCCACCUCUUCUCUUUCUUAAAAAAAAUCAUUUUUUCUUUUAUUUUGCAACUUCUCUCCUCUCUCUUGUUCAGAAUUUUAUUAAUUUAAUAUUUAGGAUGAACUUUAUGAAAAGUUCACCAAUGGACAUGGUCUUAAAGAGUGACUCCUCAUUUUUCUUCCCUGUGUUUCAUAUUCCCCAAAAGUCAUUGAUAAUUAAAACAUAUUAAACAACAUUUGACUGAUAUAUCACAAAUUCCGAAAGAAGAUAAAUUUCGAAAUAAAUGAAUACAUCUUCGCAUAUAAUCUAUAAAAUAUGUUCAUAAAUGUCACAUUUCGAUGCCUAACUUAAAAACAUAAAAUUAAUGUAUAUAUUCAUAAUUACAAGUAUUUUUUUAUCUACACUUUCUUCAUUAUACAUAACUAAUUAUAAUUACGUAGAAUUUAUAACUGCAAAUAUGAGCCAAUUUUAAGACACAAUCCAAUUCUUAUACUAAUAACAUACCAUUCGACCCAAAAUUAGUAACAUUGUAUCCACACACACUGUAAAUUAUCAAUAUUAUAAAAUUCGACCCAAUAAAUUUAACAAUAUACCUAAUAAAAUUAAAAUUUCAAAAAACGUUCAAGCCCGCACAUGUGUGCGGGCCAGUAUCCUAGUGCCUAGAAAAUACAAACAAGUGUGGGUAUAGAAACGUGAUACAUAGUGAUUAUGUUCCUUUCAUAUGGUGAUGUACUUAUAUUUCCUUUUAGUAUGCUCUAUAUUGCUAAGUGAAAACAGGGAGAUUGUGGAAUUUAGUUGCAUAUUUAUUUCCUUUUUAAGUGUCCAAUUGCCUUUUGAUUUCGUUUAUUUAUUGCGGGUAAAAACAACCAAAACCAUUCAGUUUUAGCUAGAUCUACUCUCGGAAAUAUUACAUGUAACAUUUGGUCCUUGUUGUUCGACCUAUCGUUCUACUACCAUGACAAAAUAAUUGUACACUUGCGGUUUAGUAAAUUGGUAUUUAAAAUUGACCGCACUUUUUCCAGGGACUAGCUGUUUCACCAUUGGGUUAAAGACUACAGUUGAACAUAUGACAAGUUUUUCUUGUUUCCCCUUUGACACAAAAUAUAUAUAUAUAUAUAUAUAUAUUUUGUUAUAUUUUUGUUACUUUGCUUAAUCGCUCCAAGUUUUCCCUAAUUGGCCUUUCAGCUGCAUGACUAUAAAUCCUUAUACCAUGAGGGUCUGACCUUUCACCGUUUGAAAGAUAAUAGAAAGGAGAGCGAUUAGCACGUUUGGAGAGAGAGACAAUAGAUAAUCAGAAACCAAAAUUGGAGAGUUCAAGUUUGAACAGUUUCUAAGUAACUUGGGUGCCAGUGUGAGUUUGAUGUCCCUGGAUGUGUCAAAAGGUCUUGGGAUAAUAGAUUUCAAGUCAUCAAAGAUCACUCUGGUUUUUGUUAAUCGCUCGGUUGGUUACCCAAUGGGUCUACUUGGGGAUCUACUAGUCAGGGUUGGAAACCGCUAUACUCCUAGAGCAUUCAUUUUGUCAUAGUUACAUAAAGAGCUACAUGAACAGAUGAAGGUGUAGCUGUAGUUGAAGCAGUUGCUGUACCAGAUGAAGUGAAGGAUGGAAUUCCACAAACAUGAAGUACGUGACAAGCGAAGCAUUUGGAAUGAGGAGCUGGACGAGUAGCUGAGCUGGACCAGUAGGAAUGGGAGUCUUGGAAAGAAAGCAAAGCUGGAUGGGAAUAAAGGAGCAGAUCAGGAAGAAUGGAAGAUUUUACUUAAACAUGUAAAAGUUUAAGGAAAUAGGAAAUAUGCACCAAGCGACAAAAAUGGAAGCUGUGGUGUAGGGUUUUCGGCGUGUAUAGCCGCUUAGUCUACUAGGUAUAAGUAGACGUGUUGAACCAUUGUAAAAGCUUAACACAACUACUAGAGAGCACUUAGCAUAAGGGUGAGAGAUUCGAGUAUUAGGGUCUGCAUCAAGGGUUAAGGGUUUUUCUAGGGGAGUUCUGAGAUCAAGUACAGCUCGAAGAACAGAGAGAGCUAGAGCGACAGAUCAAGGUGUGUCUUGAGUCUGUUCUAAAUCGUUUUACAAACUUGUAAGGUGUGUUAACAGAUUUACUAGUAAUAAAGUUCAGUUAAAGGAAAAACUUUGUGUUAAGUUGUGUUGUUGUUCUUGAACUAAGACUCUUGCAUUUACAAUUGGUAUCAGAGCGGUCAUCUGUAACUUGCAAACAGGUGAGGUCAUGCGGAGAUGGAGAAUUAUCAAGAACUUGUGAGCAGUUCAAACGUAAUUUUGAAUGCUGGAAACUACGGCUUCUGGAAAGCGAGGAUGCGUUCACUCAUAAUAGGAAUUGAUCCUUUGGUAUGGAAGUCGGUCCUGGUUAAGUGGGAAGAACCAAAGAAGAAGAACGAUGCUGGAUCUGAUGAGCCUAAAUCUGAAGAAGAAUGGACCGAGGAAGAAAGAAAAAGGUUCAAAUACAAUUCAAAGGCGUUGACGGCUAUUCACUGUAGCAUAUCAGCUGAGACCUUUAAACUAAUUCAGGGAUGUGAGACAGCCAAAGAAGCUUGGGACAUACUGCAGAUACAGUUUGAAGGAACGACAAAAGUGCAAAACUCGAAGAAGGACAUGUUGGCUUCACGAUUUGAGAACCUGUAGAUGGAAGAACAUGAAACCAUUGCCGACUUCAGCUCCGAGUUGAGUUCUCUGGCUCAAGAGGCUACAACUCUUGGGAAGCACUACAAAGACAAAAAACUGGUGAAGAAGUUCGUAAGGUGUCUUCCUUCAAGGUUCAUGGGGUACAAGUCAGCUCUGAGUGUGAACCAGGAUACUGAAUAUCUAAGCUUUGUAGAGAUUGUUGGGAUGCUACAGGCUCAUGAGAUGAAACUUGAUGGUGUGAAGAACCAGAAAGGAUUGGCGCUGUCAUCUGUUCUCGAGACCAAGUCAUCAGAGGAAGAAAAGUGUGAGGAUGCAUUAGGGCUACUGGUGAGGAGGUUUGACAAGGCUCUAAGACGAGCUGAGAAGUCAUAUGGUCAGAAAAAAGGUUGUACCUGCCAAACGAACAAAGGAAACCAGUGAAAGAAGGGGUGAUGUUCAAUGCUACGAGUGCAAAGGGGUCGGACACUUCAAGACUGAAUGUCCUACUAUUAAGAGAAGGUAGAUUCAGUGCUUCGGAUGCAAGUGUUUUGGUUAUACACAAUUGGAAUGUGUGAAUGAUCAAAACCGCAGGAAGGAAAGAUCCAUGCUGGCAGAAGAAGAUACUGAAAAUGACAGUGAUGAAGACACUGUGGAGGAAGUAAACAACUUUGUCUCAUUCAUUGGCAUUGCAGAAUUCGAUGAGAGUAUGGUUGCUUCAGAUGCUGAGUCAGAAGUUGGGGCUGAUGAUGAGCUGAGUGAAAGCUACAAAGAGGUUCGUGAGACUCUGAUCAAGAUUGGCAAGGAAAACACUGACUUAAAGAAAGAGAAUCUUUGAGUUGAAGCAAGAGUGGAGGAGCUGCAGAGAGAACUGAAAGCUGCUCAGAAACUGAGUCAAGAAAGUGUUGCGCUGAUAAAAGAGAAGCUGAACUUGGCAAAGAAGGCAGAGCAACUGGAGCAUGAUCUAAGUCAGGAGAAAGGGAUUUCCAACAACCUGAUGGGUGAGCUCAUUGAGCAACGUAAGAAGAUUCAUAUGUUUGCUGGAACUAAACAGCUUGAUCAGAUCUUGAGCCAUGAAAGGAGGUAUGAUGUGCGUAGAGGAUUGGGAUACGAUGCUUGAACCAUGGUAGAAACAGGUACUACAAAGUUUGUCUCAGGAGGUACAACUAAGCCACAAGAUCUGAUCAAGCUGAAAAGCUGUGGAUGAAGUCGGAAAGGUCAUCCUGCGAGGAAUCAGAUCUAGGAACAACUGUUAUAUAUGGGAUUCCUCUUGCAAAGAAGAAAAGUGCUUCACAGCACGUGAUGAUCUACAUCCGUGGCAUCAACGAUUGGGACACAUGAACAUCACGAAUCUUGCCAAUCUUGUCGACAAAGAAAUUGUCAGAGGAGUGCCUAAAGUCAAGGGAGUUGAUAACUCGGUGUGUGGACCUUGCACUCAAGGCAAGCAAGUUAAAGUGCAACACAAGAGAGUACCUGAUGUACAGUCAAAAGCAGUUCUUGAUCUAGUCCAUAUGGAUCUAAUGAGACCAGUACAAACCGAGAGUUUGGGUGGCAAGCGCUAUGUGUUCGUCCUUGUGGAUGACUUCUCUAGGUACACCUGGGUUAGGUUCCUUUGAGAAAAAUCUGAGACAGCUGAGAGCUUCAGAAUAUGGGCGCUGCAACUCUUGAAUCAGCGCGGUAGAAUAAAGAAUAUCCGGAGUAAUCGUGGCGGCGAGUUUCAGAAUGAAUUCAUGAAACUUUUCUGUGAAAGUCAUAGCAUUGCUCAUCAGUUCUCAGCACCUAGGACACCACAGCAGAACGGGGUUGUAGAAUGGAAUAACAGAACACUACAGGAGAUGGCACGAGCAAUGAUGCAUGGGAACCAAGUGUCAAAGAAGUUCUGGGCUGAAGCAGUCAAUACGGCUUGCUACAUCAUAAACCGAGUCUACGUCAGAAAGGGAACCAGUAAGACACCUUAUGACUAUGGAAAGGGAAAACCCCUAACUUGAGUUACUUUCAUGUCUUUGGUUGCAGGUGCUACAUCCUUAAUGACAAAUACUAUCUUGGGAAGUUUGACUCAAGAAGCGAUGAAGGGAUGUUUUUGGGAUACUCGGGAAAUAGCACUGCAUUCAGGGUCUUCAACAUCAGGUCAAAAGUACUGAUCGAGUCAGUGAACAUGGUGUUUGAUGACUAUGCUCGUACCAAGUGGGAAGGAACUGCUACUGGCAGUGACUCGGACGAAGAAGAAGAAAAUCAACCAGCAGCUCCCACUGGAGAAGGUGAUCAAGCAGUUGUGGUUCCAACAUCUGAUGUUCAGCAAGUUCACAGGAAUCACUCACCUUCGAAUCUCAUUGGUGAUGUGAAUGAAGGAAGAAGGACUUGUGGAGUUCAGUUGGACUUCAAAAAGAUGGUUGGGAAAUUCUCGGAGAUGGUUCUAUUUGCAUGCUUUGUCUCUGUCAUUGAACCCCGAGACGUGAGACAGGCACUUGGUGAUGAAUUCUGGAUCAUUGCCAUGGAACAAGAACUAGAGCAGUUCGUGCGUAAUUAUGUGUGGAAACUUGUCCCAAGACCCCUUGAAGGCAAUGUGGUGGGAACAAAGUGGAUCUUCAAGAACAAAAUCGAUGAGAAUGGGGUUGUGGUUCGCAACAAAGCAAGGCUAGUUGCACAAGGGUUUUCACAAGUCGAGGGAGUCAACUUCGAAGAGACGUUUACCCCUGUAGCAAGACUUGAAUCAAUCAGACUGUUCUUGGGGAUGGCCUGUAUCCUAAACUUUAGGGUAUAUCAGAUAGAUGUCAAAAGUGCAUUUCUUAAUGGAGUGCUCCAAGAAGAAGUGUAUGUGGAACAGCCAAAAGGGCUCAAAGAUGCUCAGUAUCCACAACAUGUGUACAAGUUGAAGAAGGCGCUUUAUGGCUUGAAGCAGGCUCCACGAGCGUGGUAUGAGAGACUCACUGGAUUUCUGGUUGAACAAGGAUAUGUUAGAGGAAGUGUUGACACGAUCUUGUUCAUCUAUGAGCAGAAUGGGCAGAUCAUAAUUGUGCAAAUCUACGUGGAUGACAUUAUCUUUGGAGGAACUGCUCAGUCACUUGUGGAUCGAUUUGUCACAAGCAUGACUCAAGAGUUUGAAAUGAGCAUGGUUGGUGAACUGCGGUACUUCCUGGGUUUGCAAAUAACUCAGUCUGAAGAUGGGGUCUUUAUCUCACAAAGCACCUAUGCGAAGAACUUACUUACAUGAUUCAAGCUUGAUCAGUGUAAGGAAGCUAAUACUCCAAUGAGUACUACAGCCAAGCUCACUUGGGAUUAAGAUGGAACAGAUGUUGACCCCACAGUUAUCUAGGGAUGAUUGGAAGCUUGUUGUAUCUCACAGCAAGUAGACCAGACUUUUCCCUAAGUGUGGGCAUCUGUGCUCGAUAUCAGGCGAAACCCAAGCAAUCACAUCUUGAAGCAGUGAAGAGAAUCAUCAAGUAUGUCAAAGGGACAGUCAAGUUGGGAAUCUGGUACUCCAAAAGAUCGAACAAGCACUUGGUGGGAUACUGUGACGCAGGAAGUGCAGAUGAUCGGAAAAGCACAAGUGGAGGUUGUUUCUUUCUUGGGAACUAUCUAAUCUCGUUGUAGAGUAAGAAAUAGAACUCUGUCUCACUGUCUACUGCAAAGGCCGAAUACAUUGCUAUGGGGAGCUGCUGCAGUCAACUGUUGUGGAUGAAGCAGAUGUCCGCAGACUAUGAGAUGGAUUCUGGGCCACUACUGGUUCACUGUGACAACAAAAAUGCUAUCAGUAUUUCAAGGAAUCUGGUGCAGCAUUCUAGGACCAAACACAUCAAUAUAAAGCACCACUUCAUUCGUGAGCUAGUGGAGGAGAUACAGGUAGUGAUAGAACACAUUGUCACUGAUUUGCAACUGGCUGAUUUAUUCACAAAACCCCUGGAUUUUAAUCGUUUUGUCACCUUAAGAAACUCGAUUGGGGUUUGUAGUAUGUGAUUUUUUGUGAAGUGUGCAGGACUGAUGCAAAAACUGACUCGAGGGGACACUCAAGGUUUAGAUUCAGUCUGGAGUCAUGGAUCUAGUGGAAAAGAGCUAUCUCAACAACCGUCGUACCUUAACGACAGUACAGGUUUCAUGGAGUAGAAGGGAAGCUGAGCUAGUUUCGGAGAAGUCAAGUGAUGAAACUAGCUCAUUGCACUCAAACCAGAAAGGGAGGAAUGAAUAAAUAAAAAAAAUUUAAAAAAAGGAGGGGCUGCUUGCAAUUAAAAUUAGUUGAUCCCCUCAAAAGGUAGAUCCUCCCCUGGUACUGAAAGCUUCCUUCACCCGUGAAUAAAGGUUGAAAACUAGAAAAUGGGUCGAUAAAGGUAGUUGGGUGUGAAAGCUAGCCCGUGAAUCAGGAUGGCCAGACUCUUAUGAAUCAUAACAAGCUGAAGGUGUCUCGUGAGUCAGAGGCUGUGUCUAGUUCCGGUGCACUUCAAAGAAAAUGGUAAAAAUAUGUACAAAGCAUUGUUUUCAAAGCCAGCGCAUAGGUGAUAGUUCAAUUGUCACUAUUUGUUCUCUAUCAUCGGCUUAUGUGUGAAAGUGUCCGUGAAUAUUGAUGGUCUAAUGCGUGCGUGUUUGAUUCAGUAUGUGUUCGAGUGCUUUUGUCACGUGUGAAACAGGAAAGUGGGCAGGGAAUUUCGAGGCCUUGAUGAGUUUGUGAAAACAUCUGUGAGAUGGGCUUGUUGCGAGAGAACAGCCCACAAAAGACAAUGGAAAUUGAAAAGACGUGGGAAAAUAGAAAGUGGGGGAGUUAUUUACGGGGAGUGGGGAUCCGAAAAAUCAGCACCACUUCCUGUUUUAAACCCUAAUUAUCUUCCUACAAAAGGCGAAUCACAAAGAGAGACAUCAAUGGUGAGAGGAACUCGAAGGGGGCUAAUUGGUGUCCGAUCUAAAGCACAGAUGACGCAUGCAGAUGGCGAUGCUCAGAGGCCUCAUCUAAUCGAUGAGCACAGUGGCGAGAGUAUGAAUCCAACUGAGGCGGUUCCUGAUCAAAAUCCCGCGGCAUCCAUUGGUCCAGCAGAUAGUGCAGGCUCUUUUGCCACCGCAAAUGAUGGAGAUGCGCAGAGUGGAUCGUCGGCGAACCCUAAAGAGAAGGCGGAUGGCGGAGAAACCAAGGCCAACUCGGAGGUUACCCAGAAAAUCAAGAAUGACGAGGAAGAGGCUGACGGUGGCGAGAGCAAAAAAGCUGUUGAGGUGAAUCUCUCUGUGCCACAAGAAUCGGCGAAUCCGACCGCCGAUCCGGUUCUGAUCACAAUGACUCAAGAGGAGGCGACAGCAUCUCCCGCUGAAGCAUCACCUACCUCGAUCUCCGUGAAAGAGCAAGCUGCAAAAGUCGAACGCAAAAGAAAUACAAUGAAGGCUUUGGGACUUCCAGCUCCGUCAAAGAAACCCAAAAGUGAGCCGUCUCCAGUUCCAAAAGCAGAACCGGAGCCAGUCCCUGACUCGGUGCCAUGAAAGCGGACCAAAAAGGCUCGAUCUCGCAAAGAACAGCCGUCUCCUGAUCAAGCAAGGUAUGAUCACUUUGCUACACGACAACUUUGGUGUGAGAGAACUGUCGAUGUAGGUGAAACAGAUGAAUGGGGAUACAUCAAAGUGAAUAGAGACAGCGGUUUAGAAUCAGCGGUUGUAGGGAUCACUUUGUAUGUACCGCAAGUGAUUCAGGAGUUCUAUGCUGGGCUUCCGGGUGAGCUACCCUCUGAUCCAGAUCAAGAGAUUCGUGUCAAGCUGAGGGGUUUUGAGUAUUGCUUCUCUCCUGCGUGGAUCAAUCGGGUCCUCAAUCUGACUCCACUUAGCGAGGCUGAAGUUCACGAUGAGUCAGUUGCUGAAGCAGUCUCUCUGUCUGAUAUUGCCAAACACUUGUCGAAAGGAGGAAGUGGUUGGAGUGGGCUGAGCACGAGGAAUCUCCCACCGGUUUUUGCUUCAUUGAUUGUUAUUGCGGCGUACAACUGGAUUCACUCAACCAACAAGAAUCACAUUUCUGAGGAGCGUGCUCGCCUGCUGUACAAGCUGAGUCAUGGUGUGAGGGUGGACUUCGGAAGGCUGGCUUUCAAACAUAUUAUUCUAAUGAGCAAGAUCAUCAAAAAAGACACUCACUGGCUGGUAUUCCCGUGUUUGAUACAGAAGAUUAUGAACCUUCAACACGAGCCUUAGCUGGGUCAAGGAGAGACUCACAUUGUCCCAUUUUGAUACAAAAAAGACUCACGCAGUGGUGAGGAGUUCAUCAAGAAAGAGGCCGCAGCUGCAAAGAAGGAUAAGAAGAAAGGGAAGCAAAGGGCUGAUGCACCGAGAUCUCCAACUCCUCCACCUCAGUCGUCUCAACAGCAACCUGAGCCAUCACCGAGUGUGCCACUUCGGUCCUUCCGCUCACCACCUCCUGAUGCAUCCUUCAGGUCAUCCGACUCUGCUCCUGGUCGGACUCAAAGUGCUCCUCUCGGAGUGAUUUGUGUUCCUUUGGCACCAGAAAGUGCUAAUGAAGUCACAUUGGCCUUAUGGGAUGUGAGUCGUGUGCUUAACCAUCUCCACGGAAUAGUCAACAUGGUGAUUGACUCAUUUGCAAGUAAGUUUUCUGACUCUGACUUGUUUCUUAUUUUAGGUAUUGAUCCCUGUUUUUACUUUCGGUGAUCACAAGCAGGAGGAGAAAACAUGUGGGAAGAAAUUCUACGAGAUGAUGCAGGAGAUGAUGCGGGUGCUUAAAUUGUGGGGGAGUUUGUGUAAUAAUCUAGUUUCUUGUUUCUGAAUUAGGCUAAGUUUGUGGGGGAACGUGUAUUUUGCUCUGAAAACUCUUGUUCGCAGCAUUUGAUUCAAGACUCUGUGUUUGACGUUUUCUUUUCAUAUGAAAUGCGUUCUGUUUGUCUUGGUACUUGGUUGGUCUGUGGUUGUUUGUGUGCUAUGUCUGAAAACAGGUGCUUCUGAGUCACACGAAGCUAAAAUGGGGGAGAUUGAAGGUGUAGCUGUACUUGAAGCAGUUGCUGUACCAGAUGAAGUGAAGGAUGGAAUGCCACAAGCAUGAAGUACGUGACAAGCGAAGCAUUUGGAAUGAUGAGCUGGACGAGUAGCUGAGCUGGACCAGUAGGAAUGGGAGUAUUGGAAAGAAAGCAAAGCUGGAUGAGAAUAAAGGAGCAGAUCAGGAAGAAUGGAAGAUUUUCUUAAACAUGCAAAAGUUUAAAGAAAUAGGAAAUAUGCACCAAGCGACAAAAAUGGAAGCUGUGGUGUAGGGUUUUCGGCGUGUAUAGCAGCUUAGUCUACUAGGUAUAAGUAGACUUGAAGCAUUGUAUAAGCUUAACACAACUACUAGAGAGCACUUAGCAUAAGGGUGAGAGAUUCGAGUAUUAGGGUAUGCAUCAAGGGUUAAAGGUUUUUCUAGGGGAGUUCUGAGAUCAAGUACAGAUCGAAGAACAGAGAGAGCUAGAGCGACAGAUCAAGGUGUGUCUUGAGUCUGUUCUAAAUCGUGUUACAAAUUUGUAAGGUGUGUUAACAGAUUUACUAGCAAUAAAGUUCAGUUAAAGGAAAAACUUUAUGUUAAGUUGUGAUGUUGUUUUUGAACUAAAACUCUUGCGUUUACAACAAGUUCCUCUAGGCUCAGCUAAACCAAUUCUCUUUACUUAGUUGUUUUUAGUAGUUGAUCUCGACUGGGUGAAAACCGACCCUAACACUUUCCUUGAGUUUGUCUUGAGGAGAACCAUGUUCUCAGUCCAUCCUCAUAUCUCCUAUCUCCAUUACUUUGAAUCAAACAUAUAGUUGAUUUCUGAUAUUGUUGUCGAUUAGCUUGAUGAGUUGGUACUUUUUCGAAGGUUUCUCCCAAGUCAACAACGUUUCCCCACUCGCAUAAAAACUAAUCUUUCAAUAGUCUCGUUACCAAACCAUCCCAACCUAAUUCAGGUUUGGCUUAUCAUAUAAAUUACAUCCAUUUUUGAACUGUCAAAACCUAAUUUAGGGAAUUUCAGUAAUAAUAUAUAGUUUUUUGGUGUGUCAAAUCAUAUGAGAGAACCUUUACGAUAUAUAUGUUUUAACCAAGAGUGAUCCCGAUAUUUACCACUCAACUAAUCCAACAAUUCCCAAGGGACGAGUGUAGCCGUGAAGUAAUUCAUUCACAAUUUUUUUUUUUUUACAUCUAAUUCACCUUUAUUAGUUAUCAAAAUUACAAUCGUUAAUUACAGUACACUACAAGAAAACAGCAGGUAUUCCUACGAAAGAUAUCAUCAGAAAAUGGUAGGAAACAGGCAUUUUCUACCAAUUUCCGACGAAAAUGUUUUGGUAAGUUCUAUGCCGUCGGAAAUUAUAAAUGGUCAGAAAAUGAUAGGAAAUUUCCUACGAAAUUUUUGGUCGGAAAAUUUCAUCGGAAAAUUUGGUCAGAAUAUCGUAGGGCAUUUGCUACUAUUUUCCUUCCAUUUUCUUUUGAAAAAAUCCAACCCUUUUCCUACGAACAGUUUUCUAUCAUAUUCCUACCAUUUUCUUACUAGCUAUAUAAAAAAAUUUUAAUUCAAUUAAUUACAAAAUUAAAUAAUUUCAAUUAUUAAACAAAUUAUAAAAAUUAAAUCCAAAAUUAAUCAACCUAAUUAAAAACUAAUUAGAAAUUAAUUAUAACUAAAUAUGGAACUUCUAAAGCCCAAAUUAUUUUUAUUGACUCAGUAUUUUUUAUACUUAAAGCAUGUGUCUAUUUAUAGAGUCUUUUCAGCAUCACCUGCUUGGUCGAUGUGGGAUUUUUCCCAUUUUCCUUUUUGACUGAUUUUGGUAGGAAAUUGAUAGGAUAUUUAAAUAAUAAAAUAUUUAUUUUUCGUAGGAAAUUGAUAGGUAAUUUCUUACAUAUUAUAUUCGUAGAUAAGUGGUCAAAAAUUUCUGACAAAUUUCCUACCAUUAUUACAGUAAAUUUUUUCCACCGAUUUCCUUCCAUUUUCUGAUCAGAUUUCCUACGGAUAUUUUUUUGGUUGAAUAUUGGUAGGAAAAUUUUGACCAUUUUCUGACGAUUUUUAUCGUAGAAACUUUUCUUCCAAUUUCCUACCACUUUUAUUUUUUGUCAUAAAUUCGUAGGAAAAUGAUAAAAAAAAAUUUCUACCAAAAUUUACGUAGAAAAAUUUAUAGGAAUUCAACAUGUUUUCUUGUAGUGGUAUGUUGGAGGAAUCGAGGACAAGUGUGGUACAAUGACCAUUGAGUAUUACAUAAUAAUGCUUGUUUAGCCAACAUAUCUGCCCAUUGAUUUGCUUCUCGGUGUCGAAAGGUGAAGCUCACUUCAGCGAACAUUUUUUCCAGCUUUUGAUAGCCUCUAUGUAAUGGUGGAGACGCAAAUUAUUUCCUUGCCCAUUGAUGAGUCGGAUAAUGGUUAGAUUAUCUCCUUCAAAUUCCACUUUUUGAAGGAAUAUUUUCAUAUUUUCAUUCACAAUAUUUUCUAAUGGGUCUAAAAAAUGGCACCAUUUCAAUUCGUCAAAUGAAAAUGGUUAGAUAAUUAUAAGUUUGUUGAGAAUUCUUUCUUUAUGGUACUUUGAUAUAUUUAGUGAACUUUGCAAGUAUUGUGUAUGAAUAACCUCAGUAGAGUUUCUUUAGGUUCUCGUUGUACUAUUAAGAAAACAAAAUUUCUCAUCGUGAACUUUGCAAUUUGUGAAUAUUUAGUUUAAAUAUUUUUUCUUUUUUGUAAGACCCUAGAGUACGAAUAAUUAAAUUGCAGUAAUAUAAAAAAACCAAAGACAAUAACAUAAAGUACAGACGAUUUUAUUAUGCAAAGAGUGAAGAUUACAACUCGAACACAGAGACAUACAUUAUUAAGUUUAUUCUCAUAGUUUCUUUUCUUAAACUUGAGUCACUUCAUUACAAAUGCACCAAUGUUUACUUAGAGUCAUACACACGUAUGUGCAUAUAUGAGACUUAAAAGUAUAUUUCAUAGAUUUUAAUGACCGGGCUGAGUCUGAACAGCUUCUGCUCCGUGUCCCCCGCGUCCACCAUGGCCUCCUCCUCCAUAGUGUCCUCCUCCUCCGUAGUGUCCUCCUCCUCCUCCGUAGUGUCCUCCUCCUCCUCCUCCGUAGUGUCCUCCUCCUCCUCCUCCGUAGUGUCCUCCACCGUGUCCUCCUCCGUGUCCUCCUCCUCCGUUGUAACCUCCAUGGCCACCACCAUAUCCAUCAGGUUUCUCAUUUUCCUCACUCUCUGACUUCACCGUGCCUGUUCCAAACACACACAAAAAAAAAACAAAAUUAUUUCAAAAAUAUUUUUAAGCACGUGCAAAUGUGCAUUCCUUUGCCUAUUUCAUAAUUGAACACUUUUAAAAAAUGUAUAGAAAUUCGGGAUAAUGAUGUAGUUGUAGUGACAGAAUUACUCUGAACAGCUUCUAGUCCAUGUCCCCCGCGGCCUCCAUGUCCCCCGUGGCCUCCUCCUCCGUAGUGUCCUCCUCCGUGGCCACCACCAUAUCCAUCAGGUUUCACAGUUUCCUCACUCUCUGAGUUCACCGUGCCUAUCCCAAAAGCGAAACCACAUUAUUUUAUAAAUAUUGUUAGUACGUACAAAUGUGCAUUCCUCUCCCCAAUUUCAUAAUUAAAUUUCUCUUAAAAACUUUCUAAAAUAUGUAUAUAAUUCCGAUCUCUAGUUAUAAAAAAAAUGAGUUCAACAUUAAAUAUACGUUUUAUAUAAAUUGGCGUCAAGCAUCUAAAUAGUUUGGGAGGGUCUAAUAGGUAUAAGAGCAUGUACAUCAGUGAACCCUUAAAAGAGGGGUUUAACAGAAUAUAAUAACAUUUUUUUUUUGUUUUAGUUUUUUUUUUUUUUAAUUCGAAAAUUAUAAUUUUCGACCAUGUUUUAUUUGGGAUGAUACCGUCUCUUCAGGUUCGUCGGGAUGAUACUGUCUCUUUAAUAUUAAGAUCUUUUGUCUCAAAAACCGUGCCAUGAACCCCUCUUGAUCCUCUGAUGUAGAUGCUCUAAGAAGGACUAAACGUCAUAAGUAAGCGUAAGUGUCUUUUCUUACUAGGACAUCAACAUGAUACUUAAGUGUGUUUAUGACUUAGUGAGUCCAAAUAAUUGACCAUCGUUCACCCCAACUUUUCGCAUUUAAAACGGACGAGAUAGUUGGACAAAAUUAUCAAAUGGUACGUUAGUCCGGUUAGAUUAGCUUCACGAUAAUUUUUUUGUUUUCUAUAAAAUAAUUUUACGUACCCGACUGCCUUGCUGAGACGACGAGAAGAAAUGCAAACACACCCAACAGAAGCAAAGUCUUGGAAGCCAUUUUCUUCAAACUGCUUAUAACACUUUUAAUUUGUAUAUAUGGAGAAAGAAGUGAUGAAUAAAAUGUUAGCCUGCAUGCUCUCUAUUUAAGGAAAACGAGGAGGGCAGAAUGAGGAAAAGUCAAAUAAAUAAUUCGUAGUGCAGUGAAAAGAAGUAUUUUUUUAAUUAAAAGCAAAAGGGAGAUUUAGUGUAUCACAAAAUUUAGAGAAAUUGCAUUGUUUGCAGAUAAAGACACACUUUUUAGUAGCAAAUAAAUAAAACUAUAUUUCUUUGCGCAAGCGAACAAAAGGGAGUUGUAUUAUUCUAGAAGAGUUUAGAUCUAAUUUAUACCCCCCAAAAAAUAUAGUUUAGAUAUCUUUAUCUGUAUCAUGCAAUCUUUCUUUGUAAACAUCUUGAAUAGAGUUAAUAUAUGUUACGUGAUUUAUAUUAGAUUGCAUGAAACAAAAAAUACGUGAAACAAAGUGUUUCGAAAAGGAUAACAAUUUUAAAAAUGAUAGGAAACGUUUGCUUUCGGAAACAUAUAUUAUAUAUAAAACAUCAAAAUCAUAUGAAAAACAAAACGAAACAUUAAAACCAAACGAACUUUAAUACUUAUAUAUCAAACAGAUAAAUAAAGAUACAAAUCCAAACGUGGUAAGAAGAUAACGAAAUUUUCAUAUUUUCGAAUUUACUUCAUCUAUCCUACAAAUAAGAUGGUAAGACGAUCGAUAAGUAUGAUCAAAGUAUAUCUGUAUCCGUUGCGUCGAUUCCCAUAUGGUGGGUUGUUGGAUUGUGAUUUGUGAAAAACUUUAACCUCAAUAGUCUUUUAGAUAUUUCUUAUCAACGUCUUUAAACAUAGGAACCAUCGGACAAGUAUUGAACUAUUGAUAUGUAAGAAUUACAUUAUUGGCCAUAACUGGUAUUAUUGUUACAUUAUUAUUACUAUAAUUUGGACACAAAAUUAGUCCACUAUUUGUACUUUAACUCUUUAAGGAUCUUCUUUGAAAAUCUCAGCCGACAGGUUUUUAAGCAGACGGAUAAAGAAUUAAUACGAAGUAAUUACUAAGAACUUACCUUUAAAGGGUGAAAUUUUGCUUGGCUAUAAUUUAUUCAGGCCUACAUCGAUAAAAAAAAAUAAAAAUCAUUCCAGUGACCUAAGUGUAAAGGAGCUUGAGAUAUACGUGUUGAGAAGAUGAGCAUUAUUAAGUGUACAGAAUGUAGCUGCCGUCCUAAUUAUAAUAAAAUAGAAGUUAAUCCGCACAUUGUAAGGGAUAAUGUUUUUUUAAUUAUUUUUAAAUUUAAUUUAAUUUUUUUUAGUUAAAUUAAAAUUGGUGGCAAAAAUAUUUUAACAAAAAAUAUAAAUAAACAAAAUUAAUAAAAAUUAAAUAAUAUAUAUAUAUAAAUAUCACACAACCGAUAUUUAUUUGUAUAUAUAUAUAUAUUAUAGAGUAUGACUUUGAGCUAAUUUUGUUAUGCAGUUUAAUUAUUCAUAAAAUAAGAAUUUAAUUUUGAAUAUUUUAUUAGAGAUUAAACUAUUAUUUUUAGUUAAUAAAUUAUAAUAUAUGUUAAUAAUAAUUAUAUAUAGGAUUAGACAAAUUCGUCUAUUUAAUUUAUUUUAUAAUUUUUAAAAUAUUAUUUCGACCAAUCCGCAAAAAAUAGAUUUUAAACUUUAAAUUAUAUUUUAUUUUUUAUAAUAAUAAUUGAAUUGAUUUUCAAAAAUGAUGCUAAUUAAUUAUGAAAAUACAAAUGAAAAAUAUUGCAAAAUUUAAAUAGUUUUUCAUAUAUAUGGAUUGAUUAUUAUUUAAAAUAAUAGAAUAUAUUUUAACAUUUUAAUAAGUAAAAAGCAAAAUACAUUUUUUAUUUAUAUCCAUAUAUAUUCAAAACAAAUAUGUGAGCUAUAUAUUUAACUAUCUCUUGUGAAGAAAUAUUUAAUUAAAAAUUUUAUAUUUGUAAAAUUUAUUUAUUUAAUAUCUUUUAAGUAAAGGUUUAUUUAUGUAAUAUUUUAUAAAUAAAUAUUUAUUUAUGUAAAAUAUUCUGUAAUAUCUUACAAAUAAAAGUUUCUUUAUAAAAUGUCUAUUCAAAUAAUAAUGUAGAGAUGUAAUUUAAUUAAAGUCUAAUUGAUAUGAACUUCAUAAUUAUUAUAAAAAUAUGAUCAAUUCCAUGCGAGUGAAAAAGAUUUACAUAGUUAUCGUUUAUUUCUCAUACAAAACUAUUUUAAUUUUAAAGAGUAAAACGUAGCAGAAAAUGAAAACUGGAACUUUUUUAGAAUAUGACAGCUAGUUUUAAAAAUGGGAGAUGGCUACAAUACCGUUUCAAAAUAAUAGAUUAAAACUUAAUCCCAGAUAUCCGACUUGUUGAUGGUUUCUAUUUGCUUACGCACACUAAAUAUAUUAACACUCAAGAGAGGGAAAGUGUAAAUUGUAUUAAUGAAAGUGUUAGUGAACCGUAUUACAUUAAUUCCCUUUUAUAUACCAACUAGGUUAAGAAUAAAUACAUAUAUGUUAAUACAUCCCUCUCAAACCGAAUCAACCUUAGGUAGAAAGAGGUUUGAUAAUAAUACACGACUAAGCAAAAAAUGAAAUGGACCUAGAUGCAAAGGCUUCGUCAACAUAUCAGCAAGCUGAUUCGAAGUAGAGACAUGAAGAACAUUUAGGAAGCCAUUCUUCACCUGAUCUCGGGUUAUGUGGGAAUCAAUUUCCACAUGCUUAGUUCUCUCGUGAAAUACAGGGUUAUUGGCAAGAUUCAUAGCUGAUUUUUUUUAUCACAAAACAGGUUGGCUUCAGAAGUUACCGGGAUAUGAAGAUCAGUCAGUAAUUGGUGCAGCCAAAGUAACUCUCCCGUAGUAACAGCCAUGCUCCGAUAUUUGGCCUCCGUGCUGCUUCUAUUAACCAUUUCCUGUUUCUUGGACUUCUAGGUGAUAAGAGAUGUUCCAAGAAAUACACACAGACUCGUUACAGAACGACUGCAUCUGAAAAUCCAUUCAAGCAUAACUCUGUAGUAGCAUAAUAGAAAAAACCUUAGCCCAGAUUUUCUUCAAAUAUUUAAGGAUCUGGAAAGCAGCUUGAAAAUGAACAUUAGUGGGGAAAGACAGAUACUGACUCCACUGAUGCAGCGCAAAAGUGAUAUCAGGACGAGUAAUGCAGAGAUAUUGCAAUCGACCAAUCAAUUCGCGAUAUGAAGUUGUAUCAGAAAGAGACGUACCCGCGGACUGGAUCCAUCAAAACUGAUUUUGGUUUAUAACCAAGGAGACCAUAAUCUUCAAUAAGAUCCAAGCAGUAUUUCCUCUGUGAAACAGAUAACCCCGAAGCAUUCCUUGCAAUCUCAAGACUCAAGAAGAAAUGAGCUUGGCCAAGAUCUUUGGUCUUGAAUGGGAUUGUGAUAUAUUCAUAUCAUUUCGUGUUUAGGAUGCAUUUUUGGUCCAAGAAUAGAGCCUCAUGCAUACAUUUUAGAUAGAUUCUUCAUGUUUUCUUUGUUUUAGAGGUUUAGGACUUUGCAUUAGGUCCAAGUGAGUCUUGCAUGUUUGGAGUGUCAAUCAGGUGCUUUGGAGGUCAUCUGGAGAUGAAAAUAUGGAACCAGGUGAAGAAAUGGUGAAAGAAGGGCAAGAUAUGGUAAAAAUGAGGUUUUGGAGGUUAUCGGCAAAAUUGCUUACUGCGGGAAGAUUUUUAUCGGCCAAAAAUCAUUCCCGGGAAGCAGUUAUCGGCCAAAACAUGUACCAGACCAAGUCUGUAUCGGCAAAAAUCCUUUGUCGUGGGAAAAAAUGUUUAUCGGCUAAAAUACGUACCGCAGUACGUAACUUAUCGGCCAAAACGUGAAUUAUCGGCCAAAAGUUUCCCGACCCGAUAUGCUUCAAAGAUGCCUUUACCAGAAAGCUUUCUCGUCCGAUUCAGUUUCUAGUGUUUUCACAAACGUUCAAGAGAAUUGAGUCACAAUUCCAGAACAGUUGGAAUCAAUGGAUUUGGAGCAGUGAGCUGAAAGAUACGGCCAACAGAAGAUGAAUCUGCCUCGCAUCCAUUCUGGUCAUAUCCGAUGCGACUCAAAGAUCACUCAGGAUGAAACUCUUCCCUUCCAAUCUAGUUUCCGGGGCUCUAUCAAGAUUUGAGAGAUUCGAGUCAUAUUUCCAUAACGCUUAGAAUCAUUCCAUUUGGAGUGUUGAGUUGGGAGAUAUCGCAUUCGGGAGACAGACAUGCCCUGCAGUAAGAAACUAGAACCUCCCGAGCCAAUGCAAUGAUCCGUUUACCGGAAGGCCUCUCUCACCCGGGAUGCACUUAAGUUCUUCAUCAAAGUUGUAUGGAAUUGAGCUGCCUUUCCUCUGGAGUUUCUCUCGAGUCAUUUAGACUCAUAUCCCACAAGUUAUGCUAGCUCAAGUAAACAUAGAUCCGAGGAAAUGAGAAAUGCUGCGACAUGGCUUUGCGACUCGGUCAACUUGCAGCGAUGAAUGUUUAAAUUCUGGGAGCAAGCUGAGACUUGAAAUGAUGCGGGUGAGGUGACUCGGAGCAGGGUAAGGAUUUCCAAAGCUCAAAUAUUUCUAAGUCCAGAACAGCCUAUGACAUGGCAGUGCGAGAUUGAUGAUGAGAUGAACCAUGUCGCACACACACUCGCUUGGGGCCGCGACAUGACAGUGCGAGAUGGAUGAAGAGAAGUAACAUGUCGCACUCCUACUCUCUUGGGGCUGCGAACGUGAAGCUGUGAGUGGGAAAAGAAGGAUUUAAGCUGCAAGUACAAUUGCUUGAAUGAUACGACAUGAAAGUGCGGCUGAAGAAGCAAGGGAGCUGAGACGUAACAACAUUCACUUGGGGCUGCGAGAUGGCAGUGUAGGUGAACUGAAGCCAGGACCAUCUCGCACCAUGGCCACAUGACCCAACUGAACCAGGUCAGUACACAGUUUGUCUUGAGCUGACCCGCUCCAAAACACUUAGUAUAAAUAGCUUUUAGGGUUUUUUUCCAAAGAACAUCUCAUUUUCCUUUAGGUUUUUAGCCACUUUUGUGUAAGAGACAACUAAAGAGAGAUAUCUCCUUUCUUUUCUUUGAAUCAAAAAUGUUUGAGAGCUUAAUCUAUCUAUCUUAUCAUCAUUACUAUUCAUCAUCUUGUUUUCUCUAUCAACUAAUCAUGUUUAAUUACUUUUCUUGCAAAGGAAUCAGAGAGUUAAUCAUGAUUAGUGAGUAGUCGCGUCAUUAGGGUUCUAGAUAUGUAAGUUAGGGUGUUUAGAGGUUUGAUUAAGGCUGCUUAGGAUUAAAUUUAUACAUCUCUGUCUUGUUUAGCUGAUUUUAAUGCUUGGUUAUAGAUGAUCUCUCUAACCCAGAUUUUGGGCAUUUCAUCUACCCAAAACGUGUUUGAUGAAAUGCCUGAACCAGCUAAGUCAAGAGUCUAUUGUUUGAUUCACAUGAAAAUGUUGUUUUGAGCAUAGAUGGUAUAUUAGGAUUCGUGUUUAAUGCAUUCCUUUCAUUGUGACUCUAAUGAUGAUUAGGUAUGAGCAAUGUUUGGUAUUGUGUUUUGAUGCUUGAGAAAUAUUGAAACUUGAUUUGAAUCCUAAGCUGCUUAGAUCAUUCAUCAUCAUUGUCAUUAGCUCCUUGAUUAAACUAUGAUGCACCCUAGAAACUAUCAUGUCUAGAGCUCUAAGUUUCAUCAUAUUCAUAUCAUCUUAAUCAUUUUCUGUCUUUAUUUAUUGCUUGUUUAAUUCUUUAAUCUUGUUUAAUUGCAAUUCUGUCACUUGUUUGAAACUAAAACAUUUUGUUUGUUUGAAUUAAGAAUAGUUCAUAUAGAUUAGUGAACUAAACACCACACCUUGGAUUGAUAACCUUUGUACUACAACAGACAAAGGGAUUGAUACCCUAAGAGCCUUGAAAAAUCUUGUCUACCAUAUUGAGAGAAUCUUCUAAAUAGACUUGACAGCUUCAUCAUCAUUGCUCGCUAUAAGGAUGUCAUCGACAUAGAUCAGGAGAUAAAUAAAUAAUGUACCUGUUAGCUUCACAAAGAGGGUGUUAUAUGCAUAAGACUGUACAAAUCCGGCAUCAAGUAAGACCUUCGACAAACACUUGUACCAUUAACGAGAUGUCUGCUUCAAGUCAUAGAUGGAUUUAUCAAGUUUGCAAACCUGAUUAGCAGGCAGAUGAACAUCAGCUGGAGUGUAACAUCGUGGCAAGCUCAUGUAUAUCUCCUCAUCGAGCUUACUGUGCAAGAAAGCAUUGGUUACAUCCAUUUGGGUUAAGCUCCAACCCAUUCAUGCGGCUAAACCAAGGAUAAGCUUCACACUGGCAAGCUUGGAAACUGGGAAAAGGUGUCAAAGUAAUCAACACCUUUUUGUUUUGUGUAUCCCUUUGCUACCAGGCAAGCUUUAUAACGCUCCACAUUUCCAUCUGCAUUAUACUUAAUGGUAAACACCCAUUUACAACCAACAACAUUUUCCCUCGGAGGCAAUGACACAACACUCCACGUAUUGGUUGACUCCAUUGCUCCGAAUUCCAAAUUGAAAGCAUCAGUCCAUUCUUUGGAUGAAAUCACCUGCUUAAAGGUGUUAGGCUCAGUCUCCAUUGAAAAAGAGAGAACAAUAGACUGAUAUGGGGUGUUAAGAGUAGAGUAAGAGAGAACAGAAGAAAGAGGAUAUGGAGUAGUAUAAACCUUUAUAGAAAUGGGAGGAGUAGAAAUUUUUGUUAAAGAACAAUGAUAAUUGGACAAAUAACGUGGUACUUUUGUCGAGUGUUUUAGCCUGGCAUUGGGAAGUGAAACCAGAGCAUUCUCUGUGACAACAGGGUGAUGGAUUUUCCUUGGAGCACUAGAGUGAGAUGAUGAUGCAUGUGAUGUAUAAAGCGGAGGAGAAUGGAUGGUCACAGUAGAUGAAGGAUGCAAAUUAUUAGGCAGUGAAAUCACCUAAUCUAAUGCAACAAGAAUUGGCAAUGGUAAUAUAAACUCUAAAAAAAUAUCAGAAGAUGAACUAGAAAGAAGAUGCUCAGUAAAAGGAAAUAUUGUCUCAUGAAAAACAACAUUUCGAGAAACAGAGAUAAUUUUUGAAUCAAGGUUCAAGACAUUAGAAUACCCUAAGAGUACACAUCGAUCCACACGAGGACUAAAAUUAUGUUUAUCCUUCUGUAACGUAGAAACAUAACAUAAGCAGCCAAAAGAUCUUAAGAAUAAGUAAUCGGGCUUCUUAAGCAUAACCAACUCAUAUGGAGAUUUGUGUUUAAGAAUAACAGAAGGUAAUCUGUUUAUCAAAAGACAACUCCAAAUGAAGAUCCGCUUGCGGCUAUAGCUAGAUCUGAGAGUUGCGAAUAUGCUUACAAAUUUUCAGGCUGAUCCAAUCCGAUUUGCCUGUCUGUUUCUCUCUUACACCAUAACAGGUCGGAUCUGCCACCUAGAUGGUUACAAUGGCUUCGCCUUUAAGGUUCUUGGCCACAAGAUAGCUCUCUGAUCUCUUCUAAGACAUGGCUGCUCUAUUUAUAGAGUGGAGAAGAGAUACUUCUAAAUUUAGAGUUUUAGAGAGGAAAAUAAUGAAAAUGGGUUUGAGAGUUUUUCUGAUGGGUUUUGAGUAAUCAGGCUGAAAAAAAAAAAAAAAAUUAGACCAAACCCUAUUCUUGGGAUGUCACAGAUUUAUUAGAGAAUAUAUUUACAUGAGUUUAUAAUUAUUUGUAUGAUAUUUACAUGAGUUUAUAAUUAAAUCGUACAUUAACAUAGCAUCGUUAUUGGAUAGUUAGUCGGAUCGGUUCAACCGGUCAUACGAAAAGUUUGUUUAAUAUAUAUAUAUAUAUAAGAAAAUAAGAAUAGUUAUUUUAAGAAAAAUAAAGAAAAUAAAAUUAAUUUCUUUUAAUUAUUUACAACUGCCAGCCAGCGAUUACAUCCGUCGCUUGAAGAAACUUAUUAUCUAAAUGAAUAAAUAAACUUUUAAUUUAUAGCGGUUCUAAGCGUCACAAAGAGAUAAGAAACAAGUUCAACGGUUUUAGUGAUUGUUAUUAAACGUCACGAAAAUAUAACCGUAUGCAAACAUAGCGUAUGUGGCUGGCAGCGAGAAAACUAUCCAACACUAAAUAUUACAUAUUUACUUUAAAAUUCAUGCCUGCUUAUUACCAAACCAUAUUUUUACCAAUUUUAAUUGUGACAUUUAAUGUCCGCACAUGCGUACAGGCCAGUCAUAAAUCUGAUAUAUUGCAUUCACAUCAAUUUGUGUGUAUUUUUGUUUUGAUAUGUCUUCUGAUUUUUUUCUGUCCUAUGUAACCAUUUUUUGAUAAUUUUAAUUGGUUGAUCAUUAAUCUUUACGUGUCUUUUAAAAGUGAUGUGGUAUAAUCGUUUUAAUUAGAUUAUUAAAGCUCGUUUAAGAUUGUCUUUUUAAAAACGACAAAAAAAAUCGGACAAAGUAAGUAAUAAAAAUAAAUGUAUGACCCAUAUAUUUGAAAGUGUCACUGGCCCAAUGGCAGAAGUCUCCCUUAUGCAUUUGAAGGACAUGUGUUUGAACCAAGGUGGUAACAAUUUUUUAAAAAAUCGUAGAAUUUUAAAACGACAUCGUUUUGAGUUAACCUAACAGUAACAGCAGAGUUAACAGCGUUUAACUUUUCUGUUAACUUUAUAAACGGAGUGCUGAUUUGGCAAGUCAACGAAAAGUUUGUUAUUAUUUAUGGAAGUCAACAAAAAUUAAAUGUUUAUUUGGCUAGCCUGACAGUUCAUGCUUUUUUUUGGCAAAAUGUGGAAAGUUUAAGGUUUUUUUGGCCGAAUUCUCAAAAUAAACUCAUUAAAGUUCGUUUAAAUUGUUUUUUUAACCAAUAAACAUUAAAACCUGUUUAAGAUUGUCUUUCUAAAAACCAAUUAAAGUCUGUUUAUAGUUGUUUUUAUUAAAACCAAUGAACUCAAAAAACCUAAUAUACUUCUUCGAUACACUAAAUAUAUAUAUAUAUAUCCUCUCUAACAUAGUUUGUCUUUUAAUGUUCUCUUUUUCGGUAAACAUUACAUUUGCUUUUUUCUAUUAAUUUUAUUAACGUACGCUUGAGUUUGAGUUUGUUGCUUGUGCUUAUAAAUUUUUUUGUAACAAUUCCUAAUCUUUUUAAGAUUAUGAUUGAAAAUGUUAGUAUAAACAACCAUAGUUUAAAAAAUAGCAUCAAUGUUCACAUACUCGUGAAACAAUGUAUAGCAUCAAGUCUAUCAAUUUUUUUGGUCUCUUAUUUUAGAUUUGAUGCGGCAAAAAGAUUGCUUUGGGAACCAAGUCUUUUUUUUUGUUGGAAUUAUCUUCUAUUCUUGUCAGUUUUUAUUUUUCAUGCAAACGUUGACAUUAAAAUCUCUUUGUUAGAUUUGAUACCAUAUUAAAUUUCAAAUCUGAAUUAAUCAUUAUAUUUAUACAUUAUUAUUAUGGAUGAGUUUAUUUUCGUUAUCUGUAGCCCAAACUCUCUUCCCACGAAAAAAACGAUUAAACCAAUAAUAUUUAUUAUAAACAGGCCGAUAGACUUUAGUAUAAACAAGUUUCAAUAGCCUAAUUAUAACAAAAUUUGUCACAUCGCUUUAAAGCACGUAUAGAAUUAAUGAACGAACAAAAAAUAAAUACAUGACAUGUCAGGACAAAACGACACAUAAGAUUUUGGACUUCACAAAUAAUAGUAACUAGGAAUUAACAUGCACAUUGUGCGGGGUAAUGUUUUUAAGAAUUUUAAAUAUUUUUUAAAAAAAUUUUGGUUAAGUUAAAAAUUGGUAGCAAAAACCUUUUAACAAAAAAUAUAAAUAAAUAAAAUUGGUAGCAAUUAGAUAACUAUAUAUAUAUAUAUAUAUAUAAAUAUCAUACAACCGAUAUUUACGUGUAUAUGUAUCUAUUGAAAGAACUUUGAGCUAGUUUUGUUAUGCGGUGUAAUUAUUAGUAGUUUUUAAAUGUGAAGGUGAUGUGAUGUUAAUAUAUUCAUACUUAUAUACUGCUGGGAUAAAUUCGAUCCUUCCUACAUGGACGAACUGCAUGCUUGCACGUGGCGUCCAUGUUUUUUUUUUCAGGUACGGCCCCCCUGGGCCAAAUUAGGAUCCGUAGUGGGUCGUAAGCAUAUAGCACUGGGCCUCGAAUCCAUAAGGAUUCGGGAGAUCCGGUACGAUAGAUCACUUGUUCCCGGGUUCCUCGUAUCUAAUAGUGCAGGCCACGCUGUCAGAAGUAAGGAGGUCGAAACUGAGUGGUCAAGAGGAGGAGAAGUCCCAUUUUCUAUGUCCUAGGCCUAAACAUGGUAAUCCGGAAAGGUCGAGAUAUAAGGUAGUGUGGCCUACACAGGAUCUGGAGAGCGGAGUCAUCCAUCGAGACAACCCCGACAGCCCGGUCCCAGUAUCGAGGGAUCCAUGUCAGGUAUGAAAUAAUUUUAUGAGCGGAAAACACUAUUCAAAUUUUCCUCCAUUCGAUAAUAGGAAUAUGCCUUAGUAUGAUUUGAUUGCCCAUACUCUUACAAAACCAUGAAAUUGGCAUUUAAUGCACCCUUCUUACAUGUGUCAGGCGACAGCGACCUUUCACAGAAACUAGAGGAAAAGAAGAGGUUCAUCAAGAGUUAUACCGCGUAUGAACCGCCAACCCAAUCCGUACACUGGAGACGAAAGGAACAUGCUAAGGAGCGGUCUCGCAGCAGGCAGAACACGUCAAGGAAAGUUGGUGAGACCGUCAGAGGUAUGACGUGGGAAAAAGAUUUGAACCCAAUAAAAUCGGAUCGAGAACCGACCAACCCACCCGACUCGCUAUGCAAGGACAGACCCGGUAUACUAACCCGGGUCAGGUAAAAUCCUAUAAAUACAUUAUCCUUUCCAACAAGGAAGGAGAUCACUUUUAUUUGCUAUCUUAAGGCUCAUAUUAUCUCUCUAGAUACUUGUGAUCUUUGAGCCCUAACAUAUUAUACUUUCCGGUCAUUACUCAGAACAAUGUUUUAGUUCUUCUCCACGGCGGUUCCUAAAUCGUGGAGUAUUUCCACCCACAAACUCUUUCAUUUCUUCUCUUUUAACUAAUUCUUUAUAAGGAACGCUGGGCCCAUCUUUCUUCUCUCGUUUUCCGAACUCUUUCCUCUCUCCAAUUAGUCACUCUGUGAUCUUUCUUCACUGUUUUCUGACUUGAACGUCGGAGAACCUUCCGAAAACACACCAUCAUCGUGUUUUUUGGGCCUUCACGUGCUUUCUGUUUUUGCAAGAGACUUACCCCCACAAAGGAUCAAAAAUCUCUAAAUAGUUUAGCGCUAGAAAGAGGAGGGCAACACUCUUCUAUAGGAAGAACUGAAACCAUACACGACCUUGAAGGUAUGUCAUGACAAGAGAAGACGGAGGUAGCUCACCAGAGAACGACACCUUGGAGGGGAUGGAAGGAGAGAACAUCUGCUGGGUCGACAGACCGACCAAGCUAUUCUCGGGAUGCCCGAUGAUAAGGGGAACAUCUUUGGUUCCCCACGCCGCCGCCAAACGCACACUCAGAACUCGUCCAGAGUGUAGAAGAAAAUGCCCUGUAAAAUUCCUUACAUCCAAAAACCUUAGUGAAAGUGUUGGCAAACUGGUCAUUAUAUAUAACAAAUGAGUUAAAGACUCGUGGGCAAUGCCCAAUAAAGUCUGCCAUGGAUUGGUCCUGUACAACAGUUUUUAUAUCAAUUAAAAAGUGCAGGCCUCGUAGGUUGAUCGAUUGCAGUUUGCGGAUUAAACAAUUGGGAUCUAUACUAGUUUCGGCAAAGAUAAUUGACAAGAACGUCCAAAACCGGCUAAGUGAAAGACAACGUCUUGGAGACCAAAAGUAUGAAAGAAGCCUCAUGUAUUGGUUUGCCACACACAAAAAAAAAACUAUUUGUUUUUAGUUUCCAUUUUAUAAAAAAAAACUAGGUAUUUAGCCCUUUUUUGCAUGGGCAGAGAAGUUUAUUAAAUAAUACUAGGAGAGAAUCCGCGCGUAUGCGCAGAUCUUGUUUUAAUUUAUAUUUUGAAUAAUUUGUAUUGAAUUUUAUGUUUACUAUUAUUGUAUUUUUGUUUAGAAUAUUUAUAAUAAAUUAUUUGUAAUCUCUUCUACACCAGUUGUGUCAAAUAGUCUAAUUUUUUCUUCGAUCUUCAUAUUCUUUUUAUUCUUGUAAAUCUUACUAAUAUAAUAUUUGUUAAUUUUCUUAAUUUUCUAUUUGAAUUUUUUUGGUUAUAUAUAUUUUAUUGAUACCAUCUUUUUAUUAUUAAAAAAAUUAUAUAUGACAUUUUUAUGUGGAUACUUUUUUUUACUAUUAUUUUUUUAAUAACUUUUAUCUUUUUAAUAGUUUAUUAAAUAUGCUUUGUGUUUUAUACUUUUAUUAGUUGAAUUUUUAUAUAAGAUUAUUUGAAACUUUUUAAUUUAGUCAGUCUCAUAAUUUUUUUCACUUGCAUUAAAAUUUAAUUAUAUUUUUAGUUUGUAAAUGAAUUUUAAAACAUUUGAAAAAAGAAAAUAGAACUAUGCAAUUAAAAAGUCUUAUAUUAUAUAAUAGUUAUAAGUUUUUAUAUAUUAAAAUUAAAUUUUAAUUUUAUUCUAAUAUAAAUAUAUGUUAAUAUUUAUUUAUGUUUUUAAUGUGUUUGCUUUAAAUAUGAUUAAUUAAUUAUUUUGUUAAUAUUUGAAGAGGAUAGGUGGUGCUCUCUCCAGUGCUGACGUGUCGCUCAACUGGAGAGAGUUGGCCAAAUUUUAUAUAUAUGACUAGGAGAAUACAUGCACGUAAUAUGCGGGUUUUUUCUUUAAUUAUUUCAAAUUGAUAUAUUUUUGUAUUUUUCUUAAAGAAAUAUAGUCAUCAUUUCUUCUAUGUUACUAUAUAAUUAUAAAUCAAUCAAUUUAAAAUUUAAUAUUAUUAAAAAAUCAAGAGUUUAUACAAAAAAGCUAUCAAUGUUUUAGCAUAAAUUCUUGUUUAAUAUUUAUAUAACUGUUAUUUAAGAAUCAGUUAAUAAAAAAAAACUAUUUUCUUUGAAUGGUUGAGAAUUUAAUACUAAAAUUUAUUAAUCAAUUUUUUUUUGAUAAUUGUAACUUUAAAUUAAAAAUUGACAAAUGUCAUCUCUAUAUUAACUCUAAAAUGCUGAUGUGUCACUCAUAUAUAGAGAGUUAGCCAUCUUUUAUAUAUAAGAUUAUAAGUAAACAAUAUAUUUGGUAGUUUAAUCUUCAUCUCUAAAGUAAUCAUUAUUUGCAUAGAUUAGUUUUAUGCAUUAUUUUAUUCAUUCAACUUUUAGCCUCAAAUUUCUCCUUUUUUGGCUAAAUUGACUAUCCUUACUGAUUUUUAUCUUCUCGUAAGCGUAGACGUGAAACCAUUUUAUCCAGUUGUAUGUAACAAAUCAAUCUUUUUUGCUAGCUUUGAUACCAUAUUUAGUUUCAUCUCUGAAAAUUUCAUUAUAUAUACAUUAAGUUUAAAGAUGAUUUUAGUUCUUCAUUCUCUUGAAAUUUCUCCCUGUUUAACGAAAAUUGUCUCUCUUUGGUUGAUACUUAUCUUUUAUGCAAGCGUGGAUACAAAACUUUAAUAUCAUGUUGAUACCAUGUUAAACUUUUUUAAAAUUAUAGUCAUUAUUUAUAGACAUUAAAUAUAUAGAUUAUUGUAACUAGGUGAAUCUCCGCACGUUACGUGCAAGUUUUUUUUUCUUCAACUAUUUCAAAUUUCAAAUUCCUAAGAAAAAUGCAAUCCUACUUUAUUAUGUGUUAGAAUAUUAUUAUAAAUCGAUCAUUUAAAAUAUAAUAUUAUUAAAAAAUUAAGAUUAUACAAAAAAAAAUCCAUCAAUAUUUUUAAUUAAUUAUAACAUAAAUUCUUGUUUAAUAUUUACAGAAAUAUUAUUUAAGAAUCAAUUAAUAAAAAACUUUUCAUUUUCUUUUAGUGUUUUAAAACUUCAUAUAAAAUUUAUUAAUUAAUUUUCCUUAAAAACUUUUGUAACUUUAAAUUAAGAAAUAUGACACAUAUCAUCCCUAUAUUAACUCUCAAAUGCUGAUGUGGCAUUCGUAUGAAGAGAGUUGGCCUUCUUUUAUAUAUAAAAUUUUUCAUUCUCUCUAGUCGGAAAUUUCUUCCUCUUUUGUCGGAAUUGUCUUUUGUUCUUCUAUGUUUUUAUAUUUCAUGCAAGCGUGUACAUAAAAUUAUUAUAUCAGAGCGUAGGUAAACAAUUCUUUUGUUAGCUUUGAUACCGUGUUAAGUUUCAAAUCUGAAUUAGUCAUUCUUUUAUACAUUAUUUUUUAUGGACGAAUUUAUUUUCAUUCUCCGUAGUUCGAUCUCUCUUCCCACGGAAAGACGAUUAAACUAAUAAUAAGAAAACCGCAGACUUUACAUUGAAACGAGCUGCAGAUAAAAUUUAGAAUAAAAUGGACUUUAAUGAUCCAGUUAGUAUGAACUAUGACACAUCACUUUCAAAACACACAUAGUAUAAAUGAACAAUUUAUUAAAAAGCUAGCUUUAAUACCAUGUUAGAAAAUAAACUAAUCCUUUUUGCUAGCUUUGAUACCAUGUUUAGUUUCAUCUCUGAAUUUUUCAUUAUAAAUAUACAUUAAGUUUAAAGAUAAUUUUGGUUCUUCAUUCUCUAGAACUUUUUCUCUGUUUAACGGAAAUUAUCUCUAUUUGUCAGUACUUAUCUUUUAUGCAAGUACAGCCACAAAAUUUUGAUAUCAAAGCGUAGGUAAUUAAACAAUUUUUUUGGUAAUUUUGAUAUCAUGUUAAUCUUUAUCUUCAAAAUAGUCAUUGUUCAUAUACAUUAAUUUUAUAGAUUAUUUUAAUUCUUCAUUCUCUCUAGCUGGAAAUUUCUUUCUAUUUUGUCAAAAUUGUCCUUUAUUUUUUUGGUUUUCAUCUUUCAUGCAAACAUGGACAGAAAACUAUUAUAUCAGAGCGUAGUUAAACAAUUCCUUUGUUAGUUUUGAUACUGUGUUAAGUUUUGAAUCUGAAUUAAUCAUUAUUUUAUACAUUAUUUUUAUGGAUGAAUUUAUUUUUGUUCUCCGUAGUCUAAUCUCUCUUCCCACAGAAGGACGAUUAAACCAAUAAUAAGAAAACCAUAGAUUUUUUAAUUAAAUAAGACCGCAGAUAAAAAUUAGAAUAAAAUUGACUUUAAUGAUCCAGUUAAAAUGAAGUAUGAUACAUCACUUUUAAAAUACAUGUAGGAUAAAUGAAUGACCUAUUAAAAACAUUAAAAAAGUCAAUAAGUUAGAAAAUAAACUAACCACACAUCAGAUUUUUUGCUUCAGAAAUAUAUCGAUUGAAAAACAAUGUUGCACUUGAUGUACAAAUGGCUUUUGAUUGAAUAACUAUUACAUUCAAUUAAAAAAACAAUAACGCCUAGAGAGACUAGAAGUGCCUUUAACCAAAGUAAUUAACUAACCGUCAACACCAUAGAUGGCGCGAUGCUCUUCGACAGAGGAUCAAGACACAAGCUGCUGUUUUUGAGACUUCAAAGAUAUAGAACAACCACCAAACUGAAUAAUAGAAUCUGUAUAAUAACGUCUUGUUGUUGGGCAUCAUGCCCGGCCGGAACUGCCCCAUGCAAUAAGAGACAGAUGAGUCUUAGCUUUUAAAAGAAAACCAUGUCACAGAUUGCCUUUGACCUUGAGUAAACAUAUAAACCUUGUUGUUGCAUCCCAAUGAGUCUGUUUUGGUUCUUGCAUGAACUAAGCAACAAUGUGGACCAGUGUUAAUCUGCAGGUUCAGGAAUUGUACCUCUUUUAACUAAAGCAAGACGUACGAUGGUUCUUCUCCAGAGGCACAGGUCUCCGAAAUGAUAUUAUGAUGGUCACAAAAUGUGAAAGCAGUUUUAAAAAUGUUUCCUACCUAAAAUCCCAAGCGCAAGGCUGAAAUCGAAGUAGUACUAGGUACAAAUUCACAGGGAGGAAGCAGAGUCGACCCUUGGCCAAUCCAAGAAAGCCUAUACUUCCGGCUGAUUCUUUUAUAAAAAAAUAUUUGGUCCUCAAUUAUUCAAAACUUGUCUUAGUCUGGUCAGACUGAUCGUAAAGUCUUAUGUGGCGCUUUUAGUCCCCAUUCCGUGUUCGAAUCUGCAAAUUGCCUUAGUUGUUGGGUCUAUAUGAAAAACGUUGAGAGUCUUUAGAUUUCUGGUAGUCUAUACUCUUAAGGGAAAAAUAAACUUCCUUGGCAGCCUGUUAUAAUCUUAUUUCUUGGACCCAACAGUACGAACAAUGAAAUCGCACUACACAAAACCAAAGAGAAUAUAAUACAGAGACAACAUAAACAACAAACGAUAUUAUUAUGCAAAGAGCAGACAUUACAACUCGAACACUGAGACAUUACAUUAUGAAACUUUAUUCCCAUAGAUUCUUUUUCUUGAGUUACUUCAUUACAAACUCACCAUGGUUCACUUAUAGUCAUACACACGUAUAACUGUAUUAUAUAGAUGUAGCCAUGCAUGGUGGUUAAUAUAAUAUGAAGUUUUUAGUUACCAGGCUGAGUCUCAACUGCUUCUACUCCGUGCCCUCCUCUUCCUCCGUGUCCACCGCGUCCUCCUCUUCCUCCUUUGUAUCCUCCCCCUCCUCCUCCGUAGUGUCCCCCUCCUCCUCCGUAGUGUCCUCCUCCUCCUCCUCCUCCGUAGUGUCCUCCUCCUCCGUAGUGUCCUCCUCUUCCUCCUCCGUAGUGUCCGCCGCGGCCACCACCAUAUCCAUCAGGUUUCACAGUUUCCUCACUCUCUGACUUCACCCCUGUCCAAAAAAAUAUAGAAAAAUCACAUUAUUUCAAAGAUAUUGUUUAGCACGUGCAAAUGUUCUUUCCUCUCCCCGAUUUCAAAAACGAAAUUUCUCUUAUAAACAUUUUAAAAUAUGUAUCGAAUCUCUUGUUUAGAAUAAAGAAUUAUGAGUUUCAAAAUUAAAUAUACGUUCUAUAUAAAAUUUUCACCAAUAUACGUAAGUGUCUUUUAUUACUAGGACAUCAACAUCGUACUUAAGUGUGUUUUUUGACUUAUAAGUCCAUAUAGUUGACCUUCGUUCAAAUCAACCUUCCGGACUUAACACGGACGAAAUAGACAAAUAGAGACAAUAUUAUCAAAUAUGGUACGUUUGUUUGGGUUCGAUUAGCUUCACGAACAUUUAUUUUGUUUCUAUAAAAUAAUUUUAUUUACCCGAUGAUUGCCUUUCUGCGGCAACUUCUGAGACGACGAGAAGUAAUGCAAAGAGACCCAAAAGAAUCAAAGCUUUGGAAGCCAUUUUCUUCUACUGCUUUUAAGUUUAUAACACUCUUUUGUUUUGUUGGAGAAAGAAGUGAUGAAUAAAAUGUUCGCCUGCAUGCUCUCUAUUUAAAGAAAGGGUAACGAAGAGGAGAAAAGUCAAAUAACUAAUCCGUGGACCGUAGUGCAUUAAAAAUAACGAGGAAUUUUAUUUAUUAAAGAGAUAAGUAAGGGUAUUUGCAUUAUUUGCAGAUAAUGACAAAAAGAGCAAUUCAGUAAAAUAGGAUUGAGACUGUGCUUCGCGCGGAUUGUAAUUUAUGUUCAUGUUUUUAUAUAUUUUAUAUAUUAUUUCUUAAGAAAUAAUUUGUUGAUAAUUUUUUCUUAGUUUAAUAGUUUUAUUUUUAAGUUUACAUUGUAUUAACAAUAUCUGUGUUCUGUUAGUUAUUCUUACUGGUAGAUUAAAAACUCUAUAAAUUAAUAAUAUUAGGACUUUGAUAUUUUAUUAAUUUUUAGAGUUAUUAAUUUAGAGGUUUCAAAUAAAAAACUAUUUCUUAUUAAUUUUAAAAUUAAAAAAAAAUCGUUGAAAUUUAUAAUAUUUUUAAAAAAUUAAAAAAAAUAAAAAUGAGUUCCAAGAAGACUUCAAUUUAAAUUAAACAAAAACAUAGUAGAUUAUCUCACUUAUAUGUUUAUAUCAAAUUUUAUUUAUGGUAAUUAUUAAUUUAUGAUAAUAAUGGGACCAUAGAUUUACAUAAGAGUUUUGUUAAGUUUAUUAUCUUAUUAUCUUAUCGAAUUGUGUCAUAAUUUGAACUGGCUCAACGUAACUCAGAACUAUGAAAAAUUAUUAAUUUAUGUAUUUAUUAAUUUAUCGAGUAUUAAUUUAUAGAGUUUUUAUUGUAUGUCUAUAUAAAAAUAGUUUUUUUAAUUAUAUUAUUAACUUCUGUAAUUUUUUAUUUUGUGUGUUUUUAUAUUUUAUCUGUACUAUUGUGUGACUCUAAUUAUAAUUAUUUAAAUUAUUUUUUUAUUUUUCUUAAUUUAUACUCUCUAAAUUAUUAUUUUUUAAUUCAUACUCCGUACAAAUUUUUAUUUUUAGUCAUCUAUUAUUUUGAAUUGUUGAAUAACUAAUUUAUCAUAUUUUUCUUUUUUUGAAAAAAAAAUUUAUACUCCUUUUCCAUCUUCAUAUUUUUAUAAUUUAUUAGUUUUAUCUUUUUUUUUUUUUUUAUCUUUAACGUUUCUGUUUUUGUAUUUUAUAAAAUUCAUCUUCAUUAGUUUCAUGUUCUUCAUUUUUUUAUUUAUUUUUUUCAUUUUCCAAUGGUUUUUGACUUCUACUUUUCUUCCUCCUGUUUUUUUUUAUUCUUUUUUCAUUGUCUUUUUUUUUAAUUAUCAUCAUUUUUCUAAUUUUUUUCAGUUUAUAUAAUAUAUUAUUUUUAAUAAUAUAUAUAUAUUUAAUCCAGUUAGUAUUACAGUUUUCUUUAAAUAUUAAUAUCUAAUUGCCACUUAUCUUUUUAUUAUACUAAUAUUUAUUUUAUUUAAUUUAAUUUGUACUAAAUAUACUAAUAACAAAUAUAAAUAUAUAUAUAUAUAUGUAUUAAAUGUUUAUUUUAAAUAUGCUUUAAUGUUAAAAUUUAUGAGUUUGUUGAUGUGGACACCCUAGAUGGAGAUAAAAUUCUCUUAUUAUAUUACAGAUUAUAAAAUAUUUGUUCUUUCUCAAGGGAACAAAAAUACUUUUUUAUUUUUUUGUUGAAUGUUUCAUUUGAUUGUUAAGGGAAAAAACAGUUUUUUUGUCCCAUAUCGUGUUACAUUUUUAUAUGGACAGGUAAUUUUUUUUUUUUAGGGCUAAACAAAUUUUAUAUAUUAAGAAUAAGGAUUACAAUCUGCAAAUACAGCAUUAGACAACCAUAAAGGUGGAUACAAUUUUGAUGAAUAAAAAACAGCAUUACACAACCAUAAAAGUGGAUACAAUUUUUAUAUGGACAGGUAAUUUAUUGAUUGGAUUUUUUUAUACAGUUUAUUAAAAUAAUUCGAAUGUUUCUCCUCCACGUAUCAUGCUACUUUCUAUUGAAUGAAACCUUUGUCUCAACUUUAAUUUUAUAUUUGAAGUAUAUAAAUAAUUUAGUGCGUUAAAUAUCGGUUUAUUUAUAUAUUUUUUUCUUGAUGGUUUAUUUGUGUUUGAGAAUUUUUUUUUUUUAACAUUUUCUUAGAUUAAUUAAAGAAAUCCAGCCGGUUAAAGCAGUACAGUGAAGCUGUAAAGAGCUCGUUCUGCUAUCUCAUCAGUUAAAAGAUUGUCUGAUUGAGGAAUGUGUUCGAAAAAGAUGCAAUUGAAACAGAGUGACAGAGAGACUAUAUCGAAAGUAAUCCCCGCGAUCUCUUUGAUUUUUGUCCCUCGAUUGAUUGCUCUGAUCAGAUCCGAAGAGUCCGAUUGGACAUGAAGCUUUGUGAUCCCGAGAUUUGUGGCGUGAGUCAUGGCAGAUCUCAGGGCUAGAGCUUCAGCGAUGAUCGGGGAGGUCACAAAUUCUUCGAUAUCCAUACCCUGGUUCCAUGGUGGCGAAUUUCCUCAACGGAAAACCCAACCCAAUCUGCCGAUCUGAUUCUCUUCCUUCCAGGCCACAUCGGUUUGCACAAUGGUAUGGUCUGUUGGGAUUUCCUUCGGAUCUCAUGUUUGAAGAGUUGAAAUCUCCCUUUCCUGUAGGUCAUGUGCCUGAAUCCAAUCUCUUGCAUUGCAGAUGGCUUUGUUCACCGUUUCUAAUGGUGUGAAUGUUCUGUUCUCGAACAGUCGGUGGUUCCUGGAUAACCAGAUGGCCCAGCAGAUCCAGGGGAAGAGUAGUCCGGCUUCUAUUCCUGUUGGAGGUAGAGUGACCCAUCCCUUCGAUGCUUUGAGCCCUGUUGCAAAAUCCGGAAUGAAAAAGGGAUCUAUGGUGUAUUUGAAGGGCGCCAGUGACCAAACCGCCUUGGCGAAGUGACAGUAGAGGAAAAGGUGGUCAGCUGUUUCUCUUUCUCUGCAUAGACUGCAGGAAGCGUUGUUGGAGAGUCCCCCGGUAAGUAGAUUUGCUCCAGUUGGUAGUGCUUUCUUGAGUAUCUUCCAUAGAAAGACCUUUAGUUUUAGGGAAGUUUUCUUAUGCCAGAUAUCUGAGUUCCAGUUAAUUGUGGUUGUCUGUGCAUGAGAGAGUGGUUACUUCAUUCGCUGAUGUGUCGCUGUGUGGUAUCCUGACUUGGUCGAAUAAUUUCCAUCUCUGUUUGGGGUCCAAAUGUAAGAGUCUUCUCCGCCUCUUUUGCUUGGUUUUAUGCUUAAGAUCACAGAUGAGAGGUGUGGGACAAUAACUUCAAUCUUUCUUGUGUCCCAGGUGGUUGAGUUCUCUUUUAUUAGGUCUGAGACCAGCAGAUCUUUAUUGGCGUUGGUGGGAAGGCCAACUACUCCUAGCAGUGAUGUCGUCGAUAGCCAGGGAUCGGACCAUAGGUUGGUUUUUCGUCCAUUUCCAAUUAUUUUGCUUAUAUUUGAUUGCAGGAUAUCUUUGCCAAUCAUGAUUCCCCUCCACCCGUGGGAAGAGGAAGAUGUUGAUUCAGCUCUGAGGAAGGUUGUGGACCGGUGGUAUCUUCUUUUGAGAACUCGGGCCAGUAGACACUAUGGGUUUAUCAAGAUUCUCCAACUCAGUUUGGCCAGUAAGGUGUCGUUGAAGCACUCAAUGUCACAGAAACCAAGACCACCCUCUUUCUUUGUUCUUGUUAGCUUUGACCAUGCUAGCCAACACAUUUUUCUUUUUUCAGGGUUGGCGUCCCACCAAAAGCGAGUAAGAGCGGAUUGGAUGCGUUUGCAGAGACUUGCAGGGAGCUUGAAGCACGACAUCGUGUACGCUGGGAUGGCUGAGAGAACUGUCUUCAGCAUCGUGAUUUUACCCGCCGAUGAUAGAAAUUUUGUUGACCAACUCGUUGACGUAUCCUGUCCACAAUCUGAGUAAAGAGGUCUUUUUUCCUUCUCCCAAAAUGUUCGGGUAAGCCAAGGUACUUCCCUUUACCUCCCUCUUGACUGAUUCCCAGAUCCUGUUUAACUCUUUCUCGUACAUCAUCAGGAGUUUUGCAUGAGAAUGUAAAGGAUGAUUUUUGUAGAUUGAUCUUCUGUCCCGAGGCUUCUUCAUAUUUCCUGAGAAUUGCCAUGAGUUCUGCGCAGGCUUGGGGGGAUGUUUUACAAAAGAACAUUGUGUCAUCCGCAAAUAGUAAAUGGUUUAUUCUUGGGCUUUCUUUUGCAACUCUAAUGCCUGACAAGCGGCCAUUCUGUUGAGCUUUUUUGCAGAGACCAGAGAGCACUUCACCACAUAUGAUAAAUAUAUAGGGUGAUAGUGGAUCACCUUGUCUGAUGCCGCGUUGAGGGAGGAUUGGAACGUACGCUGGGUCAUUCACCAGAUACGAAUAGGAGACUGAGGUGAUGCACAUCAUUAUCCAAGUAAUCCACUUCUCAUUGAACCCAAGCCUUUUCAGCACCGUUUCAAUGAAGCCCCAUUCCAGGCGAUCAUAUGCCUUACUCAUGUCAGUUUCAACUGCCAUGAAGCAGUGUUUUUUCUCUUUAGAUCGUUUGAGGAAAUGUAGAGUCUCAUGUGUUAUCAUGACAUUGUCUGAUAUGACCCUUCCAGGGACAAAAGCUGAUUGGGAUUCUGAAAUGUUUUUUUUCCAGGAUAGGUUGGAGCUGCUUGGUGAGAAUCUUCGAGAAGAUUUUGUAAAAGACACUACAGAGUGCGAUUGGCCGGUAGUCGGAGACUGUACGUGGAGCAUUGUGUUUUGGUAUCAGCCGAACCAAAGUAUGGUUGAUGGAGCUGGGGAAAGAUCCGGAACUAAAGAAACUUUUGAUCUCUGAAGUUAUUGCAGGGCCUACUGUUGUCCAGUUUGAUCUGAAGAAAGAUGCAGAAAAGCCAUCAACUCCUGGAGCUUUAUCCAGAUAGAUGGAGAAGAGAACAUCGUUUGAGAAUAUCAAAUAAAUAUAUUUUAAAAGUUUUUAAAAAAUUAACUGCUACAGUUUCUACUUAUAUUUUUAUUAAUGCAUUUUAAAAACUUAAACCAGUUCAAAAAUUGAAACCAAAUAGUAUUAAAUUUGUAUACUAUAUAAAAAAAAAAAAUACACACUACUACCGAUAAAGUAAGCUACUAGUUAAGCUCAUUGCUUAGUCUUGUUGUACUUCUAGUUUGAUUUACAAUGGAAAUAGAAAAGAUGUUUUACGCCAUAUCAUAUAGUAUUAGCAAAGACUAGUCCCAAGAGAAGAGAAGUUGUAAGAAGGAUUAAGAUCAUGAAAAAAUACACACUCUAUAUUAAUCAUAUAUUUACCAUAAUAUUUUUUCAGUUUUCAUCAAUUCUAACAGUUUAUUUACAAAAACUAUGUAUCCGUGUAAUCUCCUUGGUUUAGUGAUUGACCAUAGAUUUAAUUUGAUUCCAAAACGAUGCUAGUUAAUGGAAUGCAAUUUUAUAGAAGGUUUAGCAUGGUGCAAAUAGAGCUGUUCGUCAUAAUUCAUCAGUCAAAGUAAAACUGCCCAUCACAAACAUGGUACAUGUAGAACCAUUUAUCGUGGAUUCUUGUAAAUAGAUAAAGAAAAUCAUUGUAUAGAAGCAUUUGUAUAAUUGUUUUCAUAAUUUAUAAUCCUUUAUACAGUAUUAAUCAAUUAGGGUUGAUAAAAAACAGUAGUUUCACAUUUAAUUUACAAAUAAGUCAUCUGAUGUGUCAUCGCCAUAAAACUUCUCCAAAAAAAAGUUAACUUACUAGAAUAAUUACAUUCAUGUCAUUUAGAUUACAUUCAUGUCAUUCACAUUUAAUUUACAAAUAAGUCAUCUGAUGUGUCAUCACCAUAAAAGUUCUUCAAAAAAAAGUUAACUUAUUAGAAUAAUUACAUUCAUGUCAUUUAGAUUUAAUACAUGCAUAUAUAUAUAUAUAUAUAUAUUAUAAUGAGAUUUAUGUAGAAUAUUAAAUUAAUAUUAUUUUUAAGUUUAUUCAUUUCUAUAAAAAAAAAUUAAUUUUUAUUUUUUGUCUCCAAAUUAUAUUACUUUGAUUCAAAGGGUUAUGAUUUUAUUUUCAAAAUUUCUUUUUUAUUGUGACAAUACAAGUUCAAUAUUUAUUUGCUCAAUAUAAUUUUUUAUUACAAAAUCUCUUAUUUUUCAUAUUUAAAUUCAAAUUUAUAUAAUGGAAGAUCUAACCUUCAUAUUAUUUUUAUGAUUAUUCAAAUGUAAAGCAUGUAAUAUAAUUCGCACACGUUUACUAAUGAUUAUUGAGAUAUAAAAAUAUAAUAGUGUUUAAUGCUAAAGGUCUCAUCAAACUAUAUUCUGAUUUGAUUAUAUCGUUUGAUGCUAAUAUAGUUUUAUGCUAUUGGUCUUAUCCAGGGGUGGAUUCAGAAAAAAAUUUAGUAGAUAGCAUAAUUUUAUAAAUAGGGAAAAACAAUUUUUUAUAUGAAAACAUAGUAUUAACAUAUAAUUUUAAUGAAAUUAAGUUAACAAUUGGAUUGUUUCAGCUUUUACAACUACUUUUAUAUUCAAAUAAGCUUUAAAGAUUGAAUUUUUUUUUCUUUUACUUUUUUUAUUAACAUGAGCAACAUAAUUUUAAACUAUAGGGAUUUUUUCCUUUUUAUCACUAAAUUAAGAACAUUUAAAUUUAAUUUACCAAAACUAUUUAGGAAAAAUAAAAACGGUAAGGGAAACAUGACCCGAUAUGGUCUUUACUAUGUCCGCCUCUGAUCUUAUCAAUCACACACGUACAAAGAGAUAUUCACGUGACGAGUUGCAUAUUUUAAUUUAAAAUUGAAUAAAUUUUUUUACAGAAUACUAUUUAUUUUACAUAUUCGAAUUCAAAUCAGAAUAUUUUUUAUUCAAAUAUAAUUGUAUUAAAUUUUAUAUUUAAAUUCAAAUCAAAUCAAAUAAAGCUUUUAUUUCUAAUCAUAAGAAAGUGUAUAGUUAAAUCAAAUUUUAAUAAAUUUGCAACUAACAUAUAUCUGCAGGGAUUAUUCAAUUAGAACAAGGUUUAUAUAGAAUAAAUAGAUUUUUCAUGGUAAGAGUAAUUUUCACUAUUGGUACUCCUUAUGGAAAGAUAAAUUGUUGCUAUUAAAUAAUUAGAUAUUAAAUACAAAAUUACGUUUUCUGAUUGAAGAGACAUUUGAUUUCGAAUUCACAUUCAAAUCUUCUUAAUAUGUGGGAAACCCUUGAUUUCCAGCACUAUUUAAUCGAUAUCGAUUAGCACCCUUUCUUAUGAUUAAACAAAUACAUACUAAUAUAAUUUUUAAAUAUUUCAUUUGCAAGACCGAGAUUACUACCUACAAGAUAACUACUUAGGCUAUUAAAAAGCUGACAAAAAGGCUAUUAAUAAAAAUAAAACUAUCAUUCUUAGGGAUUUACCAUAUGCUUCAUACAGUGUUUCCUUAAGAGUUACACUUCUAUUUGUCCAUUUACCGGUGAUAUUUUCCUAUUUUUAUUAACUCUAGCAAUUGUCAAUUACUUAAAAUAGGUUAUUACCAGCGCAGAAUAAAUAUUAAUCAUAAUUUUUUAUUUAAAUAUGUAAAUAUAAUGUAUAUAAGUACAACUAUAAAAAUGUUAGCUGAUAUUUUUAAUUACAACUAUAUAUGCUGAUUAUGCAAUCAUAAAUAAUAAUUAAAAUUACAUUUAUUUUGUAAUACAAAUACAUAAAUGCUAAAUAAUUAUUAGUUUUAUAAUUAAUUUUAAUAAUAUUUUUUAUAUGACUGAACUUACACAUUAAAUAUACUAAAUUAGAUUAAUAUGUUCUAUCUAACAGGUCUAACAUCAAACUAAAAUACUUUGCUUUUGAUAUAAAAAAUUGAAUUAUAAUAUGUAUGAAAAUAUUUAGAUUAUUUUAUUAUUAAAUAGAUAAUGUAAUUAUUGUUUUUUAAAGAAAAGUAAGAUCAAAUAAAAGACAAAAUACAAAAUAUAAUGUUUAGAAACAUAAUUAAUGUUAUGUAUUAAAAUUUUAUAAAUGUGAUAAGAAAUAGAAAUAGAAAGAAUAUCUUUACAAAUUAAAUGUUUGAGUAUUAAAUAUAUAAUUGACAUAAAUUAAUUUCUAACCAAAUUAAUGUUAGUGGCAUAUGAUAUACUUAAUCUAGUAAGUUUCUUUUUUUUUGAACAUUUAUUAAUCUAGUAAGUUGACCAUACUUUUUAAAAAUCUAUAAAAAACUCUCUGAAAUUAACACCUCAAUAUGACACUUAUGUAAAUAAUACAUAAGAUAAAUGUUUUUUUUAAAGCAUUUUUAUCAAUUAAUAAUAUAUAACUUUUCAUUUCAUCCCGUGAUUUACCCAGUCCGUCCUAAAAUUAAAGUGGUAAGAUGAUGAUAAGUAUAUGUCUACGUUGCAUCGGUCCCCUUAUGGUGGGUUGUUGGAUCCAUCAGUGAAUAAUUUGAAAGUCUAUAAAUGGCGAACCCCACCAGUGUUUUAGACUGUUUCUUAUUAAUGUCUUUUUUUUUUUGGCAGUCUUAUUAAUGUCUUAAACACAGCACAAUCACACACGUAUAGAACUAUAGAUAUCUAGAAAUUCCAUUAUUGGAUUAUAAUUGAUUUUAUUAUGACGGAUUCUUUUGGACACAAAAGCUAGCCGACGUCUUCUUUGAAAAUUCUCACAACCGACAGAUUUUAAACAGCCGUAUAGAGACAAAGGCAGUGAGAGUAAAGCAUAGAGUGACAACACGUAGUAACUACAAAGAAUUGACUUUUUAAAGGGUGCAAAAUUUUGCCUGGCUAUAUUUAAUCGUUAUACUUCUUUUUAUGGAUAAUUGCUUGGCUAUAGUUAAUUUAUGCCGACUGCUACCAAAAUAUCGAUCAAAGUCACCUAAGCGUAGAGAAAGCUUGAGAUUUACGUAAUUAUAAUUCAUUUUUUUCAAAUCUAAAUAUUCAAAAAAUUGAUUAUAAUAUGUAUGAAAAUAUUUAGUUUUUUUUCAAAUCUAAAUAUUUAGUUUUUUUUCAAAUCUAAAUAUUAAAUAUACUAAAUUAGAUUAAUACGUUAUAUCUAACUAAUCUAACAUCAGAUAAUUUGUUUUUAAUAUAAAAAAUUUGAAUUAUAAUAUGUAUAAAAAUUGUAGUUUUCAAAUGAGCGUAGAUAUAUAGUUUUCAAAUUAAGCAUGUUUAUUUCAUAUAUCAGAUUGGAUAGUAUUUGAUUGAGAUACAGGUUGUCAUGUAGUUUUCAAAUUAAGUAUGUUCAUUCCAUGUAUUGGAUUGGGUAGUAUCGGAUUGGGAUACGGGUUGUCAAGCCCAGACCCGAACCUCAAAACUUUUGGGUUAAGAACGAGAAUAAAAAUUAUGGGUUAUAAAUUUGGGAUACGGAUUGUCAAGCCCAGAUCCGAACCUCAAAACUUUUGGGUUAGGAACGAAAACAAAAAUUAUGGGUUAUAAAUUAGUUAUUCUAAAAAAGAAAAAAAUGUUAAUAAAAAGGUUAGAAUGAUCGAACUUCUCACCUUGAAUAUGUUAUUUUCAAACAAUAACUAGUUCCACUACUGAAGAUUAUAGUAAAAACCGGUCAGAAAAUACAUACUUUAUAUAUGGUUGGCAACACAUGCUUCCUUACCUUCUAUCCAAAAUCCAAUUUUAUACCAGUAUUUGGGGAAGAUCCAAUUAAGCAUGUUCAUUCCAUGUAUCAGACUGGGUAGUGAGAAGAUCAAGAGAUUGUUGAACAGUUCUUAUGUUGUAUAAUUGUAAAAGAACCGAUUACAAUAUAUAUAUAGAAGCUUUAGCUUAAUCCUCAAGUUAAAGAUAAACACAAAUAAGGAAUAUUUAAGAUUUUCUAAAUAUUUUCUCAUACUCUCCCUCAAGAUGGCGAGUGGAGAUCCCGAACUUCCAUCUUGCCAAAAAUAUAAGAAAAUUGAAUUCGUCCAAGUGCUUUAGUAAACAAGCCUGCAAGCUGUUCAUGUGUGCGAAUAUAAGCCGGUGCGAACUCCUGCUUGGAAGGCAUCACAAAUAGUGUGACAGUUGUUCUCUAUGGAUUCUGCAGAAUGUCUAGUGCUGCCUUGUUAUCACAGUAAAAAGAAACUGGUUCUGGAUGCUUGAUAUCGAACACAGAAAGAAGCUGGAGAAACCAUUGUAUCUCAGAGAAUGUGUAAGACAUUGCGCGAUAUUCCGCUUCUGGAGAAGAACGAGAGACAACUCUGUUUUUUUUUUUUUUUGUCUUCCAAGAGACAAGGGAAUCACCAAAUAAGAUGGCAUAACCAGUGAGGGACUGCCAAGUUAUCAGACAAGAAGACCAGUCCAAAUCACAAUAAGCAAACAUGUGAAGAUCGGGUUUGGAGUUAAGGAAUAUACCUUGCCCAUGCGUACCCUUAAGAUAUCGUACUACUCGAGUCUCUGAAUCUCAAUGCUUCUUCCGUGGUUUAGUGAGGAACUGAGCGAGUAAAUGGACCGCAUAGCUGAGAUCAGGCCGAGUUACAGAUAAGUAUACUAAGCGUCCAACAAGCCAACGGUAUCUGGAUGGAUUGUCAAAAUAUUUUCCAUCGUCUCCAGCUAGUGUAUGGUUUAGCGUAACCCUCAAGUUAUCCAAUACAUAUUCUGAUAAGCCGCAUUCAGAAACGAUAUCCAAUGAAAUAUUUCUUUUGGAAAUAUGGAUCCCUUUCUUUUCACAAAAUAUUUCCAAACCGAGGAAGUAUUUUAACACGCCAAGAUCCUUUAUAUGAAAACUCUUACUCAUGUAAGCCUUGCAUUUGGAGAUAAGAGUUGUGUCGUUGCCCCCUCUAACCAAGUCAUAUACAUAAACAAGAACAUAGAUGCAAGAAGAGCCACGAUGAUAUGAGAAGAGAGAGUAAUCCUUCUUGUUUUGUACAAAACUAAACCGCAACAACGACGCUAAAAGCUUAGCAAACCAACAACAUGGAGCUUAUUUGAGACCGCAGAGAGACUUUUGUAGUCUACACACUUUGUUUUAAUCGGAUGAAGAGAAACCCGGCGGAAGCUGAUGUGGUGUAUGCGGGGGUAUCAAAUUUUACCCUAAAAGAAAUAAAAGAAAGCCGCAAGUGCACAGCUAAUCAGUUGUAAUACUUAGAGAUCGAAUCCAUAGAGAUUUGCCAAAUAUUUUUCUACGGUCUCGUAGCUUGUUGGCCGUCUUCAAAUGUCUUCGGGGAAAAUGGAAUAUCUUGAGAUCCAACCGUUGGAAUGUCUCCAAAGUAAGUGCAUUUGAAAGCUGGUUGAGUCUUCUAUUAAGUAUCCAAUUUUGGGGAUGAUCAGACGGUGAAAAGCUCUUCAUCUCUCCUUGAGAGUUCUGACGGUCUGAAUUUAUCCAAAAUAGUCUUUUUGUUCCAAUUUUCACCUCUUUCUUCCAAAUUACCUGAAAAGUCUUUAAAAAUCCGAAAACAUAAAAAUCAUUUGAAAACCUUUGAAAAUGGAGUAAAAACACCUGCAAAAUAUAUUACACUGAUCCAUAAAAAUGGUCAAGGUGUUAUAAACUCCCCCAGGCUUAGACUUUUAUUUGUCCUCAAACAAAACAAAGAUCAAAUCUCGGUGAGAGGUUUGAAAACGCAGGAACUAACAAAAUCUCAGAGACCAUACUUCUAGACUAAAAUCAAUCAUUAUGCAUUAACCGGGGAUAACCUAGAAAAUUCUCACUAAAAUACAUGCAUAACUAAUCCGUUGAUCUGUCAUGCGAAAGUAUAUACACUUAGAUCUAACUUCCACUCAACUAGCUCUUAACAUUUAUUAAAAAUCUAUGUGGUUCUCAUCAAAAUAAGUAUAAGCAAGGCGAUUUGGGCUAGGUGUCAAAAAGGCUCUUUUCGGGGUGAGGUUUUAAAGUGUUUUGGGUUACCUUGAUUUUUAGAGAAGUAGGGUAUUAUGCAAAACAGCAAGAGAUAAUGGAGCUGUUGAUAUCUACAGUUUCCAGUCACAUUCUUCUUGCUUUAGAAUCUUUUAUAUUUCUCAGGUUCUCCUUUUAGUUCCCCCAGACUUAGAUUCUUGUCUGGGUUGUAACCGUAACUCCAACAGAUGCAUACUAAUCGCCUUUUGCCUCAAAUAAUUUUGGCCAUCUAAGACUCUUUAGGCUUUUGUUUCUUUUCUUUUCAUUCUUUUUCUUCUCUCUUUUUUCUCUUUUUUUUAGAAGAGGGAAAACACCUUUAGAUAUAGAGUCUUAGAGGACACAAAAAUUUAGCAUUAAGAGCAACCUUUUCGAAGUGUCUUAACAUUGCCGAUGUACCUCCCUUCCAACUCCCAUUUAGUUCUUCUCUUUGGAUGACUGAAAACUGUGCCGUUCCUCCCUCUCCAGCGUUUUUGCUCAUAUCUGCUGAUAUAAGCUAAAGAGAGGAUAUGUGAGGUAUGAAAAAAAAAGGAUUGGGUAAAGGUAUGGUACCAGCUAAAGAUGAACUAGCCAUCUAAGACAACAAAGAGUGGUAAAAAUGAGGGAAAAGGUGUUCUAGAUGUAUAUCUUGAUGCUUGCCUAAAAUCAAUGAUGAGAAACUUAGAUAUCAAUAUUAAGGUGAUGUGGCCAUCAACCCAGCUCAACAUCACAAAGAGACCCCAAUGAUCUUAGACAAACCAGACGGCCCAUCCGAAGCCGAGAGAUGCCUUAUAGAAGCUGAACCGGAGAAAAUGAGCAUAAAGGCGAGCCCAACAGAAACAGAAGUGAAAACUUGGAGUUUCACCAACCAAAUGUCAUCAAUGGAGUCUGUGAUCGAGCCAAAACACUUUUCAGUUGAUCCAGAAAUGAAGUUACCCAAGAAUCAACUCAAACUCUUGGCCAAAGCAUGUUCAAGCAACACAAGAAGACCCAUGCACCUUAUUCAGCACUGAUGAAGUCAGAGAUCAGCUGGUACAGCUCGGCCAACACUUUUAUUACAUUUCUAUCUCAUCCAGUGAACGCCUAGAAGUGGAAUCAGCCCAAUUAGAUCUCAGAGAAAUGAGUUAUUCAGCUUACAAAUCAGGUGAUGCACAACUUCUACGAUUUGAACAUACGUGCCUUAUUUGGAGGUUUCCGACCGAACCAGAAGGAUAUAAGCUGUGAACCGACUUGUUCCCAAUUCUUGAUUCAUCAUAGAAUCGGAGACAGUUGGAAUCAAACCAAUACCGGUUAUGGUUAGAAAUUUAUUCACUUUACAAGUUGGAAGAUCUGUUUCAGACCCAAUUGCGCAGUUAGGCUGAAGAUCUUACUCUACAGCCCAACUCAUCCACGUUCUCAGCCCAAAAUUACUUGGAGAAUAUUUUUUGGUCUUUCUUGGAUCCAACAAGCUCAAGAUCCGAAGAAUUUCUCAUUGGAACUUCAAGUUACACCCAAUAUCCCAAAACGGGUUGACUUGGUUCCAUUUAUGGCAGGUCUGAGCUCUGACUGGUAUAGAUCGCUAUCUACAAGAGUUUGGCGCCCAGGAGAGACUCUAAGGCAACUAAGGAAGCUUAGAAACACCUUACCAUGCACCAGCACCCACAGGAUCAGGCGGAUCGUUUUGCAAGCUUACUUUCCUUAUGUGGCCGCAUUCACACUCGGUGCUAUUAAUCACCAAUAGCUCUUUUCCUUUGAAUGCUACGACUUGGACCCUAAAAACGUCUAGAUACAAAGGCAUCAUCACAUUUUCAUAUUUGGUCGAGAUCCUCUUAUUUAGAGCCUAUCGGCUAGUUUUUGAUUAGCUUUGAUUUGUUUCUUUGUUUUUAGCAUUUUAGAACGUGUAAGAGCAUUAUAUAAGCUCAUAUUAGUCCAUUUGUAAAAACUCAUCUUUCAAUCAAAUUAAUACAGAAGUUUCUUAUUUUCUUUCAAAGUGUGUUCUUUGGAAAAUUGUCUUUUCUUUUGAAUAAAUGUGUGAGAUUCACUUCUAUUCUCUAGAAGCCACGAAUUUAGUUGUUUGUGUUACUCAAAUAACUUGUUCGUUCAUCGAUUGAGAGAGUCAAUCAAACCACCACCUUCCAUCUCAAUAUCACGUACGCCCACUUUCGCAAACAAACUUGUAAACUCUUGAUUAUCUUGUGAACAUAAGAUUUGGUGGAUUCCAAUCUUAUAUCAUUUGGUAUCAGAGCACAAGUUCCUAUCAAAGUGCUUAUGUUCUUUAUCUUUCCCUUUUGUUAUUUUAAUUCAGUCUUUUUUCAUUUUAAAUCAUAAAAAGAAAAAAAAAUUAUUGUUUUGAAAUAUUCUAUGUUUUCUUUAAUUCUAAAAAAUCAGAAAAUAGAAAUAAGAAUUUUCCCUUUUGUUAAUUGCAUUUUCGAAUUUUGUAUCCAAAAAUAUAUAAAUAUAUUUAUCGGUUUUUCUUUUAUUUUUGGUUUUGCUUUAAUUCCAUUUAAAAAUCAGAAAACCAAAUAAAAAUAUCUUCUAUUGUUUUCUUAAAUUUUAUAACUCAGAAAAACAGAAUUUUCUUUUAUUAUUUAAGAUUGUCGAAUUUGUUUAGUUUUUUAAAAAAUCCCUUAUUUUUGAAAUAUUUUGUUGUUUGCUUUAAUUUCAUUAACCAGAAAAAAAAAGAAUUUUUAUUAUUAUUAGAAUUUUGAAUUUGUUAAACAAAAAAAAAAAGAAGAAGAAGAAACCAUUGUUUUAUUUACAUUCUCUUUCUUUCCUUUCUUGCUUAAGCCAAACUUUGAUACGCUUCUUCUUUAUCUCUGCGAGGUACAACCCUAAGGAGCAGCCACCAUGACUGAAUCAGAAGAAGAUCAGUACCAAUUUGAUGGAGACCAAUGGUGUCAAGGAGAAGAGAGUUUAGCUUUUUCCGAUGAGGAGGCUGACUAUGAGUCUCCACCGUGACUAGGAGAUGGCUACACCAGCUCUGGAAUUGGAGAUGAAUCAGACUGUGAAGAGUACGAUCCAGAGCCACCAUAUUACAGCAGAGUCAACACUAAUCAAUCAGCUUAGUCUAGAGAUAAAGAGACAGGCCGAGAAAAAGGUGUAGAAGGUGACCAUGAAGGAGAUCCUUGGCAGGACGAAACUGAGUCUUAAUAUC